rnacentral:lncRNA from 1 species
UUUGAAAUAAGUUUAAGGAUGAAUUUAUAUCUUUUUGGUUCAUGUAGAAUUUAAGUUUAAAGGCUUCUUUUUAUCAAAAAAAUAAUAAUAUGAUAAUCACUUGUCUCUUUGUUGCGUGUGAUACAUUGAUUAAUCUAUUUUAAGAUAUUUUAAAAGUAAUUUACUUUUAAACUUCAAUUUUGACCUACAAUAUUUAUUAUUAUAAUUUAUUUUGGCAAUAAAUAUUCUUAAAAUAUUUUUAUUUCUUAAAUUUCGUAUUCAAUGUAAAUAAAAGACAUAUAUUAAGUCAAAGGAAUAUAAAUUAAUGACUUGAUAUAUAAUAUAAUAUUGUGUGUCAAUUUUAUUGUUUGAUUUAACUUUGUGUGAAGGUUAAGAAAAUAAAAAAUAUUUUCAAAUCUUGUAAUUUAAGUUAAAAUAUGAAAGAAAAAAAAAAGCAUCAAAAUGUCCUUUGAACUUAAUUGUAGUCUUAAAUAUGACAGAUAGAGAAUUGAAAUUAAACUAUUAUCCAUAUAAAAGUGACAUUCUUCGAAAAAUAUUUACCGUUAAAUAUUCCUUCAUAAAUAAAUAUUUUUUUCUAUUAAAUGUCAUUACAAAUUUUCAAGCACCCAUAAUUUGAUAAAAUUCAUUAAUCAACGACAAUAAUAAUUAGUUAUUUUUUAGUAUAUUAUUUUUACAUGAUAUGAACAAUCUUAUCAUGUUAGGGAUAAUUUUUUUCAUUAAAAUAAAAUUAUUUGAAUUUUCCUUUCCCAUGAUCGCAAAUCCGGCCUACGAUCUAUGUAGACUCUAAAAACAAAUUCUUGCAACGGAAAUGUUGAAAAAUUGUGAGUUUGUGAUGAGCCACCAAUAUUAGGGAAGCACAUACAUCAGCUUCACGUCCUUCCAAUUUUUCAAUUAUUAAAUUAUUCAUUCUUUCGUGAAAAAAAAUAUUUUUUUAAUGUAAAAUUUUGUUUCAUUUUUCUAUUUUUUAUUUUUUAUUUUUUCUACCUAUCUUGAAACUAUAAAAAUUAUGGAAGCUCUUAAAAUUAGGUAAACAAAAGAACAGAAGAGUUUGACCAUGCGAUUCUGUGCUUAAGCAUGUUAAAAGAUCAGAAACAUCUAUCAGAAUUUGGUCACCGAUUUAAAAAAUUAUAAUAUCUUUUUUAUUUUAAAAUAUAUAGAUUUUUUUUAUUUUUAAUUAAAAUGUAUUAAAGUUAAAAGGAUAAAAAUAUUUAAAAAGGUAAAAUAUUAUUCUAAUCAAAAUUUCUAGCUAAAAUUGUUCCUUUAUUAUAUUAUAUUGCAUUUGCGUAUAAAUGAUAGAUUAAUGAUAAAAUUUUGUAAAAUGCCUAAAUUUCAUAAACGCUAACAUUAUAGUGUUGUGAAUUGUCCACUUCAUAUUCACGAGUCUUUGAUUUCAAUUUUUCCAAGACAAAUUUAACAUAAAAUACAUCAUAAAGGUAGCAAAUUAACAACAUUGUCAAUAGUAUUAUAAUUUUUUGACAGGUGCCUGUGAAUAAUGGGAUAGGGCAUUGUUAGGGGUGACAAAUGAUUGGAUUGGAUAGGAUUUGAAUAAAUUGAAUAUGAAUUUAGCAAAAAUAAUUUGGGUUACAACCAUCCAAAUAGAAUAUAGACAAAUAUGCAUUCGAUAAAAUGGUUUCAACCCAUUCUAAAAAAUCUAUUUUCAAAAAAAAAAAAAGGAAUUAUCCCUCCCCCGGCACCCGCUUCCCCCUCCCCCCUCCACACACCUUCCACCAACGUACCCCUAAUUUUUUUUUGUUUUUCAAAAACAAAAACAAAGAACUAUUUUUUGCAAGAAACAAAAUAAAAUUUUACCCCCUUGGUGGAAGUUGGGGGGGGGGGGGGCGGGAGGGGAUAAAUUUAUUUUUUAUUUUUUUUCAUAAACAAUUUUUUUUUUAAAAAAUAAAAUUUAGUGGUAGGUUGGUGCAAGGUGGGGGGGGGGUGGGGUUUCGCGGAGGGAAGGGGGUAGAUUUUUUUUUUUUUUUUUAAAAAAAAGAAAUUAGGGGUAUGUUGAUGGAAGGUAAAAAAAAUUUUCAAAAAUACUUUUUUUUAAAAAAUAAUAAUUAGGGAGGGGGUAAUUUUUUUUUUUCAAAUAUAAUUUUUUUUAAAAAAUAAUUAGGGAUAGGUUGGCGGGGGUCUGGUGGGGUGCCUGGGGAGGGGGUAUUUUUUUUUUGGAAAACAGAUUUUUUUUAAAAUGGAUUGAAACCAUUUUAUCCAAAUCAUAUUUGCUCAUAUUUCUAUUUGGAUGAAUUGUAAUUCAAUUUUUUUUUCUAAUUCAUAUUCAAUUCAUUCAAAUCCCAUCCAAUCCAACCAUUUAUCACACCUAUGGUGAGGGAAUUUAAGAAACACAAUCUUUUGUUGGACUUGAAACUUUAUUAUAUUUUAUUUACGUUUCCAAUAUAAUUUUGAACACUAGUAAUAACACUGAACGGAGUGAUAACAUGCUUUAAAUUUUCAUUUUACUCAUAACUAAACUAGCACUCCAUAACAGGAGUGUCAAAGAUUACAAGAUUUUUAGUAAAUAUUGAAGCAGCAUAACUUUUGGACCUGGGGACAAAAAUACGUAUGAUAAGAGCUUAGUGCUUCGGAUGUUUUGAUGAUCUCCUCACAUGUGCAUGGACCUGGUCCUCUGCAGAGUAUGAAACUAUUUCCAGCUGUCAAAAGCACUGGACAACUGUAAAUGCUGUCUAUAUCAAGAAGGUUGGUGAAGAGCAGUGUAUUUCACCAAUCAAAAUCGACUAGGUUGUUUGCAAUGGCGCAGCCAAAAAAUUCAUGAAGGGUAUCUGUUUUAAUACGGUUUUCGAAAAAUAAGUAUUUUUUUUUGUUUUUGAGACUUUUUAGAGUCGCCACUUAAUUUUUGACAAAAAUCAAGAAAAAUUGAUUUUCAAAAGAUUUAAACAGGAAACCUAGUGAAAACUUUAAGGGGGGUGGGGGGUGGGGGUGGAGGGUUCGGGAAUUAUUAUUUAUAUUUUAGGAAGGUUUUAAUGGCACCUAAAAUAUUCGCUAACGCGCGAUUAUCCGAUAACUAACUUAGUUUGGCUAAAGAAAAAUCUAACUUAUUUUGGUAAAAGUUAUUUAGAAUUGUUUGAAAGUGAAUUCUUGGCUUUUUAUCUAAGUGAACAUCUAACUUGAAAAAUUUAUUAUUUUAAAAAUAAUUAGAUGAAUUUAUUUAAAAUUCUUUUCAAAAAAUGGGACAAAAUCAAUCUAUUAUAUAACGAGUUGCCUACUUUGCAAAUUUUAUCAUUUUUUUUAUAGUCUAUUCAAAGAUGAUCAAUUUAGUUAGGAUAGUUAAAACAUAAAGGCAUCUUGGGAGGAUUCGAGGUUUCCAACUCUACAUCUAACGACGAAUAAGCAGAUAAUAAACGAAAAUAUAAAGAAGAGAGAGAGAGAGAGAGAGAGAAUUGGGUCGGGAUCAAAUCCGAUUUCUGUCCACCUAGACCGGUAUUUGGACCCAUUUCGCUUUUAGGCAUUAGGCCUAUUCGAUUUGUACCUGUCCUAAAUUCUAACAAGGUAUUGAUACAAAAGAUAAGGACUUAAACCCAAAAUAACAAAAUACAACUUUCAAAAAAAUAAAUUUGAGCCUUGGUGGACCAAUCUCUUCACUUCUUCCACCUCAAAUCCUUCAAUUUCAAAAACCUGUACGUCGAUUCCUAAUGGUCAAUUGACUCAAUGAGUGAAUUUGAGCCUUUACGGCUCUCUCUGAAAUGCAAGAGGGAAAGCGAUAGUUCAUGGCAAACUCGAACGGUUUAUCCAUGCAAACAAAGACAAAUGGAUUAGUAAGCAACUUGUUGGAACAAAGUUAAGAAUUUUACUUCAAACGGAUACUAAGCUUCCAUAAGAACAAAGAAGAAAGGACUCUAUGGUGAUUAAAAUAAAAUGUCAGUGACAUGUGGGGACCAAAAUAAAGUAAAUAAUUAUCCUACAAAGUCACCAUAGGAAAGAUAAAGAUACGGUUGGAUCACUCAUUCAACACAAAAGAUAAUUACUUGAAGGAAAGAAACCUAUGUUCCAAACAAACGCUAUUUCAAAUAAGGAUCAACACAAAUCGCAUCUACAAUAGGUCAAAAUAACCUGACAGAUGGUAACACCGCGAUAAAGAAGAAAGAAAAUUCAUAACUGCCUCUCCUAAUUCUAACAGAAAACAAGGAUUCAAACUUUUUUACAACUCAAAUAGCAUUUAAAGUAUCCACAGAUAGCGAACUAAGGAGUCGAGACAUUUAGUGCGGGAAUACAUUAUGCAAUCCGGAUUAUAUAUGCAUUCGUUAUUCUACCUCAAGUGCGAUUAACCAUGGCAACAUGCCUUUACAAACAAAAGAAAGCUUAAGAAAAGAGCGGGCUAAAAGGCGUUUGUAAUAAGUCAAGAGUUGAACAAAAACAUAACUUGGACAAAGACCACGAGAGAUAUAACUAUGCAAGUAGAACAGUGAUUCAAGAAUUUUUCUAAGCGCAAAUGAUUACUGAAACAAGCUUGCAGAAGUGCAAAAACAGGAAAGGACAACGUGUCAAAGUUGAAGGAAGCUGAAAACCUCCAUGGAUGAAAGCUUGAUUGGAGAAGAAGCAUUGAAAAUGUGUGUGCUAUUUUCAUUGAAUCCAAAAACUGAAAACUGCACAGUGGUUAUAUAACAAACAAAAAUAGAAAAUGUAACUAACUUUCUGAACCUAACUAACUAAUUAAUUGAUAACUAACUAACUACACUAACAGCUAAGUGUAAUUACUAAUUUAACCUCAAUACCCCCCUCAAAUUGGAGCAGAGGUGAUCGAACCAAUUUGUCCAGAAGCGUAGAGUGCUUAAUCCCAGUAAGUGCUUUGGUAAGGACAUCUGCCAACUGAUCAGUAGUAUCAAUAUGAUGCAGUGUAACAAGCCCUUCUUGGAGCUUUGAUCUCACAAAAUGGCAAUCCACUUCUAUAUGUUUCAUACGUUCAUGAAAAACAGGAUUUUUAGCAAUAUGUAUGGCUGCUUGGCUAUCACAAAACACAGGAAAUGGUGCAGUCUGAUAUAUAUUCAGCUCCUCAAACAAUCUUUGCAGCCAAGUUAAUUCACCUAUUACCUUUCUCAAGGAUCUGUACUCUGCUUCAGCUGAAGAGAGUGAUAUUGUCUCUUGUUCCUUGGACUUCCAGCUAAUAGGACUAUCUCCUAACAAUACAAUAUAACCACUAACAGAUUUCCUUAAAUCAGGACAGACAGCCCAAUCAGAAUCACAAUAUGCUUGUACUUCAAAAUUUGCAGCAAGUGACAUGAAAACACCUAGAGUAGAAUCUUUCUUGAGGUAUCUUAACAUGUGAAAAGCAGCAUGUAGAUGAGGCUCUCUAGGGUUUUGCAUGUAUUGACUGAGAAGUUGUACACCAUAAGUGUUGUGCGGAAUUUGAUAUAAUACGAGAAAAUAUAAACGCGAAAAACAAGACAACAGAUUUACGUGGUUCACCAAUAAAUUGGCUACGUCCACGGGAAGAGGGGGAGCAGUUUUAUUAUGGAGAGGCAAAAACCAGAAUUACAGAAUAGGGUUUGUCAUAGCGUCUAUAUAUAGUGCUAAGCUACGCCCUAACAGGCUUGGGCCCAACAUACAGAAUCAACAGAAAAUAAAGGGCCCAAUACAACAACAUUGUAUACCCCCGUCCUUUCUGUUUGUAGCGGGUCUGAUUCAAGGCAUUCAACAAUAAGCAAGAUCAAGCCUAGUAUGUGUAAGGAAAUUCAACUUGCCAAUUAGUUUUCUAUAGUAAGUAGGGUCAUCCAGAACUUUCCCUUCAUGGGAUCUUAGCUUGAUAUUUGGAUCCAGUGGAGAAGAUAAAGGAGCCAUGUGAUCACAAUUGAACUCUUUGAGAAGAUCCAACACAAACUUUCUCUGAGAAAUCAAAAUUCCAUCAUCUUUGUACAAGACUUCUAGGCCUAGAAAGUAAUGUAAUCUGCCAAGAUCUUUGAUCUUAAACUGAUUGUCAAGGAACCUUUUGAGCUCAUCAAUUUCAUCAGUGUCUGUUCCUGUAAGUAAAAUAUCAUCUACAUAAACACCUAGAAAGACAUUAGAUGCACCUCUUUUCCUGUAGAACAGUGAAUAGUCAUGAAGAGAAUGUUCAUAUCCUCUUGUGUGUAGCGCUUCAGUCAGUUUUUCAUACCACUGCCUACUAGCCUGCUUUAGACCAUAUAAUGACUUGUUAAGUUUGCAAACCAAAUUCUUGUGAGGAGUGACCAAACCUGUUGGUAUGUCCAUGUACACUUCUUCAUGUAAAUCUCCAUGUAGGAAGGCAUUGUUAACAUCAAGCUGAUGUAUAUUCCACUGUUUCUUUGCAGCAAUAGCAAUAAGUGUUCUCACAGUGGUCAUCUUGACCACAGGUGAGAAGGUUUCUGUAUAGUCUAUCCCAUGAUGUUGAGUAUAUCCCUUUACUACAAGCCUUGCUUUAUACCUUUCUACACUUCCAUCAGCCUUGUGUUUGACCUUAUACACUCACCUACAACCAACAGGCUUCUUAUCCUUUGGUAGGUUUGUGAGAGUCCAAGUAUUGUUGUCAUGCAGGGCAAGAAACUCUUGUGUCAUAGCCUUUUGCCAUGCAGGAUCCAUAGAUGCUUCCUCAUAUGAAUUAGGCAUGAGAGACAUUCAUUACAAAACACUGACUAUCAGAAUUAAAGACAUCAGGAGACACAUGAUGUUUAAGAGUAAAAAGGGCACUCAAGGAUGAAGAAGGUGGUUGUGGUGGUUGUGAAUUUGAAACAGUUGGGGAUGGUACAUUGUGAACAUAGUCAGACAAAUAUGCAGGAGUCUUAUGUAGUCUUUGGGAUCUUCUAAGUUGUGGUAUGGAUAGUGAAUUUUCAGGUGUGAUAUAAGCAGGUGAUGUGGAGGUAGUAGGUGAAGUGGUGGGAACCUCAGUGGUUGCUUCAUUACUGGAAUGAUUUUGAUCAUCAUAUGAUAUUGGAUAACCAUGAAGAUACACACAAUGAAAAAAAAAUUUUGGAAAGUGAGUAGGAUCUUUAGACAUGACAAAAGGAAAGAUUGUUUCAUGAAAAAUUACAUCUCUAGAGACAUGGAUUUUCUGAGUGGAUAAGUUCAAGACUUUGUAACCCUUUGUAGCAUAAGGAUAUCCAACAAACACAUGUGGUAUGGUUUUGGGAUCAAAUUUAGUUCUGUGAGCUUUUGGAAUAGUAGGAUAACAUAAACAUCCAAAACUCUUUAAGUGUGAGUAGGUAGGUUUGUGUUUAUAUAAAAUUUCAUAAGGAGUUUUAUUGUUAACAGGAAAAGAAGGUAGUCUAUUUAUAAGAUAUGUGGAAGCAAGUAUACAUUCACCCCAAUAUUUCACUGGGAGUUUAGACUGGAAAAGAAGAGCCCUUGCUGUUUCAAGAAUAUAUUUGUGCUUUCUUUCGACCACACCAUUUUGUUGAGGAGUAUAGGGACAAGAUUUCUGAUGAAUGAUCCCUUUGGAUUGAAAAAACAAAGUGGUUUCAUUGCUAGUGAAUUCUAAACCAUUAUCUGAUCUGAUGGUUUUAACAGUGGUGUUGAACUGGUUCUCAACCAUGAGUAUAAAGGCUUUACGGAUAUGGAAAGCAUUGCUUUUACUACUUAGAAGAUGUGUCCAGGUAGAUUUACUAAAGUCAUGUACUAAGGUAAUGAAGUACUUGAAGUUGUCAUGAGUUGGUGUGUGAUAUGGACCCCAAAUAUCAACAUGUAAUAGUUCAAAAAUGCCAGUAGUGGUGUGAGUUUUUGGUGGAAAGGGUAAUCUGGAUUGUCUUGCGCCAUGGGACAUAUAGGACAGAAGAAAGGUUGUUUUGAUGAGAAGUUUACUGGUAUGGAGGAUAUAUUUUUCAUCUUCACAAAAGGUACAUGUCCAAGUCUAUAAUGCCACAACAAAUCCACACUAUCAUUAGGAAAGGAAUUAGAACUAAAAGAGUUGUCAGCAACAUUGUCUUUAUUACCAACAAGAGAAGAAUUUAUUGCAUUUGAAUGAGAGUUACAUGAGAGAGAUGUACAUUGUACUUUAUCACUGGAUAGAGGGUAAAGAGAAGAGGAAUGAUGUUGAGGAUGUGAAUUCUUUUGUAGGCAGUCUGAGCAGAGGAAGUAAAGGCCAUCAUGCAUCUUACCAAUUUUCAGAGGCCUCUUCAGUGAAGGGGCCUGCAACAGACAAUAAGUGUUAGAAAAAGAGACAGUGCAUUGGAGAUGGUUUACAAGAGAGUUGAUGGGGAUUAAAUUGUACUUGAAGGAGGGGGCAUACAAUACUCCUGACAGGAUGAUUUUAGGUGUAAGAUGUACAUUACCAACCAUUGGGAUUUUGACUCUAUAUCCAUUUGGUAAUCUGACUAACAUAGGAUAAGGUAGAUUUACUGUAUUCACAAGGUUAUUUUUGUUAAAAGUCAUGUGAUGAGAAGCUCCUGACUCUAGAAUCCAUAGGUCAGUCCUUGUUUUGAAACACUCAGAUGAAAGUUUAAUAUAAUUAGGAGAAAAAGAACAAGCAAAAGCACCUGCAAAGUUCACAGAUCCACAUACUCCAUCAUUUUGAAACUAAUUCAGGAGGUGAGAAACUUGAUCAUAUUGCUCCUUGGUGAUACUGAUAUUCUCAUUUCCUUGAGGAUCAUUACAAGAGGUUGAACUUGAUUCCUUUGUCUGCCCACUGGCAUCUUCAUCACAGGAUAGUCUUACAGAGUUUGUUGAUGCACCUCUUCCUUUAUUGUUAUGCCUUGGAUUUGAAUAUGUGUUUUGAACUGUGUUCCUUGGAUUUUGCUGAUCACGAAUAGAACCAUUUGUGUCAUUAGAUGGAUAGCCAUGCAACUUGUAACACUUUGCUCUAACAUGUCCUUGCCUUUUACAAAAAUCACAAAAAGGCCUUCCUCUUGGUGUUGUGUUGGAGGUAGAAUAAUUUGUUUGAAAACUUCUACCUCCUGAACUUGAUGAAACUGCAGCUAGAGAACUACUCUCAGUAAACAUUUGAUUAUUUGGCUUAAACUCUCGUUGUUUUUCCUCUUGUACCAGUAAGGCAAAGGCUUGUGCCAGGGAUGGUAAGGGAUUCAUCAUCAAAAUACUUCCCCUAAUCGUAGUAUAUACCACAUUCAAACCCAUCAGAAAUUGAAUCAAACGUCUGUCUUGCUCCGCCUUCUGAACAUUGGCUUUAGCUCCACACACACACACACAACUACACUGACUUGAAACACAUAAACUGUUUAAUUCCUCCCAAAGUCUCUUCAUCCAAGUGUAAUACGUUGUGAUAUCGAGAAUACCUUGAUUAAGGUCAUUUAUCUCCUUUCUGAGUUUGAUACAAUUUUGCUCCAUUUGCCUGAUCAUAUCGAUCCUCCAGUUCUGUCCACAGUUCCAAAGCAUCAUUGACAUAUUCAACACUACCAGUAAUAUCUCGAUCUAGAGAAUUGAGAAUCCAUGAAGUGACCAUAUCAUCACACCUCACCCAUCCCUCUGGUCUCUUACACUCACCAUUGAUGAACACUAGCUUGUUCUUCACUGACAAGGAACGAAGUACACUACAACGCCAUGAAUGAAAACCAGUACCAUUGAAAGGAAUUGGUACAAGUACUGCUCCAGGAUUAUCUGAGGGAUGAACGUAGAAGUGACUCCCUGCAUCAAUCCCAGAUGGAGGAACACUGUCUAAUCCAGUGCUCGUAGAGGCAGAAUUUGCCAUUUAUGUCUCAAAGGAAAAUUUAAAAAUUUACAGAAGAUGAAGUAUGAAGAUCUGAUGCGCAGAUUGAAGAAGAAAGAAGCAAGAAAAUCAGAAACAUUCCUGCUCUGAUACCAUGUCAAAGUUGAAGGAAGCUGAAAACCUCCAUGGAUGAAAGCUUGAUUGGAGAAGAAGCAUUGAAAAUGUGUGUGCUAUUUUCAUUGAAUCCAAAAACUGAAAACUGCACAGUGGUUAUAUAACAAACAAAAACAGAAAAUGCAACUAACUUUCUGAACCUAACUAACUAAUUAAUUGAUAACUAACUAACUACACUAACAACUAAGUGUAGUUACUAAUUUAACCUCAAUACAACGUACAGGGUUCGUAGAAGUAUUUAACGGAGGAACAUGAACAAAAAAAAAACCAAAGAGAUGCUAAUGAACGAGACAGACAUUACUACAACAAUUUUCAACAGAGAAAUUGAGCUAGUGACUUGCUUCAAGAUCAGCAACAUAAACCAGAAACUUGCGAGAUCAUUAUUUGCAACAAUAAAAAUAAAUGUUGAUAAACACCUAAGCAAACAAUAAAUCUUAUAUUUAUUUGAAAAUAAAGGAUAAACAUCAUCUAUUAAGGAUGCGACUGCACUGUCACUUUAUCUAAAUCAACUAUUUUACAAAAUUUAAGCAAGUUAGCAGUCCAAAAUUCACAUAAUCAGUUCAGAGCGAGAUAUGAAUGGCUUGAGGUCCAAUGUCGACUAUCCCCGCGGAAUCGUAACAAAACUGAUGCAAACCAAAACUUAGCAAGACUAUUUCUAGAUUGUUUAUGGCGAUGCUAUGAGAAAACAAAACAAUAGGACAUACAAUUAUUGUGGAGUCCAAAUACUUCUAUAUCUUACUCACAUGGUGAAGGCUGGUCUCGGAACGGGCAAAAUGACCACAAUCUCAACGGCACAAACAGAGAGAGAUAUCAAAAUAAGAAAAUCUAGACUUUCUUAACGAAACAAAACAUGUUGUCUUUGCUCACAAGAAUAAGCUGAAAAUAGUAACUUCAAACCAAACACAUCUUAUGAUCUAACUUAAAAUCCACAGCGAAACUAUAUAUCAAUCCCAUAAGGAGCAAAACAAGAAAAAAGAAAAGAUUACGACUUAUUUACCUAGUUAUGGGCAGCGAAGUGGGAUGACGACGAAUAGCAGACCUCACCACACAGGAAAAUUCGAAUAUAGAUCAACAAAACGAGGGCUGAAAACUAGUUCUUUUUUUUUUUUGUUUUCUUUUCGAGUGUAUUCUUAUAUAUUUGGUUGUUCUUAGUUACGCUGCUUUCAAAAGCUUAAAAAUAGGACUUCGCUAAACCGGGAAUCUCUAUGUAUAUAUAUCUUAAUUUAAAUUAAUGUGUAACAUAAUCAAGUCUAUGAAUAGAAAAAAAAAACGGUUCUAUUAAUUCGAAGAUUCUACUCUAUGUAAUAGGAAAAGACAUCCGUUUACUCUUUUGUAACUCCUAAAUACUAAUCAACAAAUAGGCCUUUUGUAUCUCCUAGCUCAACUACUGCUUAUCCCCAUUAAUUAGCAUUUGAAUUAAUUGGUAAUUAACAAUUAAAAAUUAAAAAUAUAAGAAAGAGGAGAUGUUACUCCCAGAUUAUUUCUGGAAAAUGAAUAACAACAAAGACCAUCAAGCUUUGAGGUAUGUUUCCUGACUAGCAAAUCUAUCUCUUUGUUUUUUCUUUUUUAACUUAUUUUUAUUAUAAACCUUAAAUUUCAUGUAGCGAAUAAUAUUUCUAUGAUAUAUAGAUUGUUUUGAACGAUAGUAUGAUUUGUAGGCGAUUUUCUUACAUCUCACUUUUAUAGAAUAUCAAAUUUGAUUAUACGCGAUUUCGUUGCAACCAUGAAUGGAUAGCUAAUUGCACAUGCAAGCGAGCACCUUAUACUUAAUCUAUCAUAACUAAGAAGGUCUUAUAUUUCAUGGUAACUUUUUGUACUUAUAAAAGCUUUCUAAAUUGUUUAAAAUAUUUCAUUGACUAGCUCAAGACGUCGAUGCGCCACCAGAUUGACCAUUUUGUUAUCAACAUUGUAGUCGUCUUUCUUUUAUUUUUGUCAAAUAUUACGAAUGCUAAGGUUUUAUUCAAGAAAAGUAAUGAUAAGUUUUUUUUCGUUGUUAUGUUGUUUAUUAUCUUAGGAUAGUGUACAAUAUGCAUACUGUAUGCACAUUGAAUAAAUUACAUAUUUUUCUUUUGAAGUUAAUCUUAAUAUUGUCAUUCACACAGAGUUGGUGGCCACGAGAAUUUUGCAAAAAAAGUGUUGUCCUCAACACUUUAGUACAAUGAUUCAAGAUUCCAUUACAAUAUAAUAUUGUUGUAUACUUUCCUUAAGUUCUUUUAAAACAAAUUAAUUUGAUUACACAUAUUUUUCAUGUAAUAGUUCUCAUGUAAUAUUUCUUUAUUGGUCAUUAUUUUUCCUAUUAUUUUAUGUCCUUCGUUCAUUUUUUUAUUUUAAUGAUUGUUGGAGUGUUUAUAUCCCAAGAAACUUCAGUCUUGGGGCCUUGGGGGUUAUAAUUUCCCUCCCCCCCCUCCCCCCCGUCCAAAAUUUUAUUUAUUGACAUUUAAGUUCUAGGCAGAAAGUAAACUCUUUUACUGAUUAGACAAAAAGUAAACACUAAAAAGAGUUCAUUUUAUAUGCACAAAAACACAGAUAGGAGUACUUCAGACAAUGUUGAGCAAUUUUAUAUCAACAAGAGUUGAUCUUAUAUAAAUUAUAACAGCAACAAAGGUCAAACGUGCAAGGCACGUUUUCAGAACUCGUACAAUUAUAUAUGAAAGAACUCAGUUCAUAUACCUCUCAUAAAGCGUAACAGCGUGCAAACUUUCUUCUCAGUUGUAUUAAGGGUGUGCAAAAUUAAAUAUACCACAUAAUUUUUCGGAAUAAGGUAUGCACUGGACCACCCUUCACCUAAGGUGGCUCCGCCCAUGUACUUUAUAAUAUAGAAUUAUCCAAUUUAUGGCAUUUUCAGCUAUUAUUAAACAGAUAUUGUGUCUUUACCUCUACAUAUUGCUCUGAUGAAGGUGCCACAGUAUAAUAGGGUCUUUCGUGGCAAAUUCCAUAUCCAUGCCCUUGGAACUUCAAUUGGUUGUUGAGUGGACUCUUCAUCUGCAAAAAUCUGUGUAGAUCACAUCAUUAGUAUUUCUCGAACAAAGAGUUAUAUGUGAAAUGGUUGCAUGAUUGAAUACAUUAGCAUGAAAUGAAGAAUAGAAAGUAAAAUUCACCUCAUUUACUUGGAAGUAUGUUUCAUUGAGUGGAAAUUUUCCCUUAUUUAUUGUUCGACACAGAAUCUGAAGAUGAUAUUGUUAGUGAAAAAAAAACUUACAAGAUAAUAAAAUUGCAAAAUUACAAUUGAAAAUAAAAUGAAGAAAGUAAUCUCUUCAGGCUGAGGCGCGUAUAUCUCGCUCUCUUUAAGGAGAUUCAAGCCCACUGCAGCAAAUGUUUUCACCGGUCCAGCAGUAGUCCUCUUUGACUUGUCCCCUCCAGGAUACAACAACCUUCACAAAGUAUAACUCAACAACUAUGGACAAGAGUUGAGUCCAAAUCUCCACAAAAAAGAACACCUCCCUUCAACUAAUAAGAAUUCUCUUUUAGACUAACUCUUUCACUCUUUGUUUUCUCUUGUGUUUUGUGUGUCUCUAAGACCAAAUGAAGACUAUCACUAUUUAUACUACAAGAAGUCUUCCUAGCAUUGAAUAGGAAGAUAAUUGAGGUAGUAAAUAGUGAAUAUAAUGGUCUUAGGAGUUUCAUAGGUUACAAUGGAAGUUACAAAGGUUACAUAAGUUACAAUAGGAGUUACAUAGGUUACAUAAGUUACAAAGAGUAAUGGAGGAAUUAAGAAUGAAAUACAUUGAUGGAUAACCAAUGCUAAUGGAUGAUGUAGAAGUCAUCCAUUCCAAUGUUCAUUCUUAUAACUCCAAAAUAAAGCAAUUUAAUAUGUUAAAUAUUAAUAUUAAAAUGCUAAUAACCUAACAAUCCCCCGCUCAUUUUAAUAUUUAGAUAAGAGAGUAUAUCAGUUGAAGGAAGACUACUAUGCAUAAUGAAGGUGUGCUCUGCAUUGAACCUCCACUUAGUGAAACAGUAACUUUUACUCCAGAGUCGUAGUGGUCUCAGACUUGAACUAUGACUGCUUAAGGGAAAUAAAAUAUCACUGCUCACACAUAAUAAUCAAGGUGUUGACAUGAGAUUUAACAGCCAGCACGUUAUGGUCAUGUGCUAUCCCGGUUUCAUGAGUACAUUUGAAAAUAAGCCCCAUUCUCAUAGUAAGCGACCUACUUCCACACAUCACAUAGGUGAAAUCUAUCGAGAGUGCUCCUGUAAGAUUAACACUCCACCCAUACGGGCUAAAAAUAUUCAUUAAGAGUUUUAUCAACUCAACCUUCACAAACUACAGGAAAUAAUGCACUCACAUCAUAGGGAGAGAAAAAAAUAGUGCAUUUUUCACAACAAGUCAAAAUAUGAUUAGUUUUUCCCUUUGAACCUGGUUAUAGGAUCUCUAGUCCCCGGGUUGGGUUUCCUCAUAUAUAACUCAAGGAUUUGUAGGCUUCAAUCCCAUCCCCAUCGAUGUGCUCCAGACCUUUUCUCUUGUUAAGGCCUUCGUAAGAGGAUCUGCAAGAUUAUCACAAGAUUUGACAUAAUCAACAUUUAUGGUACCAUUUGUCAAAUACGAUCUUACAUUACUGUGUUUCCUCCUUAUAGGUCUGGAUUUACCGUUGUAAUGAUGGUUUUGAACUCUACCAAUUGCAGCGGUGCUAUCACAAUGAAUUAAAAUAGGAGGAAUUGGUUUUUCAAAAUAAGGAAUUUGAAACAAUAAAUCUCUUAACCAAUUCGCUUCCUCACUAGCUGAAGCUAAAGCAAUUAGUUCAGCCUCCAUGGUAGAGUUAGCAAUUAUAGUUUGCUUUUUUGAUCUCCAACAAACAACACCACCACCUAAAGUAAAGACAUAACCAGUUGUAGAACAGGAAUCACCUGACAAAGUGUUCCAAUCCGCAUCACAAAAGCCUUCAAGUACAACAGGAUAUUUUUUCUAGAACAAACUACAAUUUUUCAUUCCAAUUAAAUAUCUCAUAACUCUUGUUAUAGCAUGCCAAUGUUCAUUACCUGACUUGCUUGUAAACCUGCCAAGUACUCCUACUGCAUAUGCAAUAUCAGGCCUAGUGCAAUCAGUCACAUAUCUCAAACUUCCGAUUAUACUAGCAUAUUCCUUUUGAUUUAUUACAUCAUUUUCACUUUCAAUAGGAAAUAAGUGAACACUUGAAUCAAAAGGAGUAGCAACAUGCUUGCAAUCAUGAAAGUUAUAUUUUUUCAAAAUUUUCUCAACAUAAUGUGACUGGUCAAGGAAAAUCCCCUCACAUGUUCUUGUUAUUUUUAUUCCAAGAAUAAAAUUUGCCUCACCAAGAUCUUUCAUAUCAAAAUGGCUUCUAAGAACAUUUUUAGCUUCAUCAAUAACAUUCAUGUUAGAGCCAAAGAUCAACAAAUCAUCAACAUAUAGGCAAAUAAUCACAUGAGAAUUAUUCCAAGACUUAUGAUAUAUGCACUAAUCACUCAUUUGUUUUAAAAACCAUUUUCAAUCAUGCAGGAAUCAAACUUUUCAUGUCAUUGCUUUGGUGCCUGUUUCAAGCCAUAUAGGGAUUUAGUAAGUUUACAUACUUUGCUUUCUUGGCCUUCUUCAACAAAACACUCGGGUUGGUCCAUAUAAAUUUCUUCAUUUAGGUCUCCAUUUAGAAAAGCAGUUUUUACAUCCAUUUGAUGAAUUUGCAAAUCAAAAAUUGCAGCCAUAGCAACUAAAAGUCUAAUGGAUGUAAUUCUUGUUACCGGAGAGAAAGUAUCAAAAAAUUCUAGGCCUUCUAGUUGUUUAAAACCUUUUGCAACUAGCCUAGCCUUGUAUUUAUCAAUAGAACCAUCCGGUUUCAACUUUUUCCUUAAGACUCAUUUGCAACCAAUUGUUUUACAACCCGGUGGUAAAUCAACUAACUUCCAAGUUUUAUUAGAAAUUAGAGAUUCCAUUUCAUCAUUUACAGCCUCUUUCCAAAAAAUAGAAUCAUGUGAAGAUAAUGCUUCUUUCAAAGUUAGAGGGUCAUUUUCAACAUUAAACACAUAAAAAUCAGAACCAAAAUCUUUUUCUACUCUAGCUCUUUUACUUCUUCUUAACUCAAAAUCAACAACAUUUUUAUUUUUUAAAGUUGAAGUAGAAGAACUAGGUAGUGACAAAAUAUUUUGUUCAAUCCUUUGACCCCCACUAUUUUUAGUAUCAAAAGGAAAUUUAUUUUCAUGAAAAAUAGCAUCAUCAGAUUCUAUUACAAUAUUAUCUUCAAGAUUAAAAAAUCUAUAGGCUGUACUAUUUGAAGCAUAACCAAGAAAAGCACAAGUAGUAACUUUCUUACCCAACUUUGUAAUCUUGGGAUCCAUUAGCCUCACAAAGGCUAGACAACCCCAAACUCUUAGAUAACCCAAACUUGGUUUGUAACCUUUCCACAAUUCAAAAGGUGUCAAUUUAGACUUUUUAUAAGGCACACGAUUCAACACAUAACAAGCAGUUAAGAUAGCUUCACCCCAAAAAUUUAAAGGUGCAUAUGACUCAAUUAGCAUGACAUUAGUCAAUUCAACCAAAGUUCUAUUUUUCCUUUCUGCUACUCCAUUAGACGAAGGAGAGUAAGGAGGAGUAGUUUUAUGAAUUAAUCCCAAUGAUCUAACAAAAGAAUUAAACUCAUUUGAUUCAUAUUCACGGUCUCUAUCACUUCUAAUUCUUUUUAUUUUUCUUCCAAACUGAUUUUCAACCUCAUUGGGAUAAGUUUUGAAAUUUUCAAAAGCAUCACUUUUAUUUUUCAUCAAGUAAACAUAUGUAAACUUAGAAAAUUCAUCAAUGAAAGUGAUAAAAUAUCUAUUACCUCCACGAGUUAGAAUUCCACCAAGUUCACAAAUAUCAGUAUGAACUAAUUCUAACAAAUCAGUCUUUCUUUCAACUUGAAAAUGAGGUCUUUUAGUGAUCUUGGCUUUACUACAAGCCUCACACUUUUCAAAAUUCUUUUUAAUCAUUGGGAUUAAUCCUAAACUACUCAUGAUUCCAACAUAACGAUCAUUAAUAUGACUUAAACGAGCAUGCCAAAAAUUAGUAGAAGAAAGCAUAUAAACAGAAGUAGAAGUUUUAUUCAUUUCAACAUUCAACUUAAACAUCCCAUCACAUGCAUACCCCUUCCCCACAAAAAUACCUUUCUUCACUAUUACAUAUUGAUCAAAUUCAAUAAUCUGUUUAAAGCCUGCUUUAUUAAGAAGAAAACUAGACAUCAAAUUUUUUCUCAUAGAAGGAGUAUAAAGUACAUCUUUCAAUGUUAAUAUCCUUUCAGAAGUAAAACACAAUUCAACAUCUCCCUUUCCAAGCACUUGAGUAGUGUGAGCAUCACCAAGCAUGAUGGUUUUGGGCUCCUCAAAAUGAGUAUAUUUUUUAAACCAGUCUUUGUCAUAACAGACAUGACGGUUUGCACCAGAAUCAACCCACCAUCCAUCAACAUUCUCAACCAUAUUUAUGUCGGUAAUCACCGCCACAAAAGGUUCUUCGGUAACGUUUGCUUGAGGGUUAGGACCACGUUUACGAAAUCUGCAAAAUCGAGCAAUAUGCCCACUCUUGCCACAAACAAAGCAUGGUCCCUUUUCUUGAACUUGUUGAUUUUGUGCUUGGUGAUUUUCACCAUUAUUUUUCUUGGGAGGUCUACCAUUAUUUUUCUUGAAUUUUUUCUUCUUAGGCUUUAAACAAGUAUUUUUGUGAGUUUCAGGAUUAGCAUUAUUCGAAGUAAUUAAAUUUACCUUCGAUGUGAUGUUGUUCUCUUCUGUUUGUAAAAGUGCAUCUUGGCCUCUUGCUUCUUCUUCCAUGCAGAUUUUCAUUAUCAAGGUUUCAAUAGAGGUUUCCUUUUGUUUGUAGCGCAUAGUUUUUUGAAAUUCCUUCCAUGAAGGUGGAAGUUUAUCCACUAUGCCACAAACAAUAAGGUUAUCUCCAAUUUUAACCUCUUCGGACCUAAGCUCUCCAACAAUCAUGAUGAAGUCUUGAGCUUGAUCUACCACUGAUUUGUUGUCCACCAUUUGGAAACGAAAAAAUCUACUAGCUGCAUAUUUUUUCGCUCCAGCCUCUUCGGUAUCAUACUUACUCUACAAUGCCUUCCAAAUUUUCUUUGCACUAGAGUAAAUUCUAUCAUAAUAAUCAAAAAAAUUAUCAGAUAGACAAUUAAGAAGAUAAUACCGACACUUAUAGGAAUCACCAUCGUACUUUUCCACUUUCUCUAGAUGAGAAAUAGUUUCAUCAUCAUUCAUACUGGUGAUGUCUUCUUUAUUUGGAUUCUUCUCAGUUAAAAAGUAAGAAACAUUGAGAAGACUUAAGUAGAAAAAUACUUUACCCUUCCAUCUUUUGAAAUGGUUACCAUUGAACCGAAAUGGCUUGUUAAGAUCUCCCAUUUUGACAUCCGCGAUUUUUUCAAUUGUAGCCAUCUUUGAAUCUCCUUAAAAUUAUUAGUGAAAAAAAAAUUUACAAGAUAAUAAAAUUGCAAGAUUACAAUUGAAAAUAAAAUGAAGAAAGUAAUCUCUUCAGGCUGAGGCGCGGAUAUCUCGCUCUCUUUAAGGAGAUUCAAGCCCACUACAGCAAAUGUUUUCACCGGUCCAGCAGUAGUCCUCUUUGACUUGUCCCCUCCAGGAUACAACAGCCUUCACAAAGUAUAAUUCAACAACUCUGGACAAGAGUUGAGUCCAAAGCUCCACAAAAAAAAACACCUCCCUUCAACUAAUAAGAACUUUCUUUUAGACUAACUCUUUCACUCUUUGUUUUCUCUUGUGUUUUGUGUGUCUCUAAAACCAAAUGAAGACUAUCACUAUUUAUACUACAAGAAGUCUUCCUAGCAUUGAAUAGGAAGAUAAUGGAGGUAGUAAAUAGUGAAGAUAAUGGAUUUAGGAGUUUCAUAGGUUACAAUUGGAGUUAUAAAGGUUACAUAAGUUACAAUGGGAGUUACAUAGGUUACAAAGAGUAAUGGAGGAAUUAAGAAUGAAAUACAUUGAUGGAUAACCAAUGCUAAUGGAUGAUGUAGAAGUCAUCCAUUCCAAUGUUCAUUCUUAUAACUUCAAAAUAAAGCAAUUUAAUAUGUUAAACAUUAAUAUUAAAAUGCUAAUAACCUAACAGAUCUUAUGAGUUAGUUUCUACUGGAUAAAUAACUAUCCAAAUAAAUUAGAAUGUGAAAAAUUUUACAAACACGAGAUAUCCAGGAGAAAUUAUCAAGUCAUAAAAAAAUUCUCACAAAAAAUGUCCCACUAACAGUCUCAAUAUUGUUUCCUGUGCCUACGUUUGAUGCAUUGAUCUUGUUUUGAGUCUCAUUGCAAUUCAGGAUUUACACUUCUCUUUUGUAGGUUCUUCUGAAGUUGCUUUCAUAUACGGUACAAAAGUGUGAGUUCACUAUGAUUAUCCUACAUAGACCACAUAUUUGUAUUUCUUUUUUUUUAUAGAAAUUUAGUCCAUUCAAGUAUAUAACUUUUUGGAAAGCAAUUACCUGGUGUCCUAAUAGCAAGUAGAUAUGGGCAACGAUCUUCCAGUUCUCGUUUCUCUAGCUGCAUUUAUAAGCUUCAGUCAACUUCACCAAAUCAAAAGGCAUGAUAAAUAAAUCAUUUAAUUCAUGUUGGUAACCUAACUUACCCUUUCUAACAGAGGAUGUGAAUCUGGAAGUCAUAGUUGCAAUGCGUAGUAAAAAUGAACAGUUAUUUAAACACUUAGCCAUUUUCUUCGGUAUCUUCUGAAAUGUGCAUCCCUUUUUAUUGUUCAAAACUUCUUACGAAUUUUUCUUCUUCUUAUAUCCAUUUUCAGCUCAAUAAUAAGAUUCUUAAUGUGCACACAUAACUUUCUUUAUUAAUACUAUUGAGAAUUACAACUAAUUAUCUAUGUUAAUAGUAGUUUAAUAGUGCAUUAACAAAUUCUGUUAGUUAGUUACAUUAGUUAGUUACUUAGUUAGUUACAUUUUUUAUUCCUUUCUAGAAGAUUCUUGAUCACAUGUAUAUAGUGCAUGGUUGAUGAAUGAAGGAACAGAUUUUGCUUGGCUGAAUCCACAAACACUUUCUUCUUCUCCUCUUCUCAUUCUCGUUAAUCACCAUUAAUGGCUAGCUAUCCAUAGGAAGCUGCAUUGCAUACUUUUACUCACUGAUACAGUGAGUUCUGUUAUGGUAUCAGAGCAAGGUUGAUUUCUCUCGUUUCUGCAUCAUCAAGAUCUAUUUUCGAUCUGUUUUGUUGUUUUCAAUUCGUUGAUCCAUCAUGACAGAAACCACUACUCAAGAAACUGCUACUAGAAUUAAUACAAACAGUGUUUUCUAUGUCCACCCUUCAGAUAAUCCAGGAAUAUCACUUGUUCCAACUCAGUUUGAUGGGGUUGGAUACAGAUCCUGGAGAAGAGGCAUAUUGCGAGCUCUGUCUGUGAAGAACAAGCUAGUCUUCAUUGAUGGAAGCUGUGUGAAACCAGUUGAUCCUUCUCAAUGUCGUCAAUGGCAGAGGUGUGAUGAUAUGGUAACUUCGUGGAUUUUGAACUCUCUUACAAAAGAGAUUGCAGACAGUGUUGAGUAUGUCAACAAUUCCUCUGAACUUUGGAAGGAACUAGAAGACAGGUAUGACCAAACAAAUGGUGCGAAAUUGUAUCAAAUUCAGAAAGAAAUUGAUGAUCUGACUCAAGGAACUUUAGACAUCACUGUCUAUUACACAAGGCUGAAGAAACUCUGGGAAGAGUUGAACUCCUUGAAUGCAAAGAGCAUAUGCACUUGUACAUGUACUUGUGGUGCCAAGGAUAGUAUACACAAAUCUGAACAGGAAAGACGUCUAAUACAAUUCCUCAUGGGAUUAAAUGAGGUUUACACUGUGAUCAGAGGGAAUAUACUCAUGAUGAACCCUCUUCCUUCCACUGCACAGGCUUUCUCUUUGUUGAUUCAAGAGGAAAAACAAAGAGAAUACAAGCCUGCUAGUCGUACACCUACGGAAUCGAUUUCAUUGAAUGUAAAUGCUGGUAGAGGAUCACAAGGUGGUAGAGGUUAUAGAACAAAUUUUUCUGCCAAUAAUGAUUCUAACAUCAACAACAGCAGAGCACUAUGAUCUAUGAUUUUUGUAAGAAACAAGGUCACAUUAAAGAAAAGUGUUAAAAGCUGCAUGGAUAUCCUCCAAGGAAUAAUAAUUUUAACAAUAGAACAAACAAUGCACAACAGUUCAAUACACAAUAACACAGGCAGAAUGACAAUCAGAACUUCAGAGGAAGAAGGAUUGUAGCCAAUGCACAUGGGGAAGAAUGCUCACAAGAAAACAGUAAUUCAAAUGCUGUCAUUACACAAGAACAGUAUGGUCAUAUUAUGAGUUUGUUGCAGCAAUUCCAGACUGAUAGCUCAGGAGAGGAUUCUAAGAGUAAUGCUGAGCCUAACAAGUUUGCAGGUACAAUACUGUGCACUUCUUCUAUUGAUUUUGGUAUUACUUCAUGCAAAUGUUCUAGAUCAAGUAUUGAUUUAUGGAUCAUUGACUCAGGAGCUUCAAACCAUAUGACAUAUAACAAAUCCUCACUAACAAACAUUCAAACAUUACCCUAUCCUAUACUUGUUUCACUCCCUAAUGGUUACAAGGUUAAAGUGACAGAGUAUGGUGAUGUACAUAUUUCAUCUAAAAUGGUUUUAAACAAAGUUUUACAGGUUCCCUCUUUCAAGUAUAACCUCAUUUCAGUCCAGUCUCUAGUCUCUUCAAUGAAAUGCAUACUUUCAUUUACUGAUACAACUUGUCUAUUACAGGCCCCUUCAAUGAAGAGGCCUCAGGAAGUUGGUAGUAGCAAGGAUGGCAUUUACUAUAUGUGUGGGAGAUGCUUGAAUGACACUACUCAUACCUCUGAUUCUGUUUGUAAUUGCAUAUCUCAUAGUUGUAGGUGUUCUUCAUUUCCAGCUUCAUCUUGUAAUAAAUCAUCUGUUAAACAAUCUAGAGAGGUUCCUGUAAUCUUUGAUAGCUCUUCUACUAAUAAUACAGGUGUGUUGAACAAUUAUGCAUCUCUUGAAUCUCUGAAAGAUGAUGUAGAUUUACUAUGGCAUAAUAGACUUGGCCAUGUACCUUUUGUGAAAAUGAGAAAUAUACCUACUAUUCCUAUCAAGUUUUCUGCCAAACAGCCCUUCACAUGCACCAUAUGUCCAAUGGCAAGACAAGUCAGGUUACCAUUCACUCCAAGCACAACACAUUCUAAGAACAUUUUUGAAUUACUUCAUAUUGACUUAUGGGGUCUUUAUCAUGUUCCUACAUAUGACAAUUACAAAUAUUUCAUUACCUUAGUGGAUGACUAUAGUAGAGCUACCUGGACAUAUUUGUUAAGCACCAAAAGCAAUGCCAUACAAGUCCUUCAAACCUUUAUUAACAUGAUAGAGAACCAGUUCCAACAACUAUAAAAUGCAUCAGGUCAGAUAAUGGUUUAGAGUUCAAUAAUAAUGAAACACUCAAAUUCUUCCAAGCUAAAGGUAUCACACAUCAGAAAAGCUGCCCCUAUACACCACAACAAAACAACAUAGUAGAGAGAAAGCACAGAUACCUACUUGAAACAGCUAGAGCUCUUCUCUUUCAGUCCAAAUUACCUACCAAGUACUGGGGUGAUUGUAUUCUUACAUCCACUUACAUCAUUAACAGGCUUCCUUCCACAUUCCUUCAAAACAAGUGUCCCUAUGAGGUGCUCUAUAAAGAAAAACCAAAGUAUAGUCAAUUAAGGUCCUUUGGAUGUCUAUGUUAUCCCACACUACUAAAGUCCAUAGAGACAAAUUAGAACCAAGAACCACCCCUCAUAUCUUUUUAGGAUAUCCUUCUGGAAUCAAAGGGUACAAGGUAAUGAGUCUUGCCACAAGGAAAAUACAAAUCUCAAGAGAUGUGAUUUUUCAUAAAAAGAUUUUUCCAUUUGUUACAUCUUCAGAAAACAACAUUUUUCCUUCUGUUUCAAAACCUUGUUCUACUGAUUUUUGUGAACCUUGUGAUACACUGUUGAACAACCAUUUGGAUGUAAUUGAUGAUCAUACAACUCUGUCUCUUAAUCCUGCAUCAUUAUAUUCCUCACCAACUACACAAACUGAGUUAUCAAGUCCACCUAUACCACAAAGAAAAUCCAACAGAGUAGUUAAGACACCUCAUCAUUUAAAAGAUUAUAUUUUGUCACUUCCUAAGCUAAGAACCAACUCAAAUCCUGUUUCCAACAUCAAUACCAUUUCCAACAAUAACCUGGCCUCCAAUACAUUCCUUAAUAAACACCAUUACAUAAGCCCUGAAGUCAUUGCUUCUAAAAGACAAGUCUUGGUUGAAAGCAUUUGUUGUGACAGUGAACCAUGUUCCUAUGAAGAAGCUGCAAACAAUCCUGCAUGGCAAAAGGCAAUGGAACAGGAAUUUGAUGCUCUACAUGCAAAUGAAACUUGGGAUCUAGUUAAACUACCCAUAGGUAAACAAGCCAUUGGAUGCAAAUGGGUUUAUAAGGUGAAACAUAAAGCUGAUGGUAGCACAGAAAGGUUCAAGGCCAGGUUGGUGGUUAAGGGAUACACUCAAAAGGCUGGGAUAGAUUACACUGAGACAUACUCACCUGUUGUUAAAAUGACUACUGUGAGAACAUUGAUGGCAUGUGCUGUGAAAAAGGGCUGGGAGUUGUUUCAACUUGAUGUCAACAAUGUUUUUCUACAUGGUGAUUUGCAUGAAGAAGUAUAUAUGUCAGUGCCUCAAGGUCUUGAUGUAGGUGAGCCAGGUCUAGUUUGCAAGCUUAACAAGUCCUUAUAUGGCCUUAAACAAGCCAGCAGACAGUGGUAUGCUAAAUUGACUGAGGCAUUGUCUCUUAGAGGCUAUACACACUCACAUUAUGAUCAUUCUUUGUUCUACAAGAAAUCUAAUUCACUGGUGGUGUUUGUGGCAGUUUAUGUUGAUGACAUAGUUUUGACAGGCACAGACACAGUUGAGAUCACUCAACUGAAAAUGUACUUGGAUAAGACAUUCAAAAUUAAGGACCUUGGUAGACUUCACUAUUUCUUGGGCAUGGAAAUACUUGACACUGCAGGAGGGGUCCUUAUUUCACAAAGGAAGUUUGUAUUGGACUUACUGAAGGAGUAUGAGUGCUCCAACUACACAUCUUUAUCAUCCCCUCUUGAUCCCAAUGUUAAACUCAUGGCUAAGGAAGGAGCUCCUCUCUCUGAUCCUACUUAUUACAAGAAACUUGUGGGGAAGUUGAAUUUCCUCACCAACACUAGAAUGGAUAUAGCCUUCAGUGUCCAACAACUGAGCCAGUUCAUGCAGGAUCCUAGACUUCCUCAUUUACAGGCAGCUUUUCACUUACUUAGAUAUAUAAAACAGGAUCCUACAUUGGGAGUUUAUUUGUCAAGAAAUUCUGAUUGUAACAUGAGAGCAUACUGUGAUUCAGAUUGGGCUACAUGUCCAGAUUCCAAAAGGUCUGUAAGUGGUUACUUGGUAUUACUUGGAGACAGCCCCAUUAGUUGGAAGUCUAAGAAGCAAGAAACAAUUUCAUUAUCAUCUGCAGAAGCUGAAUACAGAUCACUUAGGAAGGUAGUAGGUGAAUUAGCUUGGUUACAUAGACUGAUCAUUGAGUUAACUAUUCCUCAUCCUUCUCCUAUUGCUGUGUACUGUGAUAGCCAAGCUGCCAUUCACAUAGCACAUAAUCCUGUCUUCCAUGAAAGAACCAAACACAUUGAAGUGGAUUGCCAUUUUGUACGAGAUAAGCUGCAGGAGGGGCUCAUCUCGAUUCAACAUGUGCCUACAAAUGAACAAUUUGCAGACAUUUUUACUAAGUCUCUCAAUGGUGUCAAACAUGCUGCAGUCUUGAACAAGUUGGUUGUAAGAUCAUUACCACCAACUUGAGGAGGGGUAUUGAGAAUUACAACUAAUUAUCUAUGUUAACAGUAGUUUAAUAGUGCAUUAACAAAUUCUGUUAGUUAGUUACAUUAGUUAGUUACUUAGUUACAUUUUUGAUUCUUUUCUAGAAGAUUCUUGAUCACAUGUAUAUAGUGUAUGGUUGAUGAAUGAAGGAACAGAUUUUGCUUGGCUGAAUCCACAAACACUUUCUUCUUCUCCUCUUCUCAUUCUCGUUAAUCACCAUUAAUGGCUAGCUAUCCAUAGGAAGCUGCAUUGCAUACUUUUACUCACUGAUACAGUGAGUUCUGUUAAAUACCAAUGAAAUAGUUAAGAUAAAUGAAACUUAUUACAAAACUUACAGAUGGUGCUCUGUCCUUAAGCGACUUAUAUGCUUCAAUUUAGGCAAAAGACUUUUUGAGUUGCAAUGACCAAAGCUUUAGACAAACCAAUGUCUUUUGUUGAGAAAUCAUUCUCAUCUAUGUAACUUAACAAAUUUUCCAUGAAUGCUUGGAUAUCAAAUGUGAUGGUAGGUAUGCCACUGGCACAAUAAUCUUCAAUGUCUGUUUCUCCAAUACAUUCAAGUGCUGGAUAGGUUAUGAGCUCAUUCUUGUGAUCCCCCAUUGAAUGUUGCGAAUUCGAAGCUUCCUGGAAAGAAGAAACAAGUUGUGCUUGACAACUGUCAGCACAUGAGCAUGCACUGUCUACUGGUACUAAACGCAGUAUCGACAUUUGCAGAGCUAUUUUCCCCUGGCCCCUGGGAAGUCUUGCACUCCAUUAAUGUUCAAUAGGUUUACUUAGGAAGUAAAAAUAUAGUACUGCUUCUUCAUAUAUCUAUCAACAUGAUUUAAGUUUUGAAUGUUCCAUAAGAAGAUCAUUGCAAUGAUUUCAAAGAGAACGAAGAACUAUUAUAAAGUUUAUCGGGAAGUAUAUACUUAGAAGCAUCAACUGUAGAAAGAUACAAUAUAUUGGUAAAUUCAGCAAGAGAAAACCUUGUAAAAGCACUUGCAAAGUGUCUACAUUCUGCUUUCAUUGGAUAUUCAUUACAAUUUGGGCUUGAUUUUGUACAGAAUACAUGUGUGCAAACAAAUUACAGUCCCAGUCCCAGAAUAUCAAGAAAAGCAAUUUAAUACUAAUGAAAACUAACAAACCUUUCCAAAGGUAAUCAUCUGAUGAUGAAAUUCAUAUCUACAAACAACCGCAAAGGAACAGAAUGAUUUCACUAAUAUUCUGUCAGAAUAAUCAACUAUUAAAUUAAGAGUAUAUAUCUUUAAGUCUGAAGGUGAGGUUUUCUCAAGUCGAUCCUUACAGUGUUAGAUAAUUGAGUGUGCAUAAACGUGGCUAGAUAUACUUGUGAACAUCUUUGACGUCCGGGUACCUAAAGUAUGACAUUUAGUAUCAUGGAUAAAAACUUGCAAAAUGAGAAUUUGACAGCAUCAGCUUACAUAUUCAAAAGAUGCAUCUCUUGUCCUCUUGGAAGUGGUUGAAUAGGUAACCAACCUAGCCGCACGAGUACUCGUCCUACAUUUGUAUUGUUGAAUGCCUUGAAUCGGACCCGCUACAAACAGAAAGGACGGGGGUCUCGCUGCCCGGUCAGCGAGUCGGGGGGUCCAGGGGGGCGACGCGCCCCCUGGCCUGGGGUCCGGGGGGGCGGAGACGCCCCCGGCCCGACGGUAUACAAUGUUGUUGUAUUGGGCCCUUUAUUUUCUGUUGAUUCUGUAUGUUGGGCCCAAGCCUGUUAGGGCAUAGCUUAGCACUAUAUAUAUAUAUAUAGACGCUAUGGCAAACCCUAUUCUGUAAUUCUGUUUUUGCCUCUCCAUAAUAAAACUGCUCCCUCUCUUCCCGUGGACGUAGCCAAUUUAUUGGUGAACCACGUAAAUCUGUUGUCUUGUUUUUCGCGUUUAUAUUUUCUCGUAUUAUCUCAAAUUCCGCACAACAUGUAUUGUUAUAGAAUGUAUAUAGACUUGAUUUCUAGUAGAAUACAUAACCUUAUUUAGAUAGUAGAUUUGUACAAUUAGCAAAUUCACAAGAAUCAUCUUUUAUUUCUUUCCUAAGUUAGCACACAAUCUAUUGUAUUUAUUCAUUGCUUACCUAUUGGAAUAAGACAUCUUCUUCUCUCUGGUAUGUUUACAUGGUAUCAGAGACUAUAGGCUCGAUUCAUAUUCAUAAAUUGGAAACUCUUCGUAGGCUCUAUUCAUAUUCAGAAAUUGGGAACUUUUCUCUGUUUAUUCGAGAAAGAACUGAUCAUUUCAGUCAUCUUCGACGUCGCCUUAGCUGUUUCAGCGUAUCCGAGUUUUCUCUGGUGUUUAAAACACCCUUUGGAGAGUUUUCAUUUCCAGGUUACUUUCUUCCCUGUAACUUCUGCGACUUUAAUUUGGUAUCCAUCUUUUGUGCUUCUGCGGUUGCACUACUUCUAGGAUUCAAAUUAUUGUUGGAUUUGUGGGUUGCUUCUGGUGGUUAUCCCUGGUUUCUUUGUUCUUUGUUGUUGAUGCUGCUGGGAUUGGGAUCUGUAACUCUGGAUUACACAAUCUACUGGAAAUUUUCCAUUUUAUUCUAUUUUAUGUUAUGAUAUUGAUUUUCUCUAAAAAUUUGAUGAACAUUGAUGUUGUAUCUAUGUGAUUGCGCGACAUGUGUGUCCCUCUUUUAGCCUUUCAGAUUAUUCUCUAGACACUAUCUCUGUAUUUCUCUUCAUUUAACUGCUGAAAUUGAAACUAAAAAUGGAUGAAAGUCAGAGAGGAAGCAAUCACAGAACUCAAGCAACUAAUGUUGUUACUAGACAGACUUCUGAUAAUAUGGCUUUGGUUUCUACGGAGAAAUUUGCUCAACAUCAAAAAUCAUUGAUGGGAUCCAAUUCUAUUAAUGCAUUUUCUGAGUCAUAUAAGAUAUGCAUUAUUACCUCUUCGAAUAAAUGGGUUAUUGAUUCAGGUGCCACAAAUCACAUAACUGCGAAUCCUAGUAUUUUCUCUAGCUUUCGACCACACAAUUCACCAUCUCCAGUUACUGUAGCAGAUGGUUCAACUUGCAAUAGUGUUGGAUCUGGGACUGUCAAACCAACAUCCUCUAUUACAUUGUCAUCUGUCAUUAAGUGUACCGAAGUUAGCCUUUAACUUGAUUUCUGUCAGCAAAAUUACUAGAGAUCUGAAUUGUUAUAUUUCGUUCUUUCCAAAUUAUUGUUUGUUUCGUGAUCUUACGACAAAUCAAGUUAUUGGUAAAGGAUAUGUAUCUGAUGAUCUCUACAUCCUUGAUGAAUGGGAGUCUCGAUUAGUUGCCUGCUCUAGUGUCGUGUCUCCAUUUUUGAAGCACAUUAUCGAUUGGGACACCCUUCUAUGCCUUUGUUGAAGAAACUUUGUCCUCAGUUUCAAAAUAUUCAUUCAUUGGAAUGUGAAUCAUGUCGAUUUGCAAAACAUCGUCGCAGUUCAGUGUAUCCAAGGGUUAAUAAGCGAGCUGAGUCAUCUUUUGAGUUAGUUCAUUGUGAUGUUUGGAGAUCAUUUCCUGUCGUUUCCAAAACAGGGCUUAAGUAUUUUGUCACAUUUGUGGAUGAUUUCUGUCGGAUGACUUGGAUUUAUUUUAUGAAGAGUCGCUCAGAUGUGUUUACCUAUUUUGUGCCUUAUGUGUUGAAAUCAAAACUCAAUUUAAUGCUUCAGUACGUAUUCUAAGGAGUGAUAUGCUAAAGAAUAUAUGUCAGAGUUAUUUUAGUCAUACAUAAGACAAAACGAUAUUCUUCACCAGUCUUCGUGUGUUGACACACCCUCUCAAAACGGCAUUGCUGAGAGAAAAAAUAGGCACCUACUUGAGAUAACUCGAGCACUUUUGUUCCAAAUGAAGGUUCCUGAGCAGUUUUGGGCAGAUGCAGUCUCUAUGACUUGUUUUCUGAUAAACCACAUGCCAUCGACUGUGCUUGUUGGUAAUAUGCCUUACAGUGUUCUUUUUUCAAACAAGUCACUAUUUCCGGUGGAACCUAAGGUUUUUGGGAUCACAUGUUAUGUUCGACCAUCUAUUUCCAAGUUAGAUCCGAAGGCAUUAAAGUGUGUUUUUCUAGGCUAUUCUUGCCUUCGGAUUGGAUAUCGGUGUUAUUCUUUAGAACUCGACAGAUAUCUUGUGCCAACAUAUGUGGUAUUUUCAGAGACUACACCAUUUAUGUAUGCACCUCCCACUAAUCAACUAUUGUGCCUUCAACAUCUCCAGUUAGACCACCAAUUUUACAUGUUUACUUGAGGAGACACGAAACCGAAGAUACAUGUCCAUCACCAAUUACUUCAUCACCAGAUAUUGAUCUCCCUAUUGCUCUUCGCAAAGGUACACAAAAAUUGUAAAUCUACAUAUUCCAUUGCUAAUUUUGUUUCCUAUGACUGUUUAUCCUCGACGUCUAGAUCCUUGAUCAUUUCUCUAGAUAGUGUUUCUGUACCUAAAACAGUGAGGGAGGCUUUGAAUCAUCCUGAAAGGUCUGAAGCAAUGCUUGAGGAAAUUCAUGCCUUAGAGGAAAACCGCAUGUCGGAUUUGGUGGUUUUACCCAACGGAAAGAGACCAGUGGGAUGUAAGUAGGUUUUCGCAGUUAAAGUUAAUCCUGAUGGUUCUGUGGCAAGACUUAAGGCCAGACUUGUGGCUUAAGGGUAUGCUCAGACAUAUAGAGUGGAUUAUUCAGACACAUUUUCUCCGGUUCUAAACUCACUUCUAUUCGUUUAUUCAUUUUUCUGUCUGCUUCAAAGAAUUGGUCUUUACAUUAGUUGGAUAUCAAAAACGUUUUCCUUCAUGGUGAUUAUCAAGAGGAAGUAUAUAUAGAGCAACCACCUGGUUUUAUAGCUCGGAGGGUGGGGGUAUGGAAAAGUUUGUCAUUUGAAGAAGUCAUUGUAUGGCUUGAAACAGAGUCCUCGAGCUUGGUUCGGCAAGCUCGAUGAGGUAGUUCAAGAGUUUGGAUUGAAAAUGAGCAAAUGUGAUCACUCCUUUUUUUAUCGUCAAUCAACAGCUGGCACUAUCUUUCUUGUUGUAUAUGUUGAUGAUAUUAUCAUCACAAGAAGUGAUUAUAGAGGCAUCUCUUCUCUAAAGUCUUUUCUGCAUAAUAGGUUUCAUACGAAAGACUUAGGUCAAUUGAGAUAUUUCUUGGGAGUAGAAGUAAAUAGAAGCAAGAAGGAAUUUUUCUAUCUCAGAGAAAGUAUAUUCUUGACCUACUUGAAGAAAUCAGAAAGUUGACAGCCAAACCUUGCCGUACUCCAAUGGUUCCCAAUGUGAAUCUUAUGAAAGAUGAUAGUGAUCUUUUUGAUGAUCCAGACAAAUAUAGAAGGUUAGUUGGGAAAUUAAACUACCUUAUUGUGACUUGUCCGGAUAUUGCUUUUGCGGUAAGUGUUGUUAGCAAGUUCAUGACAUCACUUACGACCAAACAUUUGGGAUCUUUGGCACAGAUUCUAUGUUACUUGAAAGGUUCCCUCGGACUAGGAAUAUUGUAUAAAAAUCACGAUCAUACCCGUGUUGAGUAUUUUGCAGAUGAUGACCAUGAUGGAUCCAAAAUUGAUAGGAGAUCGGCUACUGGCUAUUGUGUCUUAUUGGAGGGAACCUAGUUUUAUGGAGGAGUAAGAAGCAAAGUGUUGUAUCUCGAUUAAGUGCAGAAUCUGAGUACAGAGCUAUGUCCCAUGUGUGAGAUUAUGUGGAUACAUCAUCUUUUAACGGAAAUUGGUCUAAAGCAUCAUGCACCAGCAAAACUUUUUGUGUGAUAAUCAAGCUGCUCUUCAUAUUGCCUCAAAUCCGGUGUAUCAUGAGAGAACUAAACAUAUUGAGGUUGAUUGUCAUUUUAUUCGUGAGAAAAUUCAGGAGAACUUGAUUUCCACGGGUUAUGUGAAGACAGGAGAGCAACUGGCUGAUUUGCUUACAAAGGCAUUGCAUGGAGCUCGAGUUGACUACCUUUGUAACAAGUUGGGCAUGAUCAAUAUUUAUGCUCCAACUUGAGGGAGAGUGUUAUAGAAUGUCUAUAGAUUUGAUUCCUAGUAGAAUACAUAGCCUUAUUUAGAUAGUAGAUUUGUAGGAAUUAGCAGAUUCACAAGAAUCAUCUUUUUUUUUUCCCUAAGUUGGCACACAAUCUAUUGUAUUUAUACAUUGCUUACCUAUUGGAAUAAGACAUCUUCUUCCUCUGAUUGAUUACAUGUAUCAACCUAAAAUAAUGAGUGUUAAUGAUAAAUCUGAUAGACCACAUUAACAUGUUUUUACGAUAUAAACUUACUGGGAAGGCUUGGUGUUGGAGAGUUAGCAACCUUAUGCAUUCCACACUUUUCACUCCCUCCCUGCAAGAAACAGAUUUCUCAAUCAACUACACUUUCAAAACUCAGUUAACAUAUGUGUUUCCUGUUUCACCAACUAUCUAAAUUUUUCAAAUUCAUACAGAAAGAAAGUGCAAACAUUACUUAGCCUUUUCUGGUUCAACUUCUUGUAGCCAUUCUAGAUCUGCAUUCCCUUGUUCCAGGAUCAGGCGGUUGAUAAAAUUCUGCAUGUAGUGAGCAGUUAGUUUAUUACAAUGCUGAUUGAUUGCCGAGUAAUUCUUAGCCAAACUUUAUUAUACUUAAUUCUUAGUGCAAGUUUUUUGUCCAUUUUCCUUUGCAUGAUAGCUUUCGAUACUUGAUCCGUUGUUGCAGCGUGGACUGCAUGCCAAUCUAUGACAUCUAACUUGCUAUCAUUUCUCUCUUUGGGAUUAACAAAUGAAGAUCACUUCCUCAUAUUUUCUCAUUCAAUGGCUUCACUUUCCAAGUCUGCAUUCUGACUUUUCCUUCUUAAGAUUGGUUCAGAUUGCUGAUUUCUUGUCUCCUUUUUCUUCGCGCCCCUUUCGGAUUUGUUCUUCGAAUUAUCCCCUGGUUCUUAAUAUUAGAACUUCCUUUUGAAGAUUUCUCCAGCUUCGUGCCAUUUCUGUUGUGGAAUGUUGAUUUGAAUCUGACUUCAUUACAUGUGAGCAGCAAGGGACAUGAAAGCAGAGCUGCAAAUGCAUCAGCAUAGAAAAUUGAGAUUACUAUUCAGAUUCUUAAUGAACAAAUUAAUAGUCAGUUGUGAAAAGUUCCUUGCAUACAAUCUUCAAUACCUCGAUAAGUUGUCUGCGACAUUUUGAGCCAGGAAAACCCCAGCCACAGAAUCUACAAUUGAACCUUUCCACUGUGAGAACUGUCUAUUACCUGUCAAUAUAUAAUCUGCCCGCAGUUAUAUCUUCGUGAAGACACCGACCAAACAUAUUCUCUUUACAUGAUAAUGAAAGUAUUUGAAAUGUUUGCUCAUCGUUAUCUUACUCAUGCUGAUAAAGAAGUACUCCAAUUGCAGAUACCAUUCUUUAAUAUCUACAACUUACAUUUAUCGGGUUCUCAUCAUGUUUUAUUUAUAGGGAACACUUCAAGUCAUAAAAGAUUACAAUCAAAGCCUUAGUUUGAAUAUCACUAAAGAGAAAUGCCAAGAAACACGUGAACUUGAGGUCAUAUCAUGUGAUGCAUAAACAGGCAUUUUGAUGAUUUUCUGGAUGAAUUCUUGUGCUAGGUGUACUUCACAAAGUUGGUAGUAGUUUUUCUACUUGAAUUUGGCCUGCUAGAGUGAUCUUUCAAUGAUGCUCUAGAGUUUACUAGUGGCAAUACUGUGGCUACACUUAAUGGAUAUAUGCUAGUUUGUCGAAUUCUAUGAUAUUUUUGUAUCCUUGAAUCGGUGGAGUUACAUAUAUACUAUUGUUUUCAUUUAUGCUACAUACAUUUGUAACUUUCAGAGUUGCAUACAAGAAAUUAAUUAGAUCACAGUUUGAUACUGAGUUCAAUGAAGGAAAGAGUCAUAGAACUUAAUUAAAAUACAAUAAUAAAAUGAUAACUUGAAUAAGAUGCAUGCGAGAAAUGAAUAUCACCCGUCCAUGGAACAAUGCCUCUCUAUUUCCCAUCUUUCAUCACACUUUUCUGAUUUGCAGCCUUCGUUUUCCGGUUAUUCCAUCAGAAAUUUCCAUUCUCGUACCGUCUCCUCAUCAAGGAUUACUUUUGUUCUCAAGAUCAUUUUGUCUGUGUCACUAGGUGUUUCACUGGUUGGAACUUUUGCAUCUUUUUCUUGUGAUUGAUUUGAUAAUUCUUAUUAUGUUUCAAUGUGAGUCCACUUUUACUGCUAGAUUCUUGAAGCCUUGGUUUCUUGUGAAUGGGAAGGCUGGCAGCCUCCAUGUAGUGAAAAAGGUCCUGAUUGGAAAUUUGAGGCAAGAUACUAAUAAUGCCUCAAGAGACCUGUUAUGUUUAAAUAGUUUUGAUGCUUUAUUGAAGACUAAUGGGAAGCAAGUAAGGUUAACGAAAAAUGACCACGAUUUGAUCCAAGAAAAAUAAGUCUCACCACCUGCUUUAAAUAGCAAAUUAAGUCCAGAAGUUCCUGUAUUUGUGCCUAAAUGUGUGCUUGCAAGGAAGAAAGAGUCAAGUGCCUUAGUGUCAAAUACAAUUUAUUUGGACGAGGAUUCUCUUGAUGAAUCAUCAAGAGUGGAUUUGGAUGAGGAUUAUCUUGAUGAAUAUGAGGAAGACAAUAUGUUGGACAUUUGCUUUGAUAGAGUGGCUAGGAAAGGGGAUAUAUCACCUAGGUAACAAAGAAGUGGAAGCAAUAAAAGCAAAAAUAAGGCAUAUGGAAGGCAACAUAGUUGGGACGGUAAAAUGACUGAGAAUUUUGUUCCAAGGCACCUACAUGCGACAAGCAAAGCAACACCAUUUGACAAUAUCAAUAAGUUCAACUAGAUCCAAUAAAUCCAUAAAGAAGGUCUGAAUCAUCAAAUUUUGUUGGAUAGGUUUGAAGAAGAGACAAGAGAAUAAUACUUCAAGUUACUUUAGCAAUAGAAGUUUGAGGCUGGUAAUUCAACUUUCUUUUUGAUUGACAUAUUUUUACAUUAUUUAAGCAUCCUCAUUUGUAAUAUCAUCAUAGAGUGUAUUACAAAUUCUGUGAUGAUCAGAAAAUAUUUAGUUUUCUCUAACUCUUAUUUUCUUCAUGCUUGUUAGGUAGCAUAAGUUAGGUACGACAUUAGGAUUAAUAAGAUAGGCCUACUCCCCUUGCUUGUACUUGUCCCUAUGAUAUUUUUUAUGUUUAAUAAAAUACCACUAGACAUUGUCUAGUGGUAAAUUUGUUUUUUUUUUUUAAAUGUAAGUUGUUUAACCACGCAAAUCACCGUCUUCAUUACCUUCGGUAGUAGAAACUAUUGAUGUUUUCUGCUUCUUGUUCUGCCCUUGCUGAAAGGAUGGCUCAACUGUUUCGCACUUGUUAUAUCUCUGGUUCUUCUUAAAUCGUCGAUUGUACACCUGCAAGGCUGCAACAGAUUGUUAGUAGCAUAGUUUGGGAAACAGAGAAGAUGACAAUGUAACAACAUUUGUAGUAGAAACUAGGGGCGUCAAAAAUUAACUCAAACAUAUGUAACCCGUUCAACCCGUCCAGAAUUUUAAGCAUUGGGCUCAAGAUAAUUUGAAUAGGUUCAAUCUCAAUUCAUUCAAGCUUAACUCAUUUGAAGAUAAUUCUCAAUUGAGCCAAAUUCAAUUUUCAAUUUCAACUAGUUUUAAAACUUUUUAUUAAGAUAUGUUCCUAUAUUAAAAAUAUGAAUUAUUAUCUAUUUAAUAUUUUAGAAUUUAUCUAUUCAUUUGUUACUUUUUUAACAAAAAGUUUUUGAACGGAAAUUCAAAUUGUAAUUAUAAAAAUUAAAUAUCAAUAUGUUAAAUUAUUGAGAUUAAUCGGGUCAAAUUGGACGGGUCAAGACCCAACCCGUUCUUUAGCCCAUUUGAGCUCAAAGUAAACUUGGGCGGGUCAAGACCCAAUCCGAUUUCUAUUAAACCCUUGUAAUAUUUUCAAUUUCAACUCUACCCGCCCAUUUGACAGCCUAGUAGAAACAUUUGCCUUGACAGGCUUGUUAUGCCCUUCAAUGAAUGGUUGAACCUUUUCGCACUUGUUACGCUUCUAUGGUACACCUGCAACGGAGAGUAGUACCAUACUUUGGAUAUGAAAUAAAUGAACAUUUGCAGGAUUGACAAUGAAGAAAUAGGGGGAAACUUUUACAUGGAGAGUGUUGGAUGGAACAGAUAAUGAACCAAGCUUUUUUUAUGAGCCUUUGUAUCUGUGUUUUUCUUCAUUAUCUGCUGGAAAAUAAUUCAAUAAUAUUCUCCAACAGGAACAGUUAAAUAUAUAUAUGUCGAUAUUAGUAACAAGCUCAAUGUUGAGAUACUUAAUCAUCAUUCAUCAAGCACAAAAUCUAAUUUACUAGUUGAGUUUGGUUCAUCAAGCAAAUCACAGUUGAAGUCCUUACCUGCACCCAAGCUAAGCCUUUCCUUUACUAUUUCCCGUUGACGAAGAAAGUACCUUUUAACUGUCAAAAUGCUCUAAAUUAGUAAAGCAGAAUAACAUAAUCCUAACGAUACAGAACCUUUCAUACUUAUUUGAUUAAUAAUCACCUGCUCCCAAACUAAAGUAUCUCCUUUCCUUUCCUUGGUCGAUGCCAAUAACUAUUAUCUGCGGAAAAAAGACAUUUACUAUGUAUAUGCAUAUUGAACUGAUGAAAUGCCAAAAGAAAACAAUAACCUAGCUCUCGAUUGCAUGACAACAAUGCUACAACCAACCAAUCAAGAAUUCAUCAAUGACAUAACACAUAAACAGACAUUCGGCACAGCUGGCAAGUAAUAUAAGUACUCCAACUCUAGGUCGUUUGGUUAGGAACAAUUUAUCCUGGGGUUACGUGCGACUAUCUCCACUAUAGAAAGAAAAAAAGAAAAAUCUAGUAAAGUAACUACUAGAACCAAAUAGGCUUUCUACAUAUGCAUCGUCUAAAACAACGAUUUUUAUCAGCUGUAGCAAAGAACGAAACUUCAUAGAAGUCAAAAUAGGAAAAAAUAAAAAUGCCUAGCAACUUUUUUCUAUGGAUAUAAAGCUUUAAUUGAGAGAGAUAGAGGAAGCACCGUAAAGAUCAAUUAGCGAGGUUUUGGGCCGAUACAAUAAUAACUGCGUACUUAUCUCAUGAUGUGAGAUAAAAAUUAGGAAUUAACUUAUGUAAUAGAGUCGAUCCACAACCCAGCUGGCUGGUCAAUCUCAGAGAUCGUAUCGGCCGGCAAACCGGAGACGGACGUCGGAAGGCCAUCCUAACAAUAAGGUCUUCCCUGUCUCGGGAAAGGGUCCUCCCCUCUUCUUCCAGGGUUUGAAUUUGGUUAAGGAGCUGUUGAAUGCGUUGUUUAGGAUAAGUUAUCCCAAACAUGACAACCAAACAAGAUACAAAAAUUUUAUUCCAUCACUAUUUUCUUAUUCGUUACUAUUUAUUUUUAUCCCUCACGCCAAAUUACCCCCGAAAGUACACACCUAGACGCCUCAACUUGGUCACAAUGGAAACUAAACACUCCAAACUGUCCUCAAUGUGUAUCAUGGACACCUAACCCUGACGUGGCACAUAAGUGUUGUGCGGAAUUUGAGAUAAUACGAGAAAAUAUAAACGCGAAAAACAAGACAACAGUUUACGUGGUUCACCAAUAAAUUGGCUACGUCCACGGGAAGAGAGGGAGCAGUUUUAUUAUGGAGAGGCAAAAACAGAAUUACAGAAUAGGGUUUCCCAUAGUGUCUAUAUAUAGUGCUAAGCUACGCCCUAACAGGCUUGGGCCCAACAUACAGAAUCAACAGAAAAUUAAGGGCCCAAUACAACAACAGUGUAUACCGUCGGGCCGGGGGCGUCUCCGCCCCCCCGGACCCCCAGGCCAGGGGGCGCGUCGCCCCCCUGGACCCCCCGACUCGCUGACCGGGCAGCGAGACCCCCGUCCUUUCUGUUUGUAGCGGGUCCGAUUCAAGGCAUUCAACAAAUCUCCACCUUGACUUGAAUUCUCCGAACAGAUUCUUCAGACGCACUAUGAUAGUGCCAGGACUCCCCCUCUUCCUCAGAGUUGCCCCGCAGGGCAAUUAACAGCUUCUGAUGUUGAGCAAGUCCAAACAGUGUUGAAACUUGCUCUGUGGAACCGGCUUUGUAAACAUAUCAGCAGGAUUAUCAGCAGUUCCUACUUUCUUCACCUUGAUUCUCUUCUCACUUCUCAGAAAAUGAUACCUUACGUCAAUAUGCUUGGUUCUCUCAUGAUGGACUUGAUCCUUGGCUAGACAAAUUGCGCUCAAACUGUCACAAUACACCGUAGCCUGAUCAUGAUGCAGACCAAGAUCACUAACCAGCCCUUUCAACCAAAUCCCUUCUUUUGCAGCCUCUGUCAAGGCCAUGUACUCCGCUUCCGUAGUAAACAAAGUCACUGUAGGUUGCAAAGUUGCCUUCCAACUGACGACAGAUCCUCCAAGGGUAAACACAUAGCCAGUCAUCGAUCUUCUUGUGUCAACAUCUCCAGCAUAGUCUGAAUCAGAAUAGCCAGUAACUAAGCACUGAGUAUCACCUCCAUAAAUGAGACCAACGUCAAAUGUACCUCUAAGGUACCGGAAAAUUCUCUUCACAGCCUGCCAAUGUUCUCUCCCUGGUUGUCCCACGAAUCUGCUCACUACACUGACUGCAUGUGCUAAAUCUGGCCUUGUACAGACCAUAGCAUACAUUAAACUUCCUACGGCACUGGCAUAGGGGACUCGUGACAUAUACUCCUUCUCUUCUUCUGACUGUGGAGCGAACAUGGCAGUGAGAUGGAUAUUGGCAGCACUGGGGGUAUCAAUGGGCUUAGAUGAAGACAUGCCAAACCUCGCCAAGACCUUCUGAAUGUAGCUUCUCUGUGACAAGAAAAGUUUCCUUCUCUCUCUGUCUCUAAUGAUCUCCAUCCCUAAAAUCUUCCGAGCGGCUCCCAGAUCCUUCAUCUCAAACUCAGCACUAAGUAAACCCUUCAGCUUCUGAAUGUCAUACUUCUUCUUUGCAGCUAUUAACAUAUCAUCUACAUAAAGCACCAGAUAGAUGAAUGAAUCAUCAUUGAGCCUAUUGUAGUAGACACAACAAUCAUAUGAGCUCCGAGUAUAGCCCAACUUCACCAUAUAGCUGUCAAACCUUUUAUACCACUGCCUUGGAGACUGCUUAAGUCCAUAUAAGGACUUCUUCAACUUGCAGACGUGAUUUUCCUUCCCUGGAACUUGGAAACCAUCCGGUUGAGUCAUGUAUAUCUCUUCCUCCAACUCUCCAUGUAGAAACGCUGUCUUCACAUCAAGUUGUUCAAGCUCCAGAUUCUGAUGUGCAACUAUCGCUAGUAACACUCGGAUGGAAGUAUGUCUGACCACUGGUGAGAAGAUCUCAUUGUAGUCCACUCCCUCUCUUUGGUUGAAACCUCUGGCAACAACCCUAGCUUUAUACUUGACUCCUUCUGCUGGUGAUAUCCCUUCCUUCUUCUUGAAAACCCAUUUGCAAGUAAUAAUCUUUCUCCCCGAAGGCUGUAUGACCAGAUCCCAUGUCUGAUUCUUGUGUAGGGACUCCAUCUCAUCUCCCAUAGCGGCAAACCAUUUUUCAGAAUCAGAACUUAAAAUGGCUUCUUUGUAAGUAGACGGCUCAGAUGUAUCUACCUCUUCAGCAACCUGCAGUGCAUAACCCACCAUGUCCUCAAAACCAUACCUCGUAGGUGGCCGAACUCCAACCCUCCUUGGCCGAUCUUGAGCUAUACUCUGAUGGAUAUCUGAUGGCAUAGAUUCUGGAAUAUCAGUUUCUGUCUGUGGCUCUUGAUCCUCCUCUUCAGGAUCCUUUAAAUCGCUCUCGUUCUGAAUGACUUGAAACUCCACCUGUUUGUCAAGACUCCCAGUUUCUGACGUAAUUGUAGGCUUCACAAUGGUUCUAAGCAGAGAACUUUCAUCAAAGACAACGUUCCUGCUCAUAAUAACCCUCUUUUCUGCUGGAGACCAGAUUCUGAAACCUUUCACUCCAUCUCCGUAGCCCACAAAUACUCCCUUUUUAGCUCUUGGUUCUAACUUACCUUCACUGACGUGAUAGUAAGCCGUACAACCAAAAACUUUCAGAUUUGAAUAAUCAGCAGCUUUUCCUGACCACAUCUCCAUAGGUGUCUUGCACUGUAUGCCUGUAUGUGGUCCGUGGUUAAUCAAGUAGCAAGCUGUACUAACCGCUUCUGCCCAGAAUCUUCUAUCUAGCCCAGCAUUAGAGAGCAUGCACCUUGCUCUCUCCAGAAGUGUUUGAUUCAUCCGCUCAGCUACACCGUUCUGCUGUGGUGUAUUUCUGACUGUACGAUGUCGAGCAAUCCCUUCAUCCUUACAAAAUUGAUCAAAUUCAGACCAACAGAAUUCCAGCCCAUUAUCAGUUCGCAACCUCUUGAUCUUCUUCCCUGUUUGAUUUUCCAUCAAAAUUUUCCACUCCUUGAACUUCUGGAAGGCUUCACUUUUAUGCUUCAUCAUGUACACCCAAGUCAUCCUUGAGUAGUCAUCAAUAAUGGACACAAAAAAUCUGCAACCUCCCAAAGACUCAACACGGCAUGGACCCCAGCAAUCAGAAUGGAUAUAAUCAAGUGUGCCUUUUGUUCUAUGAAUGGCCUUUGGAAACUUGUUGCGAUGUAGUUUUCCAAAAACACAAUGUUCACAAAACUCUAGGCUCUUAACCUUAUGACCAGCAAGUAAAUCCUCCUUUGACAGAAUUUGCAUCCCUCUUUCACCCAUAUGACCAAGUCUCAUGUGCCAUAACUUAGUCAUAUCCUUCUGGUGAAAUUCUGACGAUGCAACAUGGGCUGAACCUGUAACCGUGGAACCUUGUAGAAAAUACAAAGUACCACGCAUGACACCUUUCAGAAUCAAAUUUGAACCCUUCCAGACCCGCAAGACUCCAUCUUUUCCCGACCAGCUGAAUCCCUUGCUGUCCAAAAGACUGAGAGAUAUCAGAUUUUUCGUCAUCAAUGGAACGUGCCUGACCUCGUUCAAUGUGCAGAAGCUACCGUCAUGUGUCCUUAUCUUGAUCGAGCCUGUCCCAACCACCUUGCAGACAGAACUGUUGGCCAUCGAGAUGCUGCCUCCGUCUACCUGCUCAUAAGUCGUGAACCACUCUCUCCUAGGACAGAUGUGAUAGGAUGCCCCAGAAUCGAGAACCCACACAUCUGAAUGAUGAGUGUGCUCAUCCGCAACUAGGGCAAUAUCUUCUUCAGAAUUGGUGUCUUCUUCAGCAACAGCAGCAGACACUGAUUGUUUUUCCGAUUGCUUCUUCUUCUUCGGACAAUCAAAUUUCCAAUGUCCCUUCUCCUUGCAGUAAUUACAAACAUCAUCCGGCUUUGCACCCUUCGACAUCGGCUUAUUUUUCUUUCCGCGUUUUUCCUUCCCUUUCCGCUACUGGUGAACAGACCGGAAGGCUGUAUGUCCGUACUUGUGCCGUUAGCCUUAUGCCGUAAUUCCCUGCUAUGAAGGGCCGAUCUGACUUCUUCCAGCGACACAGUAUCUUUCCCAACAAUGAACGAUUGAACAAAAUUCUCAAACGACAUUGGGAGAGAUACUAACAGAAUCAGGGCAGCAUCUUCAUCCUCGAUCUUCACAUCGAUAUUACGCAAUUCUAAUAACAAAGUAUUCAAUUGCUCUAAGUGUUCCCUGAGUUGUGUACCUUCAGCCAUUCGUAAACCGAAUAGACGUUGUUUCAGAAGCAGCUUGUUGGUUAGAGAUUUUGUCAUGUACAAACUCUCCAGCUUCAACCACAGACCAGCAGCAGUCUCUUCAUCCGAGACCUCCGUGAUGACGUCAUCCGCGAGACACAGCAUGAUCGUCGAGUGCGCCUUUUCCUCCAGAAUCGCCAUCUCAGGAGUAACGACGGCGUUCUUGUCUUUCGACAACGGCGCCCAGAAGCCUUGCUGUUUCAACAAAGCCCGCAUCUUGAUCUGCCAUAAACUGAAACUGUUCCUCCCUGUGAAUUUGUCGAUUUUCACGUUCAAAGCAGACAUCUCGAAUUCUCCAAGAACACCGAUUAACCGAGAGGCUCUGAUACCAAUUUGUUGUGCGGAAUUUGAGAUAAUACGAGAAAAUAUAAACGCGAAAAACAAGACAACAGUUUACGUGGUUCACCAAUAAAUUGGCUACGUCCACGGGAAGAGAGGGAGCAGUUUUAUUAUGGAGAGGCAAAAACAGAAUUACAGAAUAGGGUUUCCCAUAGCGUCUAUAUAUAGUGCUAAGCUACGACCUAACAGGCUUGGGCCCAACAUACAGAAUCAACAGAAAAUUAAGGGCCCAAUACAACAACAUUGUAUACCGUCGGGCCGGGGGCGUCUCCGCCCCCCCGGACCCCCAGGCCAGGGGGCGCGUCGCCCCCCUGGACCCCCCGACUCGCUGACCGGGCAGCGAGACCCCCGUCCUUUCUGUUUGUAGCGGGUCCGAUUCAAGGCAUUCAACAAUAAGUUAUGGAGGUGUUCAAAUAAUCAUUUUGUAAGUUGAAGUGUUCAACUAGCACUGACAUAAUGGUGACGAGUUGAUGUGUCUAAGUAAUAGUAUUUUCUAUACAACAAUAUGAUAGGGGAACUAAAAACUAAUUAAUCCCAUGAAGUCUCAAACUAACUAACAUCAAAGACAAUAAUGUGCUUACUGUGUUGAAAGUGGGACUCAGUGAUGUCUUCAUUAACCUUAACCCAUCUUUUUCUGAAUCUUUUCCCAUUUGAAAUAUCUUUCUCUGAGUUCUAACUUAAAGGGAAAAAAAAAACCCUGUGCCAUUAGAAGUGAUACAUGCAAUAUACAUAAACAAGAGAAUUCAUCCAUGAUGCAAUAUUUGUAUAGAGACUUUAGCCAAAACAAGCAUGCAUGAGGAUGGACAUGGAUGAUGAUCAUUCAAUUGAAGCAGAAAAGGAAUGAGAAAAAGAAUACCAGAAAAGUGCACAAGGAAACCGGAGGUAAUGUACUCUUUACUAAGUCUUGAAAAACAGAGAAUGUAAACAAAGUGGGACAAUUUAAAAGGCUUGGUGAGGUAUUAUAGUGUAACAAGUCCCCAAGACCAUGUAAUAAUUGCAUCAUGCAAUAAAAACUUACUCUUGAAUUUAAUUUAUUGAUUGAGUUGUAGCUUAUGGAUUAUUACACCAUGAUUUGAUAACACUCUAGUUGGUUCAAUUUAUUUGUCUUGUUUCGAUUUGUUAGGAUACAGAAAUAUUUUGAAUUUUAUGGACUUAAAUUAAAGCUUUAUAGAAUGGAGUAAAUUGUAGGUUUAGCAAACAUAAAAAUCAUAUUUGAAUGUUAUAGCUACAAUUUGCAUGAUUACACUUCAUCGCAAAUUUUAUGUUUGCUAUGAAGAAUUAGAUUUGUAUAAUCAAAGGCAACAUUUCGUUUGUAUAAAAGCAUAUCGAUUGUAUAUGUAUAUCAGUUAGAUAAUUGUAUAUAUGUAACUAUUAUGUAUAUAUAUCAAUGAUUGUGUUUGUAUAUCUGCAUAAAAUUUGAAUUCGUAUAUACUUCACCAUUUUAGGCCUACGGAUACCCAAUAAAGUGUAGCCUAAACUACCAAAAUGUGUGGCCUUUGAUAAAAGGCUACACUUUUGGACUUUAAGCAACGCUUUCUAGGGGUGGCCUAAUGAACGUUAAUCUUUGACAUUAGGCAACACUUUUUAAAUGUCGUCAUUUUUCGCUAUACUUCUAAAGUACAGCCAAAGAGGUAUAAGGGAACGCUUUGUUGUGAUGCAUUAGCGACACCUAUUUUUUAUUAUACUAUACUAAGAAGUGUUGUCUUUACAGUGUUAUUGAAUCGAAAUAAAAUAUUUGUAUAUCAAAUAUCUCUCGGUUUAUACAAUACAAAUUACACAUUAUAAUUUAUACAAUUUGUGUUGUAUUGAGUGAGAAAGAAGGAAAAAUAGAACUGAUAAGGGAAAUUUUGUACUUGUAUUUAUAUAAGUGUAUAGGAUGAAAAUAUAUGUACUUGUGUGUAUAAUUUUCUCUCAAGUUAUACAUUUGUGUUAGUAUAAAGUGAGAAGCGAGGGAAUUGGCGAGCGUGAUCUGGAAAAGUGGCGAGCAAGAUGUAUGGGGAGAGAGGCAAUGGCGAAGUGUAUGGUACGGAUUAGCAUCAAAUGAAAGUGUGAUUAUAGCAUUUAAUUUGAAUUGAUAGUUUGUUAUUUUUUACAAUUUUCCAUUAAAGUAUUAUUAUUCCCUCAAAAUAUAUAAAAUAAAAUGUAAAAUAUUAUUUUAUUUCGCUCCAUCACUUCUUCUCACCAUACUUCAUUCCCUCCUCAUUAUAGUAUUUUAUUUUUUUUAAAAAAAAUCUACACCACCCCACAUAAACCCCACUUCCAAAUUGUUUUUUUGGAAAAACUAUAUAUAAUGGCAAAUUAAUAAAUCAAAUUAAUUGCUAUAACCACCCUUUGAUUUAAUUGUGUCCCGUAGCAAACUGUUUAUCAGACACCUCUCUCCCUCAAACUCUCGCUCGCCACUCUCCUCUCUCACUCCAUCUUUCCCUCGCUUUCUCUCACUUUUAUACAAACACAAGUGUAUAAAAUUUGUUUCUAUUUGUAUAAGGAUGACGAAAUUGUAUAAAUACAUAUAUUUUUGUUUUCCUCUCUCCCCUCUCCCUGAUCUCGCUCCCCACUCUCCCUACUCUUGUUCGCCAACCUCGUCUCUCUCGCUUAUACAAACAAAAGCGAAAUGUAUAAAUUGUGUUUCUGUUUGUAUAAAACGAGAGAAAAUUGUAUAUACACAUGCAAAUACAUAUAUUUUCAUCCUAUACCCUUAUAAUUAUACAAUAAAAAUACUCCCCUGGCUAGUUUCUUUUGCCUUUCUCUCUUUCUCAUUUUAUACAAAUUCAAAUUGUAUAUAAUUUCUCUCUUUCUCGUUUAUACAAUUCAGUUCAAUUGUAUAUUCCCUGCCCAAGUCUCUUUUGCCUUUCUCUCUUUCUCAUUUUAUACAAAUUCAGAUUAUAUAUAAUCGUUCUACACACUUAUAAUUCGUUUUUAUACAAUUCUCUGUCCAAGUCUCUUUCUCUUUCUCAUUUUAUACAUUUCGUUUUAUACAAUUCGCUUCAAUUUUAUAUGUAUAGCGAAUUAUACAUUUAUAUAUUUGCUUUGGAGAAAUUAUGCAAACUUUGCAUAUCUAAAAACGUAUAUACAUAUCUAACACAAAACAAAAAAAUAAAUAAAAAUAAAUUAGAAGUUGGGGGUUAGACAGGGUGGAGUAGAACUUAAAAAAAAAAAUAUAUCAAAUUACUUUUGGGAAGGGGCCGGGGAGGGGUAAGCCCUAUAAUUUUUAAAAGUAUUUUACAAAAGAAUUUUAUAAAAAUAAAGAACUGGGGGUUGUCGGGUGGAAAGGAGGUGGUGGAGUGGCGUGAAAAAAUAUUUUAAAUUUUAUUUUUUAAAACAUAAUUUCCUUUUUAUUUUAUGAUAGGAAUACUUUAAUUUUUAGCUUUUAAUUAAUAUUAGUAGUUUAUUAAAUUUUUGACAAGGUGAAAUAUUUUAUCCAUGUGAAAUGUCACAUAGCAAGAUUUUUGCAAAUGAAAAGAGUGAAUACAUCGCACAUGUCAUUGAGGUGUGUUUUUCAAACUAAUAAGUGAUGGUUUAUGUAUGAAACUCACUCUUCUAAUAGUUUACGCAUGAAACUAAAAAAACGAAAAUAGUUUAUGUGUGUUUGAUACUUAUCUCAAUAUUGUGGAUUUAAACUGAAACAACUUUCACAUAUAGCAAACAUAAAAAUCAUAUUUGUAUGUAAUAGUUAUAGUUUGCAUUUGCUAUAGAGCUUUUGAUUUGUAUAAUUCGCUAGAUACUUCAAUUUAUAAAAAUUGUUCAGUUUUGUAUAAAUUCAUUUAUACAUUGUAAUUUGGAUAAUUGUAAGUGUAUAUAUAUUUGAAUUUAUAUAUACAAUUUUCUCUCGCUUUAUACAAAUACAAACGCAUCUUAUACAUUUUAUACAUUUGUAUACCGAAUGACUAAUUAUAUAUCGAAAAUGGUUAAAUGUAUGACGAAUCAGAUAGCAAAAAAAUGAGAUAUUUGCUGCGAAUUACAAAUAAAAUAAAUUAUAGUUAUAUCAUUUAAUUUGAAUUAAUAGUUUUCUAUUUCAUACAAUUUUCCCUUUAAACUAAUGUAUUAACAUAUUAUUUAAUUUUGUGAUAUUAAAUAUAUUAAGUGGCAAAGUGAAAUAAAAGAGUUGACCAAAAAAAAGUUCAUUCAGCAAAAAGCAUAUAAUUUCAAAUGAAUUAUGACUUGAUUUGUAGUGAUUUUGAUUUAUAGUUAUAAAACUUCGUUUGAAUUCUUGAUCUGAGCUUUUAUUCUCAAUUUAUCAAUAAUGGACUCAUAUAAGUUUGAAAUUUUGGAAAAAAUGAAUUGUGUAUUAUUAAGUAAAUGUUAAAUAGGUUUGUUAAAAUUUAUAUAAAUAAAUUAAUAAUUAAAGUUUUUUCUUUUAUGAUACUAAAAUUAAUGUUUCAGAUUUGAGUUUAUUUCAAAUAUGUAUUAGUCAAAAUUAUCAAUGAUCUUUAAACUCUUCAAACUUAACAAAAGUCAAAUAUAGUAUAUAUACUGGUAAACAAGAUAUCAAAGAAUGUGCGAAAAAUAAAAAAAUAAGAUAUCAAAAAAUGUGCGAAGAAUAAGAAAAAUUUUCCGAAAUAAAAUUUAUUUUAUAUCGUGUCAAUAAUAUCAUUGUUUACAAAGAUAUAAUGCCUAAUAUAGUAUAUCAACUAACUAAAAACAUACUACUUAACUAGUUAAUUAUGACAAACUAAUUAAAAAAAGUGAAAUACUUCUUUUUUUACCUAAAUAACUUUUAUCUCUCAACACUUCUCUUCAAGUUAGAUAGUGCAAAAUAAAAGUGUACAAUGACUAAGAUCGAUAAAAAGUUAUUUAUCUUAACGAAACAAUGAGUAAGAUAAAAAGUAACUCCAACUACUCGUAUUGAUAUUAAUUAGUUUUCACUCAAAGAAGAUGAUAUAUGGAUGUGUAUGUCAAUAUGUAAAUAUUUUUAAAAUAAAUUGUCACUAAUUUUACAUACAUUUCGAGAUCAAUAGUAAUUUAACCUAUUAAAAUAAAUAUGGUCGAACACAUUUAUUAUUUUAAAUUUUUUUAUUCAACUUAUUUAUUAAAAGAUAUUCAUACAUAAUUCCUUUACUAAUUAUAAUAUCUCUAGGUUCAACGUAAUGACAAAUCAAUGCCACAGAUAAACUAUUUGAAAAUAUUAGUUAAAAAGCCUGGAAAUUGAUGAACUUAAAACUGCUAUUAUAAUAUUUACACAAUGAAAAGAGAUAUUAGGAGGCUAUAUGGUGAAUUAAGUAGCCAGUAUAUCAUCACUUAUUAUUUGAUUAUAUUAUGACAAAAGAAUUAUCUUAUGACAAAAGACUAAAGAAGAAUUACUUGAUAUAUUCUGAACUCAAUCAUAUUAACAAGAACAGUAAUUAAGUUGAGAGAUUUUAUGUGUAUUGAAAUAAAAAGACUAAAGCUUAUUUAAUUAUUAGUCAAACAUUUUGUGUAUGAGCUAUAUAUGUAUAACAAUUUUCAUUUUUCUUUUAAUAAUGUUAACCACUUGAUGCGAUAUAAUACCUUUGUUCUUAUUCUCAAAAAUCUUAUUGCCAUAUAAUAAGUUUUAAUUAAGUUGAUUCAAAAUUUUGGAAUAUGACACAGUUCACUUUCAUUUAACUAAAAACUUAUAAAUUUGAGAAUAAAAUAUAUUAUAUUCUUAAUGUCAUGACUAUAAAAAGGAAAUGAUUAAUUAGUCUAAAUCUUAAUUAUAACUUUGUAAUACAUGCAUAUAGUAGUAACUUAGUAGUUAUAAAGAGAUAGAAAACUUUUCCUCGCGAAUAAUUUAUAAUAACUUCUUUUAUUAUCUCUUCAUGAAAUAUAGUUUACAAUACUUCAAAUUUAUAUCAGCCUUUUCUUUUUUGUCGAAACUCUUGAAUUCAUUACGUUAUAACAGUAUGGUAGUUUAUUUUUUAAAAUAUAUUUGAAAAGGAUAAUGCACAAGUACCCCAUCAAUCUAUACCCAAAAUUUCAGAGACACACUUAUACUAUACUAAGGUCUUAUUACCCCUGAACUUAUUUUAUAAAUAAUUUUCUACCCCUUUUCGACCUACGUGGCACCAUCUUGUAAGCUCAGUAUGUGCUGACGUUUUUUUUCAAACUAGUGUCACGUAGGCCAAGUUAUUGUUAUAUCUUUGCAUUAGACUUAUUAACAUAGUUAGAAGUAAUUCAACUAUAGUAUUAACUCAACAAUAAGAUAUUUUUUUAUCGGUUUUUGGUCUACCGAUUUUAGGUUUAACCAAUAAGAAAAUACUUAUAAAAUAAAUAUAUGACUUUUCUAAUAAAUUUGAUGUGAAAACACAGUAAUGUAACAUUAAAAAAGACGCUCAUAGAAAAUGAACAAUAAUAACAAACAUGAAAAGAACUAUAUGAGUGUAUACAAAGAGAAAUUAAAAAGAAUAAAGUUCUAACUUUAAAUUUUAACAUUUUGUAUAAUGUUAAAUUGUGAACUCAAAGUUACUGUAAACUGUAAGUUGAAGAUUAAAGGACAAAUAUAGUAAUUAGUAAGAUAUUGAAAUUAAUAUAUAAUAUUUAUGUACAUGUAAAAGUAGUAAAUUAUUAGUCUUAAUGGGUCAUCGAUUUACCCAAUAACCCAAUAUUUAAAACAAAUUCCAAAUCGACAACCGAAUAAUUUUUUUAUAAAACCAUUCAAAAUCUGUUAAUCCAAUACCCCAAUAACAACAAGUCAGUUAAACUAAAAAAAAAAAAAAAACAAACAAGUCAGUUAAACUUUUAUCGAUUCAGUUUAUAAAUUGAUUUUGUUUUUGCACAAUCUUACUAAUAGAAAUCUCGAUUUCAAAUUUUAAAUGGAAAAAAAAACUUUAAUAAAAAAUGAUAUCUCCAAACAAACUUAUCCGAUGUAAAUUCAAAUCAAUCCAAUCUUAAUACAAUUAUUAAAUACAUAAUUAAAAGACAAAAUAAGGUAUAUAAAGGGGGCAAAAAGGAUAAAAGGGACUCCAAAAUGAGAAGGAAAAAGGGGAAGAAAGAAACAAAAAAAUAAAGUAAUUUGCACGAGGGAAGAGGCGCCCAUUUUCUCUUUGUUUUGCGCAAAAUCCGCAAAAAGUUUGCCGUGCUCCUCAAACUCUAAAGUCUAAAUCAGUGCACCAAAUUUUAUAUUUAAAAAAAUUAUUAUUAUUUACUUUAUCAUAAAUAAUUUAUAUUACUUUUUUUUAUAGUCAUUUAAUAUAAAAAAAAUUAUACCAUAAUCAUUUAAAAAAUAUAAAUUGCAUGCAAAUAUUAUAAUUUAAAAAAAAUUAUAUAUAGAAAAAUAAAUUUAUAAAAAGCUAACUUUAUAUUUAAAAUUAAUAUUAUAAAAUAUUACAUAAAAAUAAUAAAAUAUACAAAAGAUUUAAUUAAAAUAUAUCAUUUAUAUAAUGUUAAAUUAAAAAUUUUGUAUCAUAAAAUAAUGUUAGAAUGUCCAAUAACAUAAAUUGGUGUCAUAAUUAGUGUUACACAUCAAAAUAGUGUAGAAUUGAGUGUUGGAUUCGAGCUCCAAAACACUCAAUUUUACACCAAAUAAAAAAUUUGAUACAAAAUUUGAUCUUGGACGGAAGAUGGUCUAACCGCUUCUUUUAUUAAAAAAAUAUUUAUUUUAUUUUUUUUCCUAUUAAUAGAAGAGAAGAGUUAAAUAUAUUCUUCAAUUAUUCAAAAUGAGUUAGUUUUAUUUUUUACUCAAAAAUAUCUUUCAACUAACAGAAUGCAAAAAAAUAAAAAAUCCCUUUUUAACGGUUAUUUUCAAAACCAAAAAAAAUGUAACUUUGGUAAAAGUUGUGGGGAUAAUUGAUAUAUCCAUGAACUUUAAGGUACUUGUUGUAAAUUACCUAACCAUUUAAUGAGCAUAAGACAAAUUAAAAAGGUGAUUUACCUGCUUAAUCACGCCAUCAUGAAUCAAUUAAUUGGUCCUGACAUGUAAGAUUCUCUCAAAAUUUACAUUAUUAUACACAUAAGACCAUUGAGGUACUCUGUUAAAAGGGACAAAUGGAUCAGAUUGCAUAAAAAUAUAUUCUCAAGGGCUAAAAGAGUAAGAUUCAGAUCUCCAGUAUGACUAGAAAGAAAUACUUCAAUAAGAAAAUUAAGUGGACUAUUCUAUAUCAAACUAAAAUAAAUAAAUAAAUUUUUAAAAAUCAAACUUGAUCUUUUUAAAACUGGACAAGGUUCAAAAAUAUCUUUAAUGUAUGUGAAAAGAAUAAAAAUGUAUUUCGUUUAUAGUUUGGUUCAAAAAUAUUUUUAUUAUCAAUAUUUUGGCUAAAAACUAUCUUUAAAUUAUACAAAAGAAACAAAAAUAUCCUUCAUUUGUUGUUUGAUCCAAAAAUGUUAUUAUCGUCAAUACUUUGACCCGAAAUGUUAUUAUUAUCAUUUACUGGGUAAAAAAUGUUCACUUUUUCAAACAAAAAUAUUAUUAUUUUCUUUUUAACACAUUCCUUUUCUGAUACUAUAUAUAUAUAUAUAUAUAAAGGGCAUAUGAGAUUAUUCUAUUUUAAUUGAUUAAAUGAGAUAAGAAAAAAAUAAAUAUUUUAUAUACUUUUAUUUGUUAAAGUGAUGCUAAAAGAAAUAAAAGAAGAAUAGUAUUCUUUAAUAAUAUUUUAAUUAGGAAAAAGAUACGUUUAAAAAGAAAAAAUUAUAUAUUUAUAAAGGCAUUGUUAACCCAUUCUGUAACUAUAUAGGCAAUUUUUUGAACAAAAUAUUAACUGCAAAAGCAUUUUUGAGUUAAAAUAUAAAUAAAUUAAAAUAUUUUAUAAACUAAGAACAUUUUUAUUUCUUUCGCAUAGUUUAAAAAUAUUUCCGAUCUUUUUCCCUUUUUAAAAGAUUAAGGAAUAUACACUAAUGUAUAUUCAUUUGCACUUCUUUUUCCUCACGUAGUGGGAGCUCUACCCCACUAAUACUUGUCUCCUCUACGUAAUUGCCUUCUUCUAUUAGGCAAAUUUACUGGUCAAUUAAAAUUACUGCAUUUUGGUGGUAUAUUUUCAAAAAAAAUACAAUAUUUACACAUUCAUGAUUGUCAUUAAUCCACGUUGAAAGUUUAUGAGCUUAAACAGGUUUAAUUAUAAUACCCUUGUACUUUUAUAUUUAUGGAGAUAAAAAUGUUUUGGGUGUGUUAUCUUCAUUUUUUUGAAAAAUGAAAAAAAAAAUCAUAUAAAUUAGAGUAGAAAAAAUAAGUAAUAUUUCCCUUCGGUUAAUUUUUCGUAAUUAACCAAAAAUAAUACUCAAUGUGAAGGUAAAAAGUAAAUAAAACUGUAGCAAAAGACAGUAGAGUGAUAAGAAAAGGAGCCGUUAGACUGGGGGUAGUUUAGUCAUAGAAUCACAUUUCCCAAUUAAACAGUCAUUAAUUUGACUGACACAGAUUGUAUAUCCAAAAGAAUACUUGUUGUGCAAAGGUUUUUUCUGUUCAAAAGGUAUCGCCCACGCAAAUAAUCUCUUCGUCUUCUAUUAACUUAUUAAUUUUUUAUUUAAAAUAUUAUAAAUAAAAAAAAUAAUUUUACUAAUUUAAUCUUUAAAUUUUUUAUAAAUAAAUAAAUAUUUUCUAAAAUAGUUAAUUACAAGAUAAUAUAAAAAAAUUAAUAAUAAUUAAUUAAUUAAUAUAAAAUAAUUACAUUUGAUAUAAUAAUCCAUUAAUAUAGAGUGCGCAAACAAAAAUUCCAUUGCUUUCUGCACUGUGGAACCUUGGGUGAAUGUGUCAUCUUUGUACUGAAUCAUUUUAUUUGUUGUUUCUCAUUAGUCAUUCUUUUCUAAUCUAUUGGUUAAACACCAUACUAAUUUGAUUCACAAAUAUUAUUGCCAAGUACAAAGUUAUUUUGGAUUUAUAAUUCCUAAACCAUUUCCGUUCAAUUAUUAUUCCAACUACUAUUCAAUGAUUUAUUUCACGAAAUAUAAUACAUAAUGUCCUAGUUUACGAUUCAUAAUUAUUAAUUGGUUAAAAAAAGGAUAUUUUAUAUUUAAUGAUAAUAAUUUAGUUUUAAAAUGUCAUUUUAUUUUUAUAAUACGAAUUCUACUCACACAAGUAUCUUGACUUGUUUUAAAUCAUAAAUUUCAAGGCUUUUUUAACUUUUUUUUUAUGUCAAAUUAAAUUAGAUCAUAUAAAUUAGAAUGAAAUUAAAAAAAUAUGAUACAUUCUUAAAAUUUGUGAUCUAAUCGAAGUCAUUUAUAUAAAAUAAUCAUAAAUAUAUGUAAUGACUAUAAUUUUUUAAAUUCUUUCAUUUAAAAAAAUUAUGAAAAAAUCGUAGUAAUCCAUGUGAAGAUUAUUUUACCAUAAAGUUUUGAAGCAAAUAAACACUAUUGUUCAGCCUCCUGUUAAAUCUUCGUUUUCAUUCAUUCAUAUGAAUAAAGAGGAAAUGAACGUAAAGUAGCAUUCAAGCACACUUCCCGAGGCUAAUGCAUCAACACUGUACAAGAUUCCCUCCUUCCUUCUUCUACCAAUUUUCUCAUCAUUUCAGUAAGGGUCCCUUUGCUUAAAAAGUUGAACUGAAUACUCUGUUUUCAUUGAAUGGUUUCCACUUCAUUGUCCAAUCGAUUCAGGUUACCUUUUUAUGGGCUUAAAGAUUUACUGUUUUGUUCGCUUUUCACUCUCUCCUCUGUUUUAGAGCUUCACUUGGGUUUCAUUUCUUCGACUGAAGAGGUCUGAUUUACAACUGUUUCUUUUUCUUUUUGCAGCUUUCUACAUGGGCAUGAACCCCCUUUUAUCCAUUUUAUCUGUUUUGAUGAGAAAAGGGUUCUGGGUUUGGUGUUAGGGUUUUAGUGUUUUUUGGGGGGAAAUUCAGUGUUGAUGGUGGAAAUGUUCAAUUCAGGGAAGUGGGUGAUUUGAUUUGAUUUGUCUUUUUUUCUCUGUGUAAAUGGGUGCGGCAAGUUCAAAGUCUGAACGGAGUGAAGCUCUGAGACUGUGUAAAGAAAGGAAAAGAUUUAUAAAACAAGCAGUUGAUUCUAGGUAUGCAUUAGCAGCUGCUCAUGUUUCGUAUGUUGAAUCUUUGAGAAAUAUAGGCAUUGCUCUUAGGAGAUAUGCGGAGGCUGAAGUGUUGAUAGAAUCAUCUCUAUCAACUUCAGCUACUGAGCUUGAUAAAACUCCGUCACACUCGUCGUAUCCAUCACCUUCACCAUCUCACGUUGGUGGGGUUUCAGAUUCUCCUGUUCUAAAUGGAAGCCCCCUUUCACCUCCUAUUGCUACUAGGUUGAGUUACAUGAGGUCUGCUGGACCUACUGCUGUCACUGUUAAGGUGAGUCCAUCUUCAACCAAUAUGUACGUAGAUGAUGUUGAUUUCUCAACCCCAUUACCCCCACCCCCACCUCCAGAUUCAGGGUCUUGGGAUUUUUUUGACCCUACAGAUAAUGAGAGCUUUAGGUUUGUUCCACAUAAUGGUAGGCAACUGAACUUUGAUGAACUUGGUGAAAAAGAUAAUGAGGGUGACAAUGGUAUUCAAGAAGAGUUCUUGACACCUAAAUCUGAACCUAAAAGUAAUGGUCAUGGUAAAUUGGAGUUUCAUGAUUCUAGUUCAGUUAUGCCUAAGAGGGCUGAGAAUAAUAGUCAGCAAAUAGCUGAUGGUGAGGGUAAUAAUGUGAGAAGUGAGCCGAAAGCAAAUGGUUCGGUUGGGACUACGAUUGGGAAAUCUGCCUUGCAAGUAUCUGUUUCAAAGGGAGACAAGCCUUCAGUGGAUGAAAGAGAGGAUCCUUCAGAGUUCAUAACUCAUAGAGCCAAAGAUUUUCUUUCUAGCAUAAAGGACAUUGAACAUCGAUUCUUUAGAGCAUCUGAAUCCGGAAAAGAAAUUUCAAGAAUGCUCGAAGCUAGCAAAAUCAGAGUUGGGUUUUCUGAGGCCAAAGGUAUAACUAUCUCUUAGAAUUAUUAAAAAAUGCUCUUUUAUUGCUUACUUUGGUUUUUGCAUCGUUUUACCUACUGAAAUUCACAUGUUUUUUGUUAUCUAUGGUCAAGUGCUAAUACAUUGCUUCUUCAGGAAAAUCUUCGGUGUCCGCCUAUUUGUCUUCUAUGGGCUCAGGUUGCUGCAGAAGAGUGGGUGAGAACAUGUCUGGUGGUAAGUUCAUUGAACAAAUUAAUAAAUUGCGUCUUCAUGUAAAAGUUGCCAAUAUGGUAAUUUAAUUAAACAUUACAUAAACAACCUCUAAAGAGGAAACAUAGUCUAAAUUCAGGCUUUAGAUUGCAUAAUUUGUGAUUUUACUUAAUUGUGUUACUCCACUGGUAGUAGACUUGGGGUUUCUUCAUGAAGGCUGUGUUUUAAUGAGAUAAUCACAUCAGCAAGUAAUUCUAGAGCUCUAAAGACUGGAUAUUUUAGGCUUUUCCCUUCAAAACAGUUGCUUUUUACUAUGAGCAAAAUAGUUAAAUUGUUAUCAACAUAUUGAGCUUACUUGAAGCAAAAGGUUGAUCUUAAACUUUUGGAGCACUUUAACCUUAAUAUUGAUGAAGUGGGCGUUUAAGUCAGAAUGUUGACAGAUUUAGCAAAGAGGCCCGAUAAGAAACUUUGCAGCAGUUGCAUCCUCGACAAUUGUCUUGAAAGUGGCUCUUUGGUCUUUCGUGAUCAUUUUAAGUCAAAUCUGAGUCGUUCUCCUACAUAAUCCUUGUCCUUCUCUUUCCUUCUUUGAGCUAGUUGGGCUUUGGGUGGGUGGAGUGUGAGCAUUGUUGAGUAUGGGCGAGAAAGCUGGUGGUGACUGCAAGUGGCUGUUGUAGAUGGACGGGUUGAUGCCUUGUUGAUGGUGGUAAAGGCUAUAGUACUUGGGUUGUAGUCUUGGUGCUAAGCGGUGUUGUAUAGCAUAUUGAAGGAAGGAAGAAAGGGAUGUAGAAAAUUUGAAAUAGAAAUAAAAGAAAAAGAAAGGAUGCAAGAGAAAUGUGUGACUGCAGGAUAAGAGAAGUUAGAAGAGAGAACAAAAAGUUGAGUAAAAAAUACAGUGAAAGCUGUGGUGAGGGGAUGUAGAGAUAGUUACCUUGGUUAAACUUUUGGUUUACUCCGAGAAGAUCACUGAGGUGUCGGAAGUUAUUGACCAAAGGUGUGGCCUACUGAUCAAUGAAGUGUGUUGAGACCAUGAUGUCUUAGGUUAAGUUCCAGUGGAGAAAAAACAUUAGGUUAUUUCUUCCCAUUGCCCAAGCCUUGGUGGAUAGAGGUACCCGGUACCUGUGUUGGCUAGAGGUUAACCUGUUAAAUUAGUUAAGGUGCGCCCAAGUUGGGCCGAACGCCACGAUUAUACAGAAAAAAAUUUAUAGCUUGUGAUGCUGUACCGAGUUUUAAGAUGUUAAUUUGAUAUGUGAACUCUAAAAACUCGUGAAUGCUUUAAAAGAUAUUAUGUUAGAACGGUUUCAAACAGUUAUGGGCAUCACAUAUCGGAAAGACUUCAUAUAAAUUUGAGUUUGAGACAGGGAGAGUAUUUACUUUUUACAUCCAUCCAAGGCAAGGCUGAAAUGUCCACGAUUCAAGAAAUUCUAGUCCUAAUCUGCUCCAACAAAUAUAGCGAUUUAUUAUCUUAAAGAAGACACAACACAAAUAUAGGGAUUUAAAUCACAACUACCCAUUAACGGAACUAAAAGCAUAAUUAACUUAUCAAACUUGUUUGGAGUAAUGUUGGACAAACUUGAUUAUGGAGUUAACAUUAAAAAAUUGGUUAUUGGAGUAAGUUUUCUUUUCAAUAAUCAUGGUGUCUGUGCCUGUUUUCGUGCACCUCGACUAAUUCCACGAGAUACUUCUAGCUCCCACCAAUAAUAGGUACCAGGUAACUCUGUCCACCAAGGCUAGGACAUGUGGGAAGAGAUCACCUAGUAUUUAGAAUAUGUAAUUCAAGUUCAGUUGUAGUUCAUAAAUUUUAGCAUUAUAUGUUAGUGGAUUAAAGCAUUUAUACUCUUUUUUCCUGUUCAUUGCUGUUCUAAUACUUCUAGUGCAAUGCAGAAGCAGACCAUGUAACAAAGGUGAUUAUCUGGAAGAGGACCACAUCCUCAAGAUCAUCUUCAUCGAGGAAUCCUCUUAAUAGUAAGGAUGACAAUGAUGAUAGUGGAAGUGAUUUUGUUGAAGAUUUUUGUAUGAUAGCUGGAAGCCACUCAUCCACCCUUGACAGAGUAUAUGCAUGGGAGAGGAAACUUUAUGAUGAAGUGAAGGUACUGACCUAGAAAGUUGAGUGUCCUGAUUAUUUUGAAUUAUUAUUAUUGGUGUAGGAUUAGCUCAGGGAGCUUGAAAUACAGCUCAAGUAAUUCAAAAAUAUAUAAGAGCUGAAUCUUCAGAUAUUAAUAAGUAGCAUCAGAAGAAAUGGAUAUGGUUUAUAGAGUAAAUACACCAUUCUUUUUUUUAAAGAAGGGUUUAGAGUAAAAUACUGUAGAAUUUGAGAAUUAAGGAAAAUUUUAGUAGCCUUGAUCAUACUAGGAUAAUUUUAGUAGCUAAAUGACACAUUAAACAAAGAGUAUACUAUUGGAACAUGUGGUGAAAUGACCCUUCGAUUGAGAAUUGUGAUGUUCAGGCCAGCUUGUGUGCACUUAGACUAAUUAAAUGUGUUCCUUCUACCUCCUACCAGCACAAGUACCGGGUAGCUUUGUCCACCAAUACUUGGACGGACGAGUAGAAAUGGUAUUUGAACCUGAGACCUCAUGUUUCUCAACCCACAUCAUUGACCUGUAGGCCACAACUUGGGUGUUGUUCAUCCUAAACUAUACAAUGUGUAGCCCAUUGACUGUGCCCCUAGGGGUACUACGUAGGUCGAUAGCUGCAUUGCUCUAUAACCAGAGAUCUGGAAAUACUAAGUUAAUGAGAAAUUCCAAAAUGCUGAAAUCUGUCGGAUUUUCCCCCCCUUAAUUUCUGUCCUCUUGGUGCGGGCUUGCAGAACUUCACGUAGGCCUUCUAUAUUACUCAUUCACAUGAUAUACAUGAACACACCCCGUCUUCCAACUUCUCCUUUUUUGACAAAAUUCUAUUCUGCUUGAGGUGUCUGAGCACGUUUCUUUUAUCCAGUCUCCUAACCUCAACCAUCAUAAUGAUUAAAUUAUAUUCAUUCAAUUGAGCUUCACUUUUUCAAAGAAGUCCAUCGCUUGUUAUCCUCCUUGAUGAUGUCAAAAAGUAUCUUUCUGCUGGUGCAGUAGUUGCUGUCGGUUUGCUCUUUCAAUAAGAAUCCUUAUUUGUUUGAUAAACACAGAAUCUGGUUGACAACAAGAAAGUUUAGCAAGUUAUAUUAAUACCCAUAAAAAAAGGAUGUUUAACAAGUUGUAUUUAUAAAGUAAUUGGUGUUAGGUCAUGUUUUACUGAAUACUGCAGUACUCCAAACUACCAAUCCGUCCUGUCAGUUUCAGUUGCUUUAGACUGAAAUCCUUCUUUGAGAAGCUGUUCUGGAUGAUAAGGAGCUCCAUUUACUGUAGUUCUCACUAGUGUCGAUAAAUAACAGCCAAUUGAGAAUGUUUCUUUUCUGCAGAGAGGGUGUUCAGCAAAUUUGUAUAUAUGGAGGAAAUAACCUUGUGGAAAACAAGACAGGAAUUCAGAAAUUUCUUUUAGUAUAGAUACUAAUAUUGAUAAGAUACAUUUUUACUUUGGUUUCUGGACCUUCCAUAGCUUUGUGUAUUCCACACCUUAUCACUGUUCUUGAAUUCAAACUUGAGGAAAUGAAGAUGAACUAUACAGCCCUUCACAGGCAUGUCAUUAUUGUGGUAAUUUUAGAAGAUAAUUUUUCUUUUUUGUGAGUAUUUCAAAGCUCAUUUGCUCAUCAUCCUCUUUAAUUUGUAGACGAUUGAGUCAAUCAGGAGAGAUUAUGAUCGGAAGUGUAACCAACUUAGGCAUCAAUUUGCCAAAGAUGUUAGCGCCCAAAUAAUUGACAAAACACGGUCAGUGGUGAAGGAUCUCCAUUCACGCAUCAGGGUGGCUCUAUAUUCCGUUGAUUCAAUAUCAAAGCGGAUAGAGAAAAUGAGGGAUGAAGAGUUGUUGCCUCAAAUUUUGGAACUUAUCCAAGGGUAAGGAUAACAAUUCUUUCUCUUCCUGCUAUUGAGCAUAUUUAAUCUGAGUAACUAUGCUAUCUAAACCUCAUUUUAAGGGUCAUCUGUCCAUGCACAUGCCUUGUAUGUUUGCUAUUAUAUUUUUUAUCAGAUUCUUAAUAUCUGGGCUCCAUGCAGAUUGAUCAGAAUGUGGAGAGCGAUGCUUGAAUGCCAUCAUGCUCAGUAUAUAACCAUUUCUCUAGCAUACCACGCCAAAGCUUCGGCUUCUAGUCCCCAGGGUGAAACUCAAAAGCUGAUUAUGAGUCAGCUGCAGGAUGAAGUAGAAUGCUUUGGCUUGAGUUUCGCCAAUUGGAUUAACAGCCAUACUUCAUAUGUGGAAGCUCUUAACAGCUGGCUGCAAAACUGCAUCCUGCAACCACGUGAGCGAACCAAAGGCAGAAGAGCAUUUUCCCCUAGACGAGUUCUGGCCCCACCAAUAUUUGUGCUUUGUCGGGACUGGUCCACUGGGAUUAAAUCUCUGCCUUCUGAAGAGCUUAGUGAUGCCAUCAAGGACUUCUUGUAUGACCUACGGCAUUCAGUUGGACACCACUCCGAGGAACUGCAAAAGAAAGAAACUACUCCUGAACCGGGGAAUGAGGAAUUGGAAGGGAAAGAUGAAGAGAAGAAUGAUGAGAAGUCAUCAAAUUUGAAUUGCAUUCACUCGAGUUUAACAAGGGUUCUGGACCGUCUGACCAAGUUUUCCGAGGCUUCUUUAAAGAUGUGUGAAGAUAUCAGGCAGAAAUGUGAUACAGCUCGAAAUGCAUAUCUGAACUAUCGACCAGCACCAAGAUCCUUUAGUAUAUGAUUGCAUUAUAAAAAUUAUGUUAUUGUAAAUCAAAGGUGGCUGCCUUGUCUUUUUGGUGGAAAAUAGGUUACCAAUUUAACUGAAAAAGUCCAUUCUACUUGCCAGUUGCAUCAAGCAUGAGCUUUCAAACUACCUAGUGAAGGCAGCAUCAUUUCAUCUUUUGUUAGCUCUCUUCCUCACUGUUGUCUCAGUAUUAUGUUUUAACAUAUUUCUUAUCAAAGUAAACAUUAUUGCUAAUAUGAAGGUACUAGCAACACAGCAGCUGUUGUAUCAUGUGAAGAUCAAUUUGUAGUGACUAGGGAUGCUGCAGCAGUUCCAAAUUUAGAAAAAUAAGAUAGGUGCUGUACUAGAGCGGUCAGAGUCUCUUUAUGUCCACAAGGAUAAGAUCCACUUAUCUUUUACUCUUUUUGGACUCCAAUUAAUUUAUGAAAUUAUUUUAUUGAUAUAAAGUAGGUGACGGGCUGUGAACUGGUCCAGCAGUGGAAAAUAUAAUAAGCUCAAAUGGUCAAUGCCAAAAUAAAUGCGCUGUUGUUGGGGCUGACAUAAAUUUAAGAAGCUUAUAAAUGUCUCGUGUUUCGCUCAGCAACACUCCGUCUCAAAUUAUCUGGUGUUUUUCUAUUUUCGAUGUCCCUUAAAAAUUAUUCUUAUUUAUAGCUUAGUUACUCUAUUUAUAUGCUUAAUUGAAGUGUUUUCCACCUUUUCGAAUUAUUUUCAGUAUUACUAUUAUACACAGAGACACUAAUUAAGAAAAUUUAUAUCCAUCUUAUUUUUAUUUUUAUUUUACAGACAUAAUCUUUUUUAAAUGUUCGAAUUGAGAUAACUAUAUUACUACUAAGGGUAAAAAUGAAGAAAGAACAAUUAAUCUUAUUUUAUAUUUUUUCACAACGAUUAGAAAUAACUAUAUUUAGAAACCACCAUAAAUAAUGCAAAUGCAUGAUGUAAUAUGAACCCCUUUGGAUCUGAUUUCAUAUAUAAUAUUAAGACAAAUACACCAAUUAGAACUAGUUGACAAGAAGUGAAUACAAGAAGAAUUCCUCAAGCUUGCCUUACCAAAGAUAAAAGAGAUGCAGGAAGCUUGACAUCAGGAUAAAUAAUGGUAUACAAAGUAUACUUAUAAGGACCAUGGGGAACUUUUUGAACUAUGAAAAUCAGAGGAAACAUAUAUUGCCCACUUCUGUUAUAAAUUAGAACCCAACAUUCUGUGUAUACUGAGUAUAAGCUUCUGAUGGAGUCUGCACACCAAUUGGAGCACGCGUUACAUAAUCUGGAAGAUCAAAGGCAUCAACAAGUUCCCUUGCGAUAUUCUUAACUUGGAAGCAUAGAUAAUCUGCUAGCUUGUGAAUUGCCUGUGAAAAAUUAAAAGUGGAUGGUCAGGAAUAGAAGAGAAUCAACCAGCCUAGAGAGUGUUAUAACUAAGCGAAGAUUUAUAACUUGCUCAUUUAACUUCUAAGAUAACCAUAUUUGCCAAGCGUCAUUUACUUUAUGUGGUUAUCUACAAUUUUUUAAGAGAAAAAAUUACUAAACGUCAUAGUAUCUCCAUGACAAAAGGGGUCAUCACGAUAGAAUAAUCCUUAAGAACCAUAUCAAUUGCAAAACUGCAAUUAGAUUCUGAUCUCUCGUACUAUACUCUUGAAUGUUUUAAUUUGCAUUUAGUAUUAGAUUAAAGAUAUUAAGAUGUAGUACAGUGACUACAUAUCCAGCUAACUUUCUCUAGAUUCAUACCUUAGCUUUGUUAGGGGCCACAUAGUCCACAUUGCGGUAAGUUCCUAUAUCAUUCCAGAUUCUGUCCAAGGCAUAGAGAUCGCACACGAGUUUUAGGGCAGCACGAGAGUUUUCAUCAGGACAACUGCAAAUAAAAGAGAGAAUUAGAUAAAUACUAGUUGAAGGAAAGAACAAGUUUCUCAAACUGUGAUUAGGAAAGUACUUUUUAACUGCUUCAAUGAACUUUUCAAGAAUGAACGAUUCGAUAUGAGACUCUGCAAGUGUCAACAGGUGAUUUAAACAUCUAUUCCAAGCACCAAAUCCUCCAAGAGUCUUGGAGUGCUUCUGAAGCCGGAUAGCUACACUUUGAAGCAACCUUGAUGUCCGAUACUGGAAAAGGAGCAGUUACAACAUUAGUUAGAUGUACAAUGCUGUUGUAUGCCAAUGUGUACUGUCGUCAGAUUGACCACAAAAUACUCACCCUAAAAGCAUCCAACUGGAAGUUAGGGUUGCGUAAGUGUUCUUCACUUUCCCAUCUAGCAGUAACUGGAUUAGGCUGAGCAAGGUAAGAAUUCAUGGAUUGUCUUAGGUAGUUCCAUGUGACAGUGAGCGUCCCACCUCGGAAUUUCUCCCUGUACUGCUUCAACAGAAGGCCGGCUACCUGGAUCAUAAGAAGAGUCGUUAUACCCUGUCCCUUUAUCAUAUUUUGCUUAAAAUAAUUAAGAAACAGAACAGUUCUUUUUGUAUGCAAGGGGAAAUGGACUCGAAAUCUCAAAUCUCAACCUGCUGCAGAAGAACAGUGUUGUCUCCCUCAAAUGUCUGAAAUAUGUCAUGAUCAUUCCUCAAUAUUCCAAACCUAUUGACAGCGGCAUAACCAUGGCCACCACAAGCUUCUCUACAUGUGCUCAAUGACUUUGCGGUGUAAGAAGUGAUAUAGGCCUUAAGCCCUGCAGAAAGUGCAUGUACGUCCCCUAUCAGUUCCUCAUCAUGAGACUUCUUCAUUUCAGAAUAUUUUUCCACCAGAUGAAGUGUGGCAAAAUGGAAUGCGUAGGUCGAAGCCAACAUUGGCAUAAGCUUGUGCUGCUGAGAUUGGUAGUCAAGUAUACUAACUUCAGGUUGUUUAGGAGGACCGAAUUGCUGGCGCAAAAGAGAAUAUCUUGUUGCAAUAACAACAGCAAUCUUGAGAACACCCACAGAUGAAUACGCAAGGCCAACUCUACCACCAACAAGUUCUCCAAGUGUGGCAGCAAAUCUUUUGCUAAUUGUAGGCAGGCUGCUGGUGUAUCUCCCAUCCCGUGAAACGUCUCCAAAUCGAUUAAGAAGGUUAUCUCGUGGAAUUCUUACUGAACGAAAUCUCAAUGCACCAUUAUCUACUCCAUUCAAGCCAACUUUAUGGCCACAAUCAUGUAUUUCAACCCCUGGCAUUGUUUUGUGGGUUUUCAUAUCCCUUAUGGGAACAAUAAAUGCAUGAACACCCAUGUCAGUAACACCUUUUGUAUCAUGAGUUGGUAACAUCAGUCUUGCAAAAACUGUUGCAAACUUCCCAUGAACGGCAGCAUUACCAAUCCACCAUUUAAUAGCCCCAUCAUUUGGCGUGUCAAUUAUGAAUUCAUCUGUGAGUGGAUCAAAGGUGGCAACUGUCUGAAGACCUUGGACAUUGGAACCUGGUGAGCAAAAAAAAUAAAACUAGAUUAGACUGAAUCAAAGUGUCCUAAUUAUCAAAAUAACAGCACUAUAUGGUAAUGCUUUUGAUUCAAUUAAGUGGCAUUCUUAUGGAUGUUAAUUGUUAAAGACAUCAUCAACUGCCUGGGCUAUACUAACCACAUUCUGCAACUUCCAGAUAUCCCACUUAUAUUCUGUAAUUUUCCUUUAGAAAAAGAGGACGAAAAAUGAUUAGAAUGUUUCUUUGGAACAUAAUGCUGUAAAUAAGCAAAGUAUACAAACACGUACAGAACAACCUAAUCUUGCAAAUUUCUACCAACGUUUGCUAUAUGCAUUGAGUCAAUGUGUAAAAUAUUUAUCACUACUUUAGCUACGUAUGUUAUAAGCAAACAUCAUCUCCCUUAACUCAAUUGCUAAAACACCUGUAUGUGCAGUGCACAAGACCAAAGAACAUACUGGAAGUUGAUAAUGAAAUGAUAAUUAUACAAGUAGUAGUCCAAAACAGUUUACCAUGAUGAAGCUCCGUCAUUGCAAAGCAUCCCGGGUAGUCCACAUUGUCUAUACCAUCAAAGUAUUUGUCUCUGUGCUUUUUAGUUCCCAAGUUGAUAACAGAACCUCCCCAUAGACUGUAUUGAAAGUCCAAUCCGUUAAGAAUUUGUUAUUAACUUUAUUAAUGAGAAACUUAAAACAUAAGAUCCAUCAUAGUUGCUAUAGUAAUCGAGAUUCAGGAAAAUAUGCAACUAGGACAGAAAAUACACCAUACAGUAACAAAGGGAGGAUUAGAAAAGAAGACCCUAUGGUAUAUAAGUUUUACUAGGGUACUCUUGAUCACCAACAACUUAAGGUUUGGAAAUGAUGCAUUCUGAGAAGUAUCAAAUUCUAGCUUUCGCAUACUUGCAUAGAUGAUAAGUUGGAAAUUAGGUGCAACUACUAGGUACUUCAAUCAUUUGUACACAAUAGCAAUCAAGAAGGAAACUCUUUAGUUGAUCUGAUCCAGAUUAGAUACUAGAUCUUUCCUCAAUAAACAUCAAAUAGCAAAUCAAGGCCUUGACUAGAAUCAUAUGAAAUAUCUUCUUUAAGAAUAUACGAAUUUGAUUGGUCCAUACAAUCCAAUUCAAAAGGAAGCUUUUCUAUCUUGUUUCUAUGCAUGCUCUUGAACUCAAAUAAAGCUAUAGAACCCCCAAAAGGAUUUCAUCAAAUGCAUUUUCUAAGGAAGAAAACAUUUGCAUAUUGGCAUAUUUCUGGAUCCUAUUGGUCCUUGUAAAUGAUCUUACUGGUGUAUACUUAUAUCUCGAUUCUCCGAUCUUUCUGGUAAAUAAUCAGCAAUAAAUGAUUUUUCACAUAGCAUUGAACUGAUUCAUACCAACUACACCUAAGUGGCUAAAUUCCACAGACCUCUUAACUCCUCCCCGAAAAAGAGAAACUAUAAAAACAAAACAGAGGCUAGCUAAAACCCAAAAUCAGCAUAAUGAUUAGUAUUCUUAUUUCAAAUUACAUACAUAAAUACCAGUGCUACUCUAAACUCAAAUUACAGAUGUAACUGUACUCCGGGCCUCAACAAUGAAAACAAAACAACAACAUACCCACCAGUGAAAUUCCAGAAGAAAAAUGUUUUCACAAACAAAUUUGACCUCAAUAGUGAAAAUAUGUCAAAAUUGAAGUCAAAGCGGUGAGGAGAAUUUAUAUUUUUACCUGUACUGAACACCCAUUUUGAUGCCAAGUGACAUGUCAACGCUUCCCACGGCUUCAGCAAUCGCAAAAUACUUGGCCGGAUCGUCAACCACAUACCUAAAUGGCCUAAUUCCACCUUCCCUUACCAAACCCACAAGCUGUUUCAUGCACAAUUCCCUGUGUUCAUCUUUCGAUAUCUCAAUCGGUGUUUGAAGUUCCGGUCUUGAAUUAAAGUAAGCAAAUACUUUUUCCUGUAUAUCCCUAUGCUUCCCUCUCAUGUACUCUGACAGCGCCUCCGUGCUCACUUUAAUCGCCUUCAUCUUCCCUGCGCAUCUCAGCAGCUCCAAUUCCUGAACCGGGAUUUCCUGAACCGGGUUCAAAUGCAACGUCAGCAAAUUGAUUCGCCGGUUCACGAGUUCCGCCGUUUCUUCACUGUUUUGAGGACCCUUUGAGCUGAUCUUUUGAAGCUCCAUGGAAUCUUGAAACAAAAACGAUAAAUCAGUAAAUAUAUAGAUACAGAGUUGUGUAUAUAUAGGUAGAGAGAGAAAGAAGACGUUUUAUGGUUAUGGAGGUUGGAAAAUGGAAAUGUUGAGAGGAGGUUAGGAGAAGAAUUGAAAUGGUUUAUACGGAACGUUAGUGUGACGUGGAGUCACGAGUGGCAUGGCACGUGGAGUUAUGUUAUUGGAGGAAAAGUAAGGUAAAUUAAUAUAUAUAUAUAUAUAUGGCGCGCCGUUCGAUGUAGAUCAAGAUAGGGAUGGGUGAAUCUUGAAUGAAUGGGAGAUUUGGAUGAGAUUGGUUGUCAAUCAAGACUCAUAUUUUUUGGCCAUUUCCUUUUUAAUUUUUUAAUUUGAAAAAGGAGAAACUCUUUGUUUUUCUUUAUUGGGUUCGAAUAUUUAUCCAAUAUUAGUUUAAUAGCUUAGCUUACUUUGUAGGUAAAAGACUUUUUGUUUUGACUUUAAAUAAUACGCAAGUUCCGCGAUAUGCUAAAUUAGUUGGCGAUUUGUUUCAGGAUAUGUUUCUUGUUGUUAAAUAAUUCAGUUUGGAUAUAUUUAAUAAAAUAAUUAUAAUUUUAUAUUUCAAAUUAGAAUUAACAAAAAGUUAGAUAUGUUGGGAAGAAGACUUAUUGACUUUUAAUUUGAUAAAGUAUGAAGUAUUUAACUCUUUAUAUUCUAUAAGAUAUGGUCAUUUGAAGUUGACUCAUUCAUCAUCUGAUGAUAAAAUUUAAUUGGUAGAGAAACUUUGAACUUGACUUAGUGCUAGACUUUCCUUAUGACUCUAAUUCACAUCUAAUAUACUUACAACACUAGAAAUUGAUCUUAACACGUAAGAUCAUCAAAAUUGAAUUUAUACGUCUAUGGAAAAUGAUUCGGACCUUUGCUAAAAGUUACGGACGUUACAAGAAGCAUGUAGGACACUAGAUAGAAUUGUUGACGAUAAAUUUAUACUUAUAUAUUAUAGUUUCUUACAAAUUUAAUAAUAUAAUAUUAAUUUGUUGAAAACAUACUAAAUAAAUUUAUUUACCAAUAUAAUAAAGAAAAUUAUAGCAUAAAACUAGAAACACACAACCUGAUAACAAUUUAAUUCAAAAAAUGCUCAGCAAUAAAAUAUAAGAGGAAGCAUCAUUUCUUUUAUCUUUUUCUACAGGGAAGGACUUCUAUAUUUAUAGAUCAAAAUCACUUCACCUCCUAGUGGGUUAAGACUAAUGGAUUAUAAUCCAAAAAGGGUAAAGAACUGACGACUCGUUAUCAUCAUGAAGAAUAAAGUCUAUGUCAUAAUUGUAAUAGAGCCAUAAUUUACUUUUGCACACUUGUUAAUAAAAUUAUAAAUUGAAGUGUAACUUUACUAUAUAACCUUUUAAAUAUAAUAAACGUAAUGUCUUGAAAAAUGUAAUAGGAAAAUGACUAUAAUUAAUGGGGAAAAUGCAUAAAUAUCACCCUAGACUAUGAGUGAAAUUCCAAAUACAUGCCUUAACUAUUCUAAGAUCCUAUUACUCUUUUGAACUUUUUUUUUUGUAAUUUUGUGCACCUUUUUGGCUUACGUGGAUUCCAAAUAUCUCUACGCGCCUCAAUUGCGUGGAGUCACGGAGUGUGCCACGUAAGACAAAAGGUGUAUAAAAUUACAAAAAGAAUAAGUUCAGAGAAGUAACAGGACCUUAGUUUAGUUAAGGUGUGUCUCUGAGAUUUUGGUCAUAAUCUAAGGAAGGAACUGUGCAUUUUCCAUAAUUAUGAUAAAAGUAAAUUAGAAAUUUAGAUUAAAAUUAUUCAUUGGUUUCAUAAAGUUGACAAGUAUUGUUGAUCCAAAUAGUACAGUCAACAACUAUUGUUGAACGGAUUAGAUAUUUAUUAUCUAUUACGACAAGGUAAUUUUACAAUAUUAUAUCAUAAUUAUAAUAGAUGAUUGACCCCAUCUUUUGAGAUUAUAAAUUAAAUAUUUAUUUAUAAAUGUGUUUUAAAUGACAUAAUAGUAAGAGUUUAUAUUAAUUAAACUCUCAAAUCUCAAUUAAGUAAUUUAAAACAUUUAUGAAUUGUUUCUUUUACCUAUGAGGUUACAAGUUUGAAUUGAGUGAUCCUUUUGAUGAUUGAAUUUUAAUUUUAUUUCCUUCUAAAAAAUAGUAAAUUAAAAUUAUUUAUUUACUAAUGAUGUGUUUUUAUACAAUUCAUACUGCUAAAAGAAAUAGUAAAAUUAAAAAUUAUAAGUCAUUGGUGGAUUUCUAAUACUAAGGAGUCUCCAUAAGGUGCUUUUAUACAAUUCAUAUUGUUGCAUAUCACGUUUCUGCACACUUACACUAACAACAUUAUUGUUGAGUUUCCUUAAUAAUUUGCACACAUUGUAAAGGUUUAUUUACCAUUCAAUUUAAUAUAUUUUUAUGUUAUAAAAGACUGGUAAACUUAAUUAUAUUUUAGUAAAUAAAAAAUUGACUUAAUCAACAAAGAAUGUCAAAGAUAGUUGAUCAUUCAAUUUAGUUUCAUUGUUGAUAAAAAGAUUAAACUUCAAAAAGCAUGAAAUCAGGCCUAUUUUGAAUUAAACUUUAAAAAACAAAUUUAAAAUAACUUAUUUUUGAUUUUUUUUUUUUAAAAGGGGCCAUUUUACCGUCAGAAAAAUAGUUCAUUCUUUAGGUGCAUACGAAAGGAAAGGACUUAGAAAUUGAUACAUCUUAUAUUCAAUAUUGUAUUCAGUUCUUAAAAUUAUACUGAGUAAAAUAUUUUUUCCUAAAAUCAUGUUGUAUCAAACGUACUUAAAAAUUAAUAGGACAUACGUUUAUUUUUGUUUCAUCUUAUGACAGUUUGUAUACAAAUAAAUUAACAAGUCAAGUGUGCCAGCAGACACAUAAUCAAUACCUCAUUAGUCAUUACUAUUGUGGAUGGCCGUGCGCGCACGGGCCAAGGCGAUAUUUGAGGCAAAUAUUAAUAGGGCGACAAGUAGUAAAUGAUUAUUAAUAUAUAAACGGAUGACAAUAAUCCAAAUAAACAUAUUUUAUAAAAGCUUAAAAAAGUAUGGAGAAAUGCAGUGUAAUAUAUGCUGUUCUUUCACAGAAAUAGGUAAGCAAUGUCAAUUUCUGUUAGCAAGGAAAUUUUAAUUUUAAUAACUAACAUCUUUGCCACUUAACAAUUCAAUGUUGACUCCUCUAAAUUUAAGCAUGCACAUGUCUUUUAUAAUGCGGAAGCAAUCCAAAUGUAGCUUGAAGUUUUCACUAUAAGGAGAAGAGAAGUAAAAUUUGGGUACGAAAAUUGUAGAAAGUUGAACACACUUGAGAACAAUAAUCACAACUACACGUGCGAAAACAUGAAAGAGAGCAGUCACAAUUAGCAGUUUAGUUAGAUAAAUAUAGAAGGCUUUGACAACAAAACUGUGAAGAACUGUGUACAUUUAUGGAAAGAAUUUAAAAGCAGUACUCUCUGUUCUAUUUAUGCGAUACAUUAGAAGUAAUUUGCUUAUAAUUACAAAAAACUUAUAUCAUGUUUUUAUAAUUAGCAGUAACUUAAUUUUAGAGUUUCUCUUUUUAUACGUUAAAAAAUAAUUUAUUGUCCAAGAUUUUUUGUAGACAGCAGAUUUUAAAAGUCUUUCUUUAAUUUGAGUCCAAAACAACUUUCGUAAACAAAGCAGCUGUUAGCAAGCUAUUAUGGAAAGUCUGCAGGGGAAAACAUAGCUUGUGCGUUAAAAGAGUACAUAGCUACUAUAUCAAGACAUGAAUAUGUAAAAACUUGUAGAAAGCAGAAGAGGGCUAUUGUGAAAAUUUUCCUAAUAUUUCUUUUGUGCCAAGAGUGGCAAUAUAUAUACAUAUAAGAAUGCAAAGAAAAGAAAAGGAAAACUUUCUAUUUGUACAGAUGACCUUAUUCUAUUUGAUGUGGUCUAACAAAUCUGUCAGUAAAUAAAUAACAAGGAAAGAAAAUACAUAUAUAUGACAUCAAUAAAUUUGAAUUGAGUGACAUCAACAAUUCUUAUUGUGGACGUUUUCUUUCUUCUUUCUUCUUAUUUUCCAUCUCUAAAUCAAUAUGUUGAUCUGAUGCAUUAUUUCCAACAUCCCCCCUCAAGUUGGAGGGUGUAGAAGAAGAAACCCCCAACUUGAAUAGAGAGGAAAGAUGAGUCGAGCCAGACAAGGGCUUGGUGAACACAUCAGCAAGUUGAGCAAUGGAUGGCACAAAAGAAAGGGAAAUGAUACCUGCAAGGUAUUGUUGUCGAACAAAAUGACAAUCAAGUUCAACGUGUUUAGUGCGUUCAUAAAAGACAGGAUUUUUGGCAAUAUGAAUGGCAGCUUGGCUAUUGGAGUGUAGAGGCACAAAUAGACGAGGUUCAAUGGAAAGAUCAGUGAGAAGGCGAAUAAGCCAAGUAAUUUCAGCAACAACCCGAUGCAUUGACCUAUAUUCGGCCUCAGCUGAUGAAAAGGAAACCAAAGAUUGUUUCUUGGACUUCCAAGAGAUAGGAAAACCUCCCAAAGUGAUGUAAAAACCACUAAUGGAUUUGCGAGAAUCAGGACAACGACCCAAUCAGAAUCACAAAAAGCAAUUAAAUCGAAAGAAGGAGAGGAAGAGAGAAAGAUACCCAAACCAGGAUCAAGAAGAAGGUAUCGCAAGCAACGAAGAGCAGCAUCAAGAUGUGGCUGCCGAGGGGCCAGCAUAUAUUGGCUCAAGUGUUGAACAACAAAAGAGAGAUCAGGACGAGAAUGAGUGAGAUAAUUCAAUUUCGGAAGAAUCUUUCGAUAGGAAGUGGGAUCAGAAAUUAAGACACCUUCAUCAGCUGACAGAGGACAUGACGGAUCAAGGGGGGAAGAGACUGGUUUUAAAUCCAUACAAUUGAACUCCUGUAACAUAUCCAUGGUGAACUUUCUUUGACUUAAAAUUAUCCCCAGUGGUUCGCGGAUGAUUUCUAAGCCAAGAAAGUAGUGACCUGUUCUAAAUCUUUUAUCUUGAACUCAGAAUGUAAGGAAGCUUUGUUAGAUUGACAUUCUAUAGGAUCAUCACCAGUGAGGAGAAUGUCAUCCACAUAAACUGCUAUGAUGGAAGUGCUGUGAGGAGACUUCUUGUAAAACAAAGAAUAGUCAUUGAAAGAGUGGUUGUACCCUUUAAAAUGAAGAGCUGCAGUGAGGUGUGCAUACCAUUGGCGAGAAGCUUGUCGGAAACCAUAUAAGGAUUCCUUGAGUUUACAAACGUGAUUAGGAGAAUGAGGUCUCGGACCAGGAGGCAACCUCAUAUAUACCUCUUCAUGAAGUUCUCCAUGUAAAAACGCAUUGUUUACGUUAAGUUGAGAAAUACCUCAACCUUUCUUCACCACAAUACUUAACAAACAACGGAUGGUUGUCAUUUUCACCACCGGAGUGUAUGUUUUAGUAAAAUUGAUUCCUUCUCGCUGGAUAUCCCUCGUACAACCAAACGAGCUUUAAAUCUUUCGACUGAACCAUCCUGUUUAUAUUUGACCUUGUAUACCCACUUACAAGGUAGGGCCUUUCUAUCCGAAGGUAAAUCCACAAUCUCCCAAGUAUUAUUGGAUUUAAGGGCAAUGAGUUCUUCAGCCAUUGCAUUCUGCCAACCAGGAUGUAAAGAUGCUUGAGAAUAGGAGGUAGGCUCAUAUAUGUAGGAAGUUGAGGUAAGGAGAGAUUGAUUUGAGUGUGAGAGUGUAGUAAAGGAGACUGUUUGAGGAGAGAUUGGGGAAGCAAAACAAGAGCCGGUCAAAUGAGUCAAGACGACGGAGUUACAAACAAAAUCGGCUAGGUUUUUAGGUAUUUCAUGACUUCAAGUAGACCUCCUUAGAGGGAUAGGAAUGGGGGUGGUAGAUGGAACAGUAAUGGGAGAAGAAGAGUGAACAUGAGUAGGAGGAGGAGAGACGAUAUGAUCAACUGGAUUGGUUAAGGAAGGAGAAGAGGAAGGAGAAGUAGGAGAAAAGAAUCAGAAUGUCCAAAAUCAGUAGGAAAAUGAAAAGGAGUGAAAUAAGGCAAAGGAGAAUCGGUGGAAACAGGACGAGUAUCUGAGGAGAAGGGAAAAAUUGUUUCAUGGAAAACAACAUCCCUAGAUGUGAGGAUUUUCUUGGAGUUAAGGUCAAGCACCUUGUACCCUUUCUUCCCGAAAGUGUACCUAAAAAAAAACACACUUGAGGGACCUCGGAUCUAGCUUUCUUCUCUGUAAGAAAUGAGUAGAAACAUAACAAAGACAACUAAAAGACUUUCUUCUUAUUUUCCAUCUCUAAAUCAAUAUGUUGAUCUAUUUCCAACAGAAUAUAGUGGUAAAAAGGAUAUGAAGGUGUAUAGAACGUCUAAAAGCUGCUAGAGGAUUGGAGAUUGAACUUGUCAACAUACAAAAAUACUCAACUAAUAAGAUAUAUGUAGCAAGGAAUGGUAAAUUCCAUAAUUUCGAGUGGAGCAAAGUUAUUUGCAGCAACCUUAGUCCCCCUAAAUAAAACUCUACACUCGAAAUGGCAGGAUUGAGAAAGCUAAACACCAAGGAUAGACUCAUGAGUUGUGGUGUUUUAGAUGAGUACGAAUGGUUCAUCGUCUGUUCUUUAUUUUUUUCGAUCAAACGCAAUCAUAGAGAGAUUUCUAUUUAAAAUUGGAUGCAAUAGUUAGUUCUGUUGUACAAAGUUGAUCAACUAACUUUAAGAGCUAUUGUGUCAAGUUGUUCAACUAAACUUAACAACUAAAUAUAUAUUUUGAGAAAAUAAUGUACGGAGAGAUCAGAGGAGUGUUAUGCUGGAGGUAUUACACACUAAUUUGAUUAGGCUGGUUCAAUAACUUAAUGAAUUGCAAAAUACUGAAUUUAUGUCAACAUUAUUCCAAUUGAAGGAAUUAAAGAAACUUCGAAUUCUCUAUUCUAUGAAUUCUACGUCUACCAUUUCUGUUGCUGCCUAAACUUUCAUCAUCUUCUUCAUCAAUGGAUAGAUGAGAGCAAUGUGAUUGAGCUGGGAAACCGCAUGAAUGUCACGCGUUACCACGUGGAAUAAAACUGAAGCACAGGUAUGAGUUGGAAUGGCAAAAAUGACCUUCAUAAAUUUAAAAAAAAUGACUUUAAACAGACAUGUUGAUUCAUAGUUAUACUCGCUCUUUUACUAUGAUAGAAAUGUUUCCUUAGAGAAUAUAAAUAGUAUAACAAUUAAAUAUCAAAAUAACGUAUUGUAGCUAAUCAAAAAUAAUUUAUCAGUACAUUAGUGCAACAAUUUACCUUAAAGAGGUCUCGCACUGUAUUUCUACUGGGGAAAUUUAAAAAUAACAAUAUUUUAGUCUUUUGGGUACUCCUUAACAACAUUUUAACUAUUUAGUAAAAUUAGCAAUGUUUUAAUUUGUUAACACGAUGAAUACUGUAUUUUUUUCUUUUAAUAUAGUACGUAUAUUUAUAAUAAACAUUAGAGAAAAAGAAAUUAAAAGAUAAAAAGGUAAAUAGGAUUUUAAUAAUUUUUCAAUUACUUUUAAAAAGCUGAACUUUUGCUAUUUUUUGAGUUGAGCGUUUCUUUUCCUCCUUUGUUCUUGAUAUUUAUUUUUUAAAAAAAUACAAACAAAGUUGUAUUCCUAAUUAUCAAUUGAUAAAAUUGCUUCAUUAGUCGAAUCGAAUUCAGCAAAUAGAAUCAAAUACGAAAAUAUUUUGAAAGCGGAAAUAUUCGAAUCCACAACUAAAAUUUCGUCAAUUCGAUGCAACUCAAUUAAUUUCGAGAUGAUAUAUUUUUUCAUGUUGUUUAUUAUGAAUAGACCUUUAUAUGAUUUCUAGCUUUUUUGUGAAAGUUCGACUUCAGUUUCAUUGAUAUCAAUAGAAAACCUCUGAACAAGAUAAGGAACAUGCAUAUAAUUGUACCCGAUCAUCUGAUGUAUAAGGCUUGAUAAGUGAUAGGUUCUGUUUAGACUCAUAUUUAGUAUUUAUUUUUGUUUAUUUCUUGUUGUUAACAAUAUGAAAUUAUGUAUGUGUUAGUUUUGAAACGGCUAUUAAUGUAUGCAGAAAGUUAUGUAUUUGAGUUCUCUUUACUGUUUUUGUUAUUCUUGAAACGUACAUUUAUGUAGUUAGAUAUUGGAUACAUUCUUUUCUUUUUAAAAUUUUUGAAAUACUGCAAAAAUGAGAUCAUCAAGUAUAUAUUUGUUAAUAUAGUCAUGGGAAGCAUUAGUUUUUUAGCCAUGCAUUCUGGGAAAAGGCUGAGCAAGUUGAUGUUUGUGUAGAAAAUAAUUGGAAUCGAGAGGUUAUGAAAAUGGGCUAGGGUAUAUGCAACAGUUAAUCGAGGAAUGGUUAUGACAUCAAACAUAGCUGAGUGCAUAAAUUCUUGUCUAGUUGAAGCAGGGGAAUAACCGGUAUACGAUUUCCUUGAAUAAAUAAGGCAAAUGUUUGCAACAUGAAAUUUGAAAACUCAUACGUCUGCUUCACAUACUUUCACCACACUUUGUGGUAAAUCACAAGAGAUGCUUGUUGCUAAUGAAUAAGCAUCAUUACAUAUGAAGGUAUGUUGUUGCAAUUAUAUGUUCAUUAACAUUAUAUAACAUAACUGUUUAUUUAUUUUUGUAGGUUGUACCAUCUAAUAAUUAUGUGUACAUUGUUCAUCACGCAGGUGGAACCUAUAUUGUUUGUUUGGAAAAUAAAAUUGUGCUUGCAAGAGGUUUCAAAUGGAUGAAAUACCAUGUUCGCACGCUUAGUCCGUUUUAAAGAAGAAACAUUUUGAUGUUGGACCAUAUUGUAUCGACAUGUUCAAGCCAAGUAACUUUUUGGAUACAUGUAGCAUUCCAAUUAGUCCGUUACCUGAUCAAAACAAGUGAAAUGUACCUGGGUAUAUUAAGGACGAUAUAGUGCGGCCUCCAAAGCACAAAAAGCUUCCUGGAAGGCCAUCCAAAAAGUAUCAUGACAAGACGUAUAGCGAGAUAUACGGAAAGAAGAGAAAGAAUUCCUGCAGUACUUGUGGGUUUAAAGGGCACAAUAGGCGUUCAUGUAAGAAUGGACCGCAUAUUGUAUAGUUAAUGAUUUGUCGUUUUUAUAUCUUAUUAGAGUUAAAUUGCUUCCAAAGUUCUAAUGUUUUCUGGUUUAUAUAAUAAAAUGAAAUUCUUUUUAUAUGUUUUAUCUUGAAAUGCAUACUAUUGUGAAUUUUUCUAAUCGAAUUCAGUAAUUUUUUGGUAUAUGUUAUCUCUCGAAAUGUAUUUAUAUCCAUGGUUUUAACCUGUAUUAUAUUUGUUCUAUCUAAUUGUAUGUGUGAAAUUGAAUGAGUCACAAACAUAACCAUUACAGUUACUUGUAUUCAACCAUAAUUGUAUUUGUAAUUUAAUAUCAAUUGUUGUUAUAUUAUUUUUAUUUAAAUUUAAAAUUGUACAUACUAUUUCUUUACAUAAGUUUAUAUUACAAAAGUUCAUUGUGUAUUUCAAUAUUUGGUUGAAUCCCAAACAACAGGAUUACAUCCAUCUGUAACAUUUUAAAGCAUACAAGUUUUUUUGGUAUCUGUUUUCUCUCGAAAUGUAUUCAUAUCCAUGGUAUUAAUCUCUCGAAGUGUAUUCGCUAUACAACUUCUCUCGAACUUAUAUUAUUAUUAUUAUUAUUACUUGUAUUCAAAAAUUAAUUGUAUUUAUAUUUUAAUAUCAAGUGUUACAUCCAUUUGAAGCAUUGGAAUGCAUACAAUUGUACGUACGUUUUAUAAUUUUUUUGAUAUACGUUUUAUCCCAAAAUUUAUUCAUAUCCAUAGUUUUAAUCUACAUUAUAUUUGUUUUAUCUAAAUUGUAUGUGUAAACUUGUAUGAGUCACAAACAUAACUAUUACAUUUACUUGUAUUCAAACUUAAUUGUAUUUACAAUUUUUUUGGUAUACGUUUUAUCCCAAAAUGUAUUCAUAUUCAUGAUUUUAAUCUACAUUAUAUUUAAACUAUCUAAAUUGUAUGUGUGAACUUGUAUGAGUCACAAACAUAACCAUUAUAGUUACUUGUAUUCAAACUUAAUUGUAUUUAUAAUUUAAUAUCAAGUGUUGUUAUAUUGUUUUUAGUUGAAUUUAAAAUUGUACAUGCUAUUCCUUUACAUAAUUUUAUACUACAAAAAAUCAUUGUGUGUUUCAAAAUUUUGUUAGAAUUCCAAACAACAGGAUAACAUCCAUUUGUAACAUUUUAAAGUAUAUAAUUUUUUUUGUUUCCCUUUUCUCUCGAAAUGUAUUCAUAUCCAUGGUAUUAAUCUAUAUUAUAUUAGUUCUAUCUAAAUUUUUAUGUGUUAACUUAUAUUAGUCAAAAACAAAAUCAUUACAACUAUUUUUUUAGUUUUAGUAUCAAAGUUGUGUUGGUAGAAGCAUAUUUCUUGCAGGUAAGCUUCUAACAUAUAGUAAAGUACACUGUAAAAAAUGAGCUUUAGGUGCAUCUUACAUAUAUGUUUUCUUGAUAUUUAUUUGUAUUUAGUUGCUGAUAAGAUGAGCUUUGUGUACCCCACUUGCAAUACUUAAGCAAGACGCACAAAUAAGAUGCUCUUUUUCCUCACUUCCACAAGCAUCAUAUAUGCUCUUUGGUAAGAAAAAUAUGUUAGCAAAGAUUCAUAAACUAUAAAAUCAUAGAGAUAGAUGGAGUAAACUGUACAAGGACUAAAACACUUGAAUAUUAACCCAGAACUUUGAAACAUUAGAAUUAUAAAAACUAAUAAGAUUUAACCAGAACUUCAAGGUUUCUACAUUAAUUAAAACAAGAACUGAAAUCAUUUACAUGCAUGACAAAUGCUUAGCGAGAACUACAAUUGAGUUCUAAAGUCAUGCAACACCUAUGUAUUUGUCCGCGUGCACGACAUUGAUGCAUUUGCAUGUAAUUACCACAACAGGUGCUCUAACGAAAUACAUUGUAUACAUGACCAUGUAAAUUCUUCAAAUCAGUGUUUAUGUCAUGGUUAAAAGAAACAAUGAAUAUGGGGAGCUUUUUUUGAUUUAUUUUUGACAUAAAAUUCAUUUGCCUGCACAUGUUCAAAAAUAAAAUGAAUACAUACUUAAAAUAUUUACUGAUAUAUAAAUCUAUUUCUAGUUAACAACAUAGAAUAAGAAAAACUACAUUGUAUACAAAAGCUUGAAUGUUCAUUCUAAUUCAUGAAUAUUGAUGACAUAAAAAUUAAAAUGAAACAAAUAACAGAAUACGUAUUAAACUCAUACUAUAAAACUAUUAAAAUUUCAAUACAUAAAGAUGCUGAAAAAAUAUAGAUAUAUUAUACAACAAUCUAACAUAAGUAUACAACUAAAUAUGUGCAAAUAUAUUGGCUAAUAGAAUACAGUUUGAGGAAAAUCUACUAAAUUGAAAUAGAUAAAGAUAAAUAUUGUAUUCCUUUUCCUAAUAAUGCCAAGCAAUUGAGAAGAGUCUUAAGUAAAUUGUAAUUUAUAGAAUUCAAUAUUAGCAUUUUGAUAAUUUUAGUUAUGGUUAUACAUGCACAUUUUUGGUUGAAGGUUUUUGAUAUAUGCACAUUUUUUGUUUAACUAACAAGUUCUAUAUUGAGAAGUUGUGAAGAAUUACAACAAACAACAACUUUUAGUUAUGGUUUUAUAUAUAUAUAUAUAUAUAUAUGACAAAGGGCUGAAUCAAGCAAGAUUAUAGUACUCAAUGUGUAAACUUUUCAUCUUUAUACUUAAACGCACACGGGAAAUGUAAUUUGUAUAUCUACACAACUCACAAAGAUUAAAAAAAAAUUUAACUGUAUCCAGAAUUUAUUUCAUCAAAUUUAGGGAUACAAACAUAAUAUUUGUAUUUAAAAAUUAUAAGCUUCCAAUCUGAAAGACGUAUACAAUUUCAAACACAAAAACAACAAUGGACAUAAAAACAUGCAUUAUGUCAACACUACAAUUUCAACAGUAAACAUGCAUGUGAAAGAUUAAUUGUUCUUUGCUUCAUAACCCUAACAUAAAACUUAAGUCACCAAUAUCAUCCUUAUAGUAUAUAAAAGUGAAGCCAGUAACCAGGCCUAAAAUCUACUACUUCCUGUUUUCCUGUCUCCCCCUUCCCCCUCCCCCCCCCCCCCCCCCCCCCCAAAAAAAAAAAAACCCUCCCCAACAAAAAAGGAAAGUAGGGGAAUCUUAAACCAGUUUGGUAAGUAAAAAGACAAGAAUGAAAUGGAAACUAUACAAGACUGUCAUCAUAUAUAUUCCGCUUUCUAGAGUAAUGAUCAUGGUGGAUAUAAUGACAGAUAAAAUAGGGAAUAUCACAAUGAUAAGUACCUUUUUCCCGCUGGAAACUCUCUUGUUUAAAUAUACAAUCAGCGAAAAAUAACAAUAGACAUAGCAUAUAAAAUUAUUUCAUAAAUAAUUUAAUACCUCUUCAUCGUCAUAAAGUAAUACUUCAUUACUUCGAUCUUUUCGUAGAUCAUCAGGGAUUUCAGAACACAACACUUUCUUUUUUUUGGAAGAGCUCUCUGUUGAAAUCUAGAGACAAGACUCCAUUAAUGAUCUGUGAUGAAGAUCCAUAAAAGCUUGAAGAAGAAGAAAGUAAAAGAAGAGAGAGAAAGAAGAGAAAAUAUUCGGUGUAUUGAAAAACUUGAAAAUGCAAAGUACAUGUUCAAGCUAAUUUAUACAACAAUAUAAAAUCAACCAGCUAACUACUAAAACAACUUAGCUAACUAAUUAUGUUUAACACUAACUGACUCUGACUGCAUUAUUCUGUUAAUUAGUCGAAUCAAUCUCAACAUCCCCCCCCCCUCCUCAAGUUGGAGGGGAGGAAUCCACUGCCAACUUGCGUAAUAUCGCAGUGUGCUUAAUCCCUGUUAAGGCCAUAGUAAACACAUUAGCCAAUUGUUCAUGUGUUGAAACAUGAUGAAGGGUGAUGAUUCCAUCCUGUAUGUUGUUUCUCACAAAAUGACAAUCUACCUCUAUAUGUUUUGUACGUUCAUGGAAGACAGGGUUCCUAGCUAUAUGGAUUAUUGCCUGACUGUCACAAUAUACAGAAGUAGGACCAGUGUAAGACACAUCAAGCUCUGUCAGCAGAAUAUAGAGACAAGUAGCCUUUUUCUUUGGUUUCCAACUAAUUGGACUAUCCCCAAUCAUUACAAUGUACCCACUAACUAAUUUUUUGGAGUCAGGGCAAGAGGCACAAUCUGAGUCGCAAAAUGCUUUUAAAGUAAAUGUGGAGUUUCUUGACAUGAAAAUCCCUAGAGCAGGAUCAUUCUUCAAGUAUCUAAGGACAUGCAUUGCAGCCUUGAGAUGAGGCUCUCUAGGAGCUUGCAUGUAUUGACUUAAUUGUUGCAUAUUGUAUGCUAUAUCCAGUCGAGUGUUAGUGAGGAAGUUAAGUUUCCCCACCAAUUUUCUAUAGUAAGUAGGAUCAUUAUGUAGGUGUCCCGCAUCUGCCAGUAGCUUAAUAUUGCAUUCUAAUGGAGUAGUCACUGUUGAAUAGGACAUGUAGUCAAAUUCCUUUAAUAAAUAUGUAGUGAACUUCCUUUGAGAUAUGAUGACACCAUCUUGGCUAUAAAAUAAUUCAAAGCCAAGAAAAUAGUAUAAUUGACCUAAAUCCUCGAUUAUGAAAAAGGCAUGAAGAAAAGACUUUUAUGUUGUUGAUCUCUAUUAAAUUUGUCUCUGUAAGCACUAUAUCAUCUACAUACACUGCCACAAAUACUUAUGAAGUGGAUGAUUUUUUAUAGAAAGAGUUAAUCAUCUUCAGCUGAAUGCACAAAUUCUUUUGAAUAUAAUGCUUCUGUGAGUUUGCAUACCACUUUCUGCUAGCUUGCUUUGAACCAUACAAAUAUUUCUUCAAUUUGCACACCAAUUGUGGAGUUUCCAUAUCCAAUCCUUGAAGAGCCUCCAUGUAAACUUCUUCAUGCAAAUCUCCUUGGAGAAAUGUAUUUUUUACAUCCAAUUGGUAAAGCUUACACCCCUUCUUAAUAGCUACAUUGAUUAGGGUCGUAAUAGUGGUCAUCUUCACCACUGGUGAAAAAGUUUCAGUGUAGUCGACUCCAGCCUGUUGAGUAUACCUUUUAACAAUUAAUCUUGCCUUGAAUCUUUCUACAGAUCCAUCAUCCUUGUGCUUGAUUUUAUAAACCCAUAUGCAUCCUAUAGUCUUCUUCCCUGCAGGCAAGUAAACUAAAUCCCAAAUUUGAUUAGCAUGUAAAGCCUCAAACUCUUGUGUCAUGGCUGCCUACCAUGCAGGAUUCAUGGCUGCCUCUUCAUAGAAGUCAGGUUCUCUAUCAUGAAAAGUGUUAAUCAUGACUUGUUGAUUGGUUGGACCUAAGGAAGAGAGGGAUAAUUAAUUUGUUGGUGAGAAAAGCAUUCGGAGUUGUGGGUUGAUUUUUAAGUUAAGGUAGGGAGUAAACAAAUUCUUUCAAGGAAGUAACUACAUUAUUAUUAUGGAAAGGUUCUUGGGUGGUGUUGACAGGGAAGUUGGGUGAUUCAUUAUGGAUGGUGUAUGAUAAAUAUGUGAAGUAUCAGGUGUUGUAUUAUUAGAUGAAUGUAUAUUCUCAAUCUGUGAUUUCCAUGUAGUUAAAAUGUUGCCCUCAAGAUACAACAAAUGGGACUUAGAACUUACAUGUUGCAACAUAGUGGAAAAAGAUGAAUGUACUGGUAAAGAAGCAAAAGGGAAAUCAUUUUCAUGAAAAAAAAUCCCUAGAUAUGUGUAACCUCUUGGUGGCCAGGUCAAGAACUCUGUAUCCUUUAGUUCCAAAGGGGUAUCCUAUAAAAAUAUGAGGUUGUGUUCUAGGUUCAAAUUUAUCUUUGUGAGGUUUGAGGGUGGUAGUAUAACACAAACAUCCAAAACAUCUGAGAUGGGAAUAAUUGGGCUUCUUUUGGUGAAGGAGUUCAUAUGGACACUUAUUCUUUAGGGAAACAGAUGGUAAUCUAUUAAUUAGGUAGGUGGAAGUCAAAAGACAUUCAACCCCAUAUUUAUAGGAAGUUUUGAUUGGUAUAGGAGUGCGCUAGAUGUUUCUAAAAGAUAUUUAUAUUUUCUUUCAACUACACCAUUUUGUUGUGGUGUAUAUGGACAUGAUUUUUGGUGUAUAACUCCUUUGGACUGAUAAAAAAUAAUGGCUUCAUUUCUGGUGAACUCCAGACCAUUAUCUGACCUAAUGAUUUUAAUAAAAGUCUGAAACUGAUUUUUUACCAUUUGAACAAAGGCUUUUAGAAGUUGUAAAGUGUUGCUCUUGCAGCUCAUCACGUGUGUCCAAGGAGACCUAGUAUUAUUAUUUACCAUAUAUACAAAGUAUUUAUAAUUGUUGUGUGUGUUUACAUGAUAUUGUCCCCAGAUGCCUAGGUGUAGAAGGUUAAUAGGUUUGUUGGUGGAAGGGAGUGACUUUUGUGGAAAUGGUGAUCUAGUUUGUCUUGCCAUUGGGUAGACUUGGCAUAGAAAACGUUGUUUAGAAGCAAAUUGAGCUAGUAUGGAGGAUAUCCCUCUCAUUUUAACAAAAGGAACAUGUCCUACCACAAAGAAUCCACACAAUUUCCAGAAGAUGAACAAGUAGUAGGAGUGAUAGGUAAAAACUUCAUGAAAGAACAAACUUCUUUAUUUGAUGAAUGACAACUAUUUACAGAAGGAGGGAUAUAGUAUGGGGAAUAAGACUGUUGAAUAUCACACAAAGCAACAGUAUCAGGAGUAUCACACACAAAUUUUGAUUUGCAACUGUUUACAACAGAAGGAGAUAAAGCAGUAAAUGAAACAUGAGGAAAAACUGAGUAGACUCAAAAAAUUGACACCCUGCACACAGGAAAUACAAUCCAUUCCUUGAUCUACCAAUUUACAAAGGCCUUUUCAUUGAAGGGGUCUGCAAGACACAUGAAAGAGCAGAAAAACUAACAUUAUACUUGGAAAGAUGUGUAGUGAGGGAAUGUAUAGAGAUAAGAUUGAAUUUGAAAUUAGGAGCAAACAACACUUUAUGCAAUGUUAGAAUUGGACUGAGAACAACAUCACCUACUUCUAACACCCUCACUUUAUAUCCAUUUGGUAAGGUAACUAAGAAAGGGUAAGAUGAAGUUCUAAUGUUGGUAAAAAGUUCCUUGUUAUGUGACAUGUGGUUGGAUACUCCCGAGUCUAAGAUUCAGUGAAUUAGCAGGUGAUUAACAACACUUGAAUGAAAGAUUAUCCAUAACUUUCUAUGAGUAGAGCAAGCAAUUAAAUGCAGCAGGAGCUGCAAACGAGAGUUAUCAAGAGAAUUACCAAAUCAAGGAAUACCUGCAAAGUUUGCAGCUCCACUGGUGAUAUUGUCUAAGUUUUCACAAGUUUGUCCACUUUGAAAGCUUCUAAGCAGAUGCAUAAGCUGAUAUUGUUGUUCCUUGGUCAGGGUAAGAUUACUAGUAUCACCAACUUGCAAUUGAUUAGUAGAGCCCUCAAGAUGGUUGUCUAUCAUGUCACCAGAUUCUCCUUGCACUGCUGCAGCAGAAGCAGUAUUCUUACUUUUUGUGAAUUUGAAGUUUAGAGGGAAUCCAUGGAGCCUAUAACAUUUUUCCUUGAUAUGUCCUGUCCUUUUGCAAUAAUCACAAAACAAUCGAAGACCUGAAGAAUUGCCUUUAUGGAACUGUUGGUUGGAUUUGUUUCCUGUGGUGUUGUAACUUGUUCAAAAUUGAGUGUUCCCGUAUGCAUUCAGAGAUGUGCUAUUUGUGGUUAGAUGAUUUCGUGAUCUGACCUCCCGUUGUUUCUCUUACUGAACUAAGAUAGAAAAGCUUUCAGCGAUGGUCGGGAGAGGAUUCAUCAUCAGUAUGCUUUCCCGUACAACUGUAUACUCUUCGUUCAGUCCCAUUAGAAAUUGAAUAAGCCUUCUAUCCUGCUCAACUUUGUGCAUAAUGACUUUGGCACCACAGUUACACACACACAACUGUAUUGAUUGUUAAUAUCUAAUGUUCCCAGAUCCUCCCACAAUCGCUUUAUCUUAGUGUAGUAAGUAGUAAUAUCCAUGGAUCUUUGAGUUAAAUCGCUGAUUUCCUUUUGCAAUUGAUACAUUUUAUCACCGUUAGUUUGAUCAUACCUGUCCUGUAGCUCCUAUCAGAGCUCAGCGACAUUGUUAACAUACUGCAAGCUACCAGCAAUAUCUCUCGAAAGUGAAUGCAAUAUCCAUGAGGUGACCAUGUCGUCACAACGUUUCCAUUGAUUGAGAAGACGAUCUUUUGGAUCUGGUUUUUUGUACUUCCCAUUAACAAAUCCCAUUUUGUUCUUCACUGAAAGAGCACGUAGCAUACCACGCCGCCAUGACCUAUAUCCAGUUCCAUCAAAAAUACCAGGCGUGAUUUAAGAACCAACGCUUUUAUAGGGAUGUAUAUAUAAAGGAUCAGUCGAAUCUAUGGUUUCCUUGUCUCCCGCCAUAUGAUCAAUUGAACAAACACUCCAACAGAAGAAGAUGAAAUUGAAGGCUUAAUAAGUAAAAUUGAAGGAUUACAAUUAGGAGAGAAAAAAAUAUGAGAGAAUCGAUGACACAAAAUUGGGGAAAUUGGGAAAAGAGUAAAAUAGAUUCAAUUGAAAUCUAUUAGAUGAUGAUAAACAAUUGGUUGAUUGAGAAGCUGAUAAAUGGAGGAACCUAACUCUGAUACCAUGUUGAAAUCUAGAGACAAGACUCCAUUGAUGAUUUGUGAUGAACAUCCAUAAAAGCUUAAAGAAGAAGAAAGUAAAAGAAGAGAGAGAAUGAGAGAGAAAGAAACGAAAAUAUUCGGUGUAUUGAAAAACUUAAAAGUGCAAAGUACAUGUUCAAGCAAAUUUAUACUACAAUAUAAAAUCAACCAGCUAACUACUAAAACAACUUUUACCUAACUAAUUAUGUUUAACACUAAAUGAAUCUGAGUGCCUUUUUCUGUUAAUUAGUCUAAUCAAUCUCAACACUCUCUAGUGCCAUUUUAGGCUCUUGUACCAUUCUAGCCGCAGAUCCUACAUUUUCUAUCAAUUCUCGAGUAAUGCACAAAUCAAAUGAGGAAAAUUUCAGAAAAUUUUGAAUAUUCUUAUGUAUACCUCUAGUAAACCUGACCGAGUCAGCCAUUGCAUACAAUACAAAGUUUUUCCCAAAAAUCUUAAAUAAUGAAUUUCCCUUUUAACAACUAUUAAAUUAUACUGAACAUCAAACAAAAAUGAUUUUAUGUAUAUGAUUUUUCAUAAUCUACCUAAUAUGAAACAUUGAAAGAAAAUCACAACAAAAUUGACAAAAAAUACAAAGUCGUGAUAUGUAUAAUCAGAGCUUUAACAAAAAAAAUCAAAACGAAUGGUUGAACUAACCUUGCCACCAAGUAAUCUGCUUUAAUAAUAAUCCUUUAUGAGUUCGCAAAUCUGCUUGAAUCCUUGAUAAUCAACGGACUUGACGAAGAAUCUGAGAAUUUUGAGAAAAGAAACGUGAAAUUGGGGAAUAAUUUGAAAAUUUUGAAACGUGAAAAUGGGGAUUAACUAUUACAUGUCUUGGAAUGAUAAAUUAAAUUAAUGAAUUUGUUUUCUUUUUUCAUUAAUCCAUUAGUGGACCAUGUUUGGUCCAAUAAAUGAGUUUCUCUUAAUAAAUUAAAUAAAUAAUACUACAUAUAUACUAAUAUCUAAAAUACAUAAAUUUAAUAAAACUAAUAUCUAAAAUACAUAAAUUUAAUAAACAUGUUGUAAUUCUAUCAUUUCAAACAAAUUUUUAAAAUUGUUUCUUUUGAUUGAUUAUGUUAGUAAUAUUGUCUUAAUUGCUAAAUUUUCCUUUAUUCAUGAGAUGCUUGUUAUAAUCAUUUAUCAUGUUCAUUUGUAUUAACUGAAUGACCAAAUAUAUUGUAUUAAUAUAUUAAUUUUGAUAUACAUGAUUAAUACGCAUAUAUUAAGAAAAAAUAACUUGAAUGGAUAUGUUUUAAUAAAUAAUUCUGGAUUAUUUUUUAUUUAUUAUUAUGUAUAGCAAUACUAUAUUAAAUGCAUAAUAUAUAAAUGUGCCCUUUAACUUGACUUCAAAUUACAUUUAUGCCCUUUAACUUUGAAUAUACAUAAAUAGACACUUAAACUUGUAUAAAAUUGAACAAAUAGACACAUAUGUCAUACAUGUCAUCCAACAUGUCAUUUUUUGUCCUACGUGUGGUGUCCUAUGUGUAUUGUGUAAUGUAGGACUCAUGUGUUUAUUUAUUGAAAAGUUGUAUAGUUAAAGUGCCUAUUUGUGCAUUAUAAAAGUUGGAGGUUAAAGUUAAAAUUUUAAAUCAAGUUUAGGGUCCAAUAUAUGUAUUAUACCUAUAUUAAAUCUGCAAUAUGUAUUAAAAGUGAAUUAAGUAUGCAAUGUAUAUGUAUUAUAAUUGUUUUUUGAAGUAUAUUAUUUAUGUUUGUUUGGUAAGAAGUUGACACAUUGUAUUAUAAAUGUAUUAAAAUGAGUGAUAAAUAUAUUAAUUAAUCAAUAAAACUUGUAUUAUAUGUGAAUAAUAAAUUGUUCAUUGUGAUAUGAAUUAACAUUGUAUUAUAAAUAUUUAAAAGUGAUCAAGUAAAAAAAAUGUUAUUGCUAUAAAUGGUAAAUAUUUUUGAUUUAUUGUAUAUUAGGUAAGUUUUCCACAAUUAAACUAAUAAAUUAUUGGGUAUAUAAUAAAUUUCGCUCAUCUUCCUUGCCUCUCGUCAGUAUAUUGUUAGAGGCGAGUUAGGUGGGGGAGUUCAUGGGUUCAGACGAACCCACUAACUUUUUUCAUAGACACUAUUAUUGUAUAAAAAAAUUAAAAAUGCAUAUAACUUGUGAAUCCCCAAGCUCCUAAUCUUGGCUUCCUCUGUUAAUAUGGUAUCCCAGAUACAUGCGAAUCACACCAUAUACAUAUAAAUACAUGUAUCUAGUGUGUUUCACAUGAAUUUGAGAUCACACAUAACAAAUCUUGGUUAAGAGAUUUGAUUUGAUUUAAAUUUCCAAAAUUAAUUAUACAUGUAUUAUGAAAAUCCUUAAUUACUCUUCUGAUUAAGGAAAUCAGUUAUAACCAAUUAAUUUAAACAUAAAAUAUGUAUCUCAAUUUAAAAUUUUGACAGAUACAUAUAUCUCAUACAUUCAGACUCUAUAUUCUAAACGUGAAAUAUGAUAAAUAAAGUAAUAUUUACAAAUAUCAAAAAUCUUAGCAAUUAAAACCUAAAAUAGUGUAAUUUACGUAGAUUGCCCCAUAAUAUAAUACAUGUUGCCAAACUCUCAACAAAUAGUGGCAAGUUAGGUCCAUUUUAUGCUAUAUAGCUAUAUGACUCAACUGAAUUUCUAGCCCAUAUAAAGUGGGCUAUACCAUAAUAAUGGCCCAAUCAUUUUCCCUCCAAGUAAGAAAGUCGCGCCCAUAGUUAGUAGGUUUUGAACAUACAAGGCGGGCCAAAAACUUAAGACCCUUAAUUUUACCAAAAUUCAAUUUCCCGCCCCGCAAAUUUGCUGAAACUUAAUUUUUACUUGCACCAUUUUCAUUUCUGUGUAGCAAAUCCACCGUAACCAAAGAGAAAAAGAAUCCACCUUUAUCAAUGGAGAUGCUUUGAUAUAAUUCAAGAUUCAACUUUUUAUUUCAACGCUGUACAUUGGGUUUUAUCAAUCUUGCUGGAUUUUAUGUUUUAAGGUCAGUUUUCAAGAAUCUGAUUAAAGAUUGGUACAUUAUAGUUUCUAUUAAAGUUUGUUAAUUUUGUUUCUAUUGUUGUUCUUCUGAGUUUUUUUAUUUGCCCUAAAUUUCUCUAGGGUUUUAAUUUGUACAGUAGCUGAUGCUUCUGUGAUUAGUAUUGAUUAGAUGUGUUUAGGUUAUCAAGUUUUCAUUUUUAUUGUUGGUCUGUAUCAAAUAUAAGAUUCUUUCAUCAUCUGUAGUAGAUUCGAGAAUUGGGUAAUUGAAAUUUAUGUGUUUUAGGGCUAAAGAUUGGUUUUUGUUGGUAGGGUUCAUGUUGGAUUAGUGAUUUCAGGAUGGAUGAAGAUAAUGCUGUUGAAAGGUGUCAUAAAAGUCGUCCUGUUUUGAGAAAUAUAACGAAUCAGCUUGGAAACAAGAGGCCAUUUUCUUCACUUUUGGGCAAUUCAAGUCUAAAGUGUGUAGAUAAGGGAAAUGAAAACCUAGGGGGUAAAUUUGUUUUGGUAGAUGACGGAGAUAAUGCAAAACGUGUUUGUGUUGGUCCUCGACCUUGUAGCAAGAUUAAGUCAUUAAAGGUGGAUGUUGUAUCAGGGAUUUCAAAUAUACCAAAUGACAACCAGGAUCCCAGUUUGUUGCGAGUUGAUUCAGCUACCGCUAUCUGCCAAAGUACAAUCGGAGAUAAGGAGAACAAUGAUGCUUGUGGGAGUGCUAUUGAAAUUGUCAAUGAUCGGGAAAUAAUUCCAAAGAAAAAUUCUGCAGUGAUAAAUGAUAUGGAUGGUGUGGUAACUGGGGUGCCAGUACCAGCAUUGUCUGGAACUGAUGACCAUGAUGCUACUCGGAGUUGUGGAAUUAACGAGGAUAGUGAGGACACUGAAAGUGAAGAUAUGUUUCCUAAUGGCCCCGAUGAACAAGGUCUUGAUAAUCUGGUUAUGAGUCAGUCUGGGUCAGUAGACUUGGCAAGAUUGCCAGAUUCACAGGAGUCAAGAGUUAAACUUGAGACAUGUACCGGAACACAAGCUUGUGAGGAUAAUUCAGGUUUAAGUGCUAGCAUUGAGUCAAUCAAAGCUUGCUCUUGUACCUUUUGCACCAAAGGUAUAAAUAUCUCGCAGACCAUUAUAUUGAUUAAUGUUCUUAUGAGCUUAUAUCCUGUCUUGUUUCAGUUCAUAUUAGUGGAGUACUUAUUUAGUUGUCUUUGUUCUGUGAUAAUCAGCUGCUUAUAUAUGGUUAGACCUACAUUACCAGGAUACCAAGGGUCGCAUAAGUGGUGAGUCAGCUUAAAGAUAUUUUAGUUAAUUAACUUAAGAUCUUUUUUUUUUCUCCUUGUUUCUUUUCUUUACUCAAUUGCUGUUUUCAAAUACCUAGCCAUAAAGAAGAGUCAGAGAGAAGCAAGUCUUUUAGUUGAAAGAAGUGGCAAGGGUAAAGAGCUUCAGAAGGAGGGUCCAGAAAAGAAUACUGAAGCAGCAAAUCUUGAGUCGAGUUUAAUGGGUCACUGGAAGUCACUCUUUCAACACAUGGAGCACAUUUUUCAACGGGAAGCUGACCAGCUAGUAAGUUUGCUAACUGACCUGUUCAGUCUCUGAGUUGGUAUAGAUACUCAAUUCAACUUUUACAUAUAAUAGCCGAGAGUUGUGAAGCUGUCAAGCUGAUGGAUGUUCUCUGUUGACCAUCAAGCUGAAAGAUUUUUCUUUGUCUAUGUUAACUCCAGUUGUUAGAGCUUUCAGUGUGGUGCAUUGUAUUUUUAUACUAGUUGGAUCAUUCAUUUCGAGGACACAUACUUGUUCCAUAAGUAUGCCUUAUGAUGGGAACAUUGUUCAUAGAUUAGAAGAUUGUUAUCUUUUAGUAAUCUUCAAGUAUUUGCCAAAGUUUGAAGAUCUUUCUUUUCCAUUUUCAAAAAGUAAUUACAAACUUUGACAAAUGGGCAGAGAAAAUGUUUUGCCUUUUGAUGGGCACAUGAUUCAUAAAUGAGAAGAUUGCUAUCUUUUAGUAAUCUUCAAACAUUUGCGUAAGUUUGGAGUUUUUUUUUUUAAUUCUCAAAAUGUUAUCUUCAAAUUAUGACAAAUGUGCAGAGCAAAUGUUUGUCUAAGUUCAAUAUUCAAUUUGAAAAUCAUGUUGUCUUGUUACUAAUAGACAGGAGGAAGUAAGUGUCUCUUUACCUCUUUACUGAAAAAUAGAACAUUUCCUAUCUGUCAAUUGCCCUGUGAGGAAUGGGGGAUUGACACUACUUCCAAGUUGCAAACCUACAUAUUAGCCAAGUUGUAAUUGAUAGCAGUCUCUUUGUUAAUUUACUGUCCUGGUGGAGUUUGUCAGGACCAGUAGCCAGAGAUUACUUGUUAGAACAUCAAUAAGCAUAUCAGUGUUUUGUGAGAUCAUGUUCUUUCCAUUUCUCUGAAAACUUUGUUCUGUCAAUAUAGAGAUGUAGUUGCACACUUGCACUUGUGAACUGCUAACUAGAGAGAACUAUUAGAAAGUUCAUUCAGUUAAUGUUCUGUUACUUAUUUGCUUUUAGUUUCCACCCUGAUUAUGCUUCUUAGAUACAUAGAUAUAAUGAAUUCAAUGAAAGAAGAAAAUAAUUUGACAACAAUGAAAGAAGUUAUCACAUUUGUAAUACAUGAGUAUCACUUCACCAUUGAAUGUUUGAUUCACCGUUCCGUUUCCUAUUCUCUGUUCUUUUGCUAUUUGGCUCCAUCAUUUGUAUACAUUCAUAGCCCUAAACAAUUUGGUCUUGCCCUCAAAAGAAAUAUACACGUUUAAGACAUGUCAAUAUGCCAUAUUUUGGCAGUGAAGUAAUAAAAACCUUGUCUAAUUCCUGAUUUUUAAUUUCUUUGAACCAUUGUUAAUGCAAAUAUCAGUUGAUGGAAGCUACUCCAUGUUAAACUAGAGUAGUUGGUCAUGAUGUUGCCACAUUGACCUUGCUCUUCACGCAAGCACUUUAUCUGUAAAUGAUGCUUAGUUGCAUCAUGUUUACUUUCUGCACAAACACUUCCCACUUAUGCAAACCCCAAUUCUCUUUCCACCCCCUCCCAGCUCAAUUAAACAGUGUUAGUAUGAAGGUGAUGAUGUAUUCACUUUUCUGUUACAGGAAGGUAGUUUAGUUACACUGACCGACCUCAAAGACAGAUGCAAGACAGAACUGGAUUCGUCCAAUGGGACCUCAGAGAAUUGCUAGUAGGUUCCAAAUCUUCUGUUUGAGGUUCAUUUUCUAUAAGUUUUUUGGUUGCUCAAGUUUUAACAUGAUGUAUUGUACUUGUGAAAUCUUGUAUAACAGUCUGGUUGAUGUAAAAUAGUUAGAAAAUGGUAUAACAUUCUUGGUGAUCAUACAUCACAACAGAAUGAGUUUCUUUAGAUGAGUGCUGCUGUUUUUAUAAUAGUAUGAGGCUAUAUAUCGAAUUGCUUUCAAGGCUACCAUAGUGAAUCGUUGAGCCUAGCUGGUUGAGCAAAUGGCACCUUGAUGUAGAUUGAUCAUUUUGUGAAGGGAAAAUGUUCAAUUUGCCAUUUGCUAGUAGUUGAGGCCAAAUAUGCCUUUAUGUCCCAACAGAGGAUUUUUUUCAACAUAAAGACUUCUGGACAAGGAAAACUAUCAAAUUUGCCUUGGAUGAUGUGAAAUGAUGUACAUUGGCCUAUGAAUUUUUUGAAAUUGUGCAGAUUAUUGUUCUCGACCUUAUCAAUCAUCUAUCCAAAUCAAUUACCAUCAUUAUAAUUGAUCCUCUCAACUCUCAAAAGCAUUAUUUGAUGACCUCCAUUACUCCACCCUGAGUUCAUUCAAACUCUCUCUCGCCCCAUUAUUUUUACCAUUUUUUUCCUAACACAGCCUGCGUUGGACCGCUGUAACCCUCUUCUUUGAUCACCACAGUUUGAGAAAGUAAAUACUCUUUUUGGAGGUUGAUGUGGAACUCUGGCAUCACCGUUAAUGAUGAUCUAAGAAUUAAUGGUGACGGAGUUGUGCUGAUAGAGCUUCGACAAAUAUGAUAACUUUAUGGUGGAAUUGUUCAUUUUUUGAGUUUUAUUACAAAUGAUUUGAGGUUUGAGAGUGGUUAAUUUUAGUUUUGGGGAUAUAGAGACCUUGCCAUUUGAGGUGUUGAGUGAUAAAGUUAUUGCCAUCGAAACAAUGAUCCCCUUCUUCAUUAUUCAAGGCAAAUUUGGAUGAUCCAACCAGUAGAAUCUCAAUCAACGGAUCACUAAAGAAAAUAAGUCCAAAGCAUAAAACAAUCAUACAACUUGAUUUCAAUAUAUAUUGAGGUUAAAUUUGAACGAUUUCAUGCAAAGUUUAUCGGCGAAUUUGAAUGUUUUUCCUUUUUUUUUUAUUUUGUUAAAAUAUAUACUUUUUUUCCUCUAUAAUUUAUGUUGCACAUAUAUUGAACUAGAGAAACAUCUUCAUUCUUGUCCCAUAUAAUGUACACUUUUUCUCAAGAUGAUAUGACAAUGAUGGAGAUAUACACUGUAGUGGAAGAGGUGAAAUCGACCUGUGAAUUAUUGAGGUGAUAAAUUUCAAAGUUAAUUAAACAAAUACAUGCAAGUGGUUUGUUGUCCUUUUGCAACUAUAAGUUUCUUGAUAUUGUUUAUGAAAAUUGACUUUGAUGUGACAACUUGAGGAUGAAUAUGAUUUGAUAAUGGCAACUACUAUGAUAUUGCAAUUGUUACACAGUAAAAUUUCUUCGAUAACAUGCAUGCCAUCAACCUUUUUGCUGAUGCUUUUCAUAUUACGACGUGCAAUAUUUUAGCUUGCAGUACUUAAUUAUUUUUCAUACUGAUAAGUGAUAAAUGUUCAAAUUAGAAACAUAUCAUUUCUUAAAUGUCUUUAUUUUAAGUAUGGGUGUACAAAGAAAAUUAAUAAAUUGAAAAAAUAGAGUCUAAUUGAGAAAAAAUUCGACAGAUUUGAUAUCGAAAUUUUUUUUUUGAUCAUAAUUGAUUUGAUUUAUGCAAUUAUUAAAGAGUAAUAUUAUAUACAAUUUUUUAAUAUAUAAUUUGAUUUACGAUAAAUUAUAUAAAUCUCAUAGUUUUAAUAUGAAAUUACAAUGUACCCCUAAUAAGUUUCUAAUUACAUUAAUCCAUUAAAAAUUUAAAAAAAAAACAAAUAUAGUAAUUGAAGCUCAGAUACAUUAAAGAGCAACUUACAAAAAUGUCUAUAUUUAUAGGGUUAUUAAAGUUCAAUAGCUAUAAAUAUGAUAUUUAUAAAAAAUGACUACAGUUUAACUCUUUUUUUUAGCUAUAUUAUUGUAUAUGUUUUUUAUUCUUCUAUUUAUACAUUGAUACAGUUUUAAUUACAAUGAACUAAAUAAAGAAACUGUAUUAAUUGUAUGAAUUCAAAUUAGUAUCUUUAUUUAUAAAAUUUAAAGUAUCAAUGUAUCAUGGAUACAAGUAUUUGUAAAAAUUUAAUGUAUUAAUAUAUUAAGCAAGAUAAAGUAUAACAACUUAGCAUAUGAACACGAUAAUUUGAAAAAUAAAUACAUUGUUGCUAAACAAAAAAUGAAUACACUAAUAUAGUAUACAUAUGAAUACAUUAUUGUUAAAUAAAAGAUGAAUAUAUUUGACAAUACAGAAAAAAAAAAUUGGUAAAUAAUAGAAUGUGUAGGUAGCAAAAAUGUGCAAGUAUUCGGUUGUAUAAAAAAAAUAAAAAAAUCAACAAACAUCAAUCUCUUUUUGGUCAAGUUUUUCUUAUAAUACUUGAGGCUUGGUGUUGACUCAUGUAUUUGUUUAUAAAAAAUAGUAUUAAUAUAUCUAAUUAUACUUGUAUUGCCUAAUUAAUCUUUCAAAUUCGAUAGAUUGCUUAUGUAUCCAAAUAUACUUGUAUUCAGAAAUUACCAUUUCAACUUGUGUUAAUAUUAGAAUACAAGUAUCUAUUUACAUAACUAUUUACUAUAUAUAUACAAAUUUGACAAUUACACAAGCCUCAAUCUCUUUUUGUUCGUGUUCUUCUUGUACUACUUUUUUUUAUAACUAGUCAUUGUAAUGUAGAAACUAGUCAAUCGAAAGCCUAUAAAAAUAUAUGCAACAUAUAUGUAUACAACUAUGAUCUUCCUAAAAAUGAGGAGAUAAUCAAUCAAGUGAUAUCUGAUGAAUUCAAAUUACAAAAAUUAUUUUUAAAUCAUCAAAAAGGUCUUAAUUUGAAAGAAAUUUGGGAGAAAAAUACAUAAAUUUUGUGAUAUAGGAAAAUUGAUGAAAGAGAAAGUAUUAGUGAGGGUAAACAUGAGGAACCAAUCACAUAAAACACGUGUAGACAUAAUAAAUUAGGUAUGUAAUAAUAAAUUCCUAUUUAAUAUUAAUAAAUUUUGUAAUUAUUUUUAUAUAUAAUUAACUUUGCUAUAUUGUGUAAUUAUAUCCAUAUAACAUACAAAAAUGAAUUAUAGCUACUUAUUUUAAAUAUAUAUUAAUGUUUGUCAUAUUUUGUAGUUUUUUCUGUAUUAAAUACUAUCUCGGAUACAUUAAUAUAUAGCUCAGAUACAUUAAAAAUUAGUUCAAAUACAUUAUACGUAGCUUAUAUACAUUAAAUAUUAAUUCGGAUACAUUAAUAUGUGGCUCGAAUACAUUAAUAUGCAUCUUAUAUACAUUAAAAAAUAAGAAAUUUUGAAAGUGAAAAUAGUAAUAGCGUUAUAAAUCGUUGAAUUUUUAAAAAUAAUAUGAGAUAAUGAAAAUAAGUGAACCAAAAAUUCUGUAUUUCUGUAAUUUGUCCUUAAAUCAAUGACAUGAAUGGUCAGUAUGUUUUGUAGCCCAUAAAUGCUAGUAAUUCAAAUAGUUUCCAAACUACUAAUACUAACUAACAAUUUACAUUAGGAAUGAUAAUACUGCUGAAUAUCUCUUUCUUUAAUUUAUCAUUAAUUUAGACAACUAAAAUAUAUAGAGUUUAAUUUAUUUAAAUAUUUAAUCAUGUAAUUAAUAUUUAUAAUCCCUAUUAAUUUUAACAUGAUUUAGUAUUUUUUUUAUGAUGAUUUUUAAUAUGACUUAUUUUAUGUCAUUUUAUUAUAUAUCUUUUUGUCAUAACUUAUCACACAUUUUAUGUUAUUUUUUAAGAAUAAAAAUGCCUUAGAUAAUUGUAUACAAGUUAAUUAUAUGCUUAUUUAAGACUUUACGAAAAAAAUUAAAAAAAUAUGACUUUAUUAAUUUUGUUUACGGAAAAGGGCCUAAAAUACCUUUGAAGUAUUGAAAAUGGUACAAAAUUACCCUUCAUCCAUCUAUUGGCUCCAAAAUGCCCUUUUCAUCCACCUAUUGACUCCAAAAUACCCUUGUCAUCCACCUUUGGAUUCAAAAUUGACCACUUUUUAAUUGUUUUAAAAUUAAACUCGUUGAAUAUUUUUUAAAAUACUUCACGUUCAACUAUUGGUUAUAAUUUAAUUUAUUAAUAUAAUUUAUAAACCAACCCACUACACAAUAAAUACUAACUAAACUUCACCCAAUUAAUAAUCCAAUUAUAAUAUCAAAAUCAUCAUAAACACUACUAAAACACGAUGAAAUUAUAGAUUCCUGAAAAUAACAUUCAAAAUUAUUCAAGUCCGAUUCGAAGCCCAAUUAAAUUUAGGUUGAGCCGCUUAUUUAGGAGGACACUUUCUUUCAAGAUUGAAUGAGAAAUUUAUGAUUAAAGGUAAAGAAGUAAUACAUCCCGAAUUAAUUCAUGCAUUUUUUUAAAAUAUAAUUUUAUAAAUAUUUAUUAUUUGUUUUAAAACCUUUAAUAUAUUAUUUUUAAAAAAAAGUUACCUAUGAAGUAACAUCACAUUAUUGAGAUGUAAGAAUCAUUAAGAUAAACAUAGUCAGACGUUUAAGUUUAUCGGUAAUUUUAUUUAGACACUUGAAUGUAUGAUAAUUUACUUCUAUAGAUAUUUUCGCCUCAAAUUUUUAAAAACACUCAAUUGGUAGUAGCUAAUCUGUUGUUGCAUUAAUAAUGUGACGGAUUUAUUAAUUUAGAGGGGUUUAAUUAGUAAUGUGUUGGUAGUUGAUUGAUUUAUAAAUCAUAUUAAUAAGUUAAAUUAUAACAAAUAGUUGAGCGUCACGUAUUUAAAAAAAUAUUUAAAUAGUUUAAAUAUAAAAUCGUUAAAUAAGUGGUCAAUUUUAAACCAAAAGGUGGAUGACAAGGGUAUUUUGGACCCAAUAGGUGUGUGGGAAGGAUAUUUUGGAGCCAGUAGAUGGAUGGAGGAUAAUUUUGUACUAUUUUUAAUACUUUAAGGGUAUUUUAGGUCUUUUUCCGUUUUAUUUAUAAAUUUUAAAACCUAACAUAUUUGAUUUACUUUGAUAUUUAAAAAUUUUCAACUAACCUGGCCUAUACACCCCUUCUUUCAUAUACUAUAAUGUUUAUUAAACUUUAUUCAACAUGACAGAAUAGUUAAUUAAACAACUUCUUGGCACAUCACGUAACACAACUUACUUACAACAACAAUUAUACUCACUAUAAUGAUAAAGCCAUAAAAUUAUUUUUUGUCACAUUUACAGUCAUUAUACUUUAAUCCUUAUAAUAAAAUAGUUAAGUCACUCAACUUUAUCAAUUAUAAUGACAAAGUCUACCUACCAAGAUAACUUGAUCUGCGUAAUUGACAAAGUAUUAUCAUCAUCUUCUUCUUUUUUUCUGAAAAAAAAUUAUUAUUUUUUUGCAAUUCUAUAUUCAUCAAUGGAUAAAAUAAUCCAAAUUUUCAACUUUAAUAUAAUAGGUGAAAUCAAGUCAUUUUAAUUGGACAAAAAUAUUUUUCUUGACUUUAUUUUCAUAGACGGAAAAUUAAGAACUAGUUACUUAUGUAUGUUUAUUUAACAUAAGAACAUAGUAUAUAGUUUGGUAACUUUAUUUUUAUAGUGAAAAAAUGUUUAAUAUAAGUGAAUUAACCCUUGUCAAUAUCAAUUUAAUUAUGUAGAAAGAGUGAAGGGUUGACUUUGGAAGUCUUAUUUAAAGGAUAUUUAGUCAUCUAAGGGGGUGCUUUCGGUAGGAAGAGAAAUGUUCUUUUAGAUUUUUUAUUUUUAUUUUUAUUAUGUGUGUGUUUGAUAUAUAAAUAAAAUAUAUAUAUUUUUAAAGAUUGGUAUAUUAAUCUAAGUGAAUAGACUUGGGUGCUGACCUUUAUAUCUGACUUUGUUAUAUCUUUUGCAAAUUUUAAAAGCAAUAAUCGAAGUGUUUUGUGCUUCCCUCUCUUUCUUUGUUUUCUUCUCUAUUUUUAAAGGUCAAAUGCACUAAUUAAUGUAGAUUUGAAGCAAUAAUUGUUAAUUGUAAUAUUUUUCUAAUCAUGUGGUUUACCGAUGCACAUGUACAAGCUUGAUUUGUAGUUGGAGAUUGAACGAUUCCAAAAAAAUUGAGAGUAGAUUAGUAUAAAUUUUGUUAUAUUAUUAUUUAACCACAAAUUAAUUUGCACUUUAAGCUUAAAUUUGAUGUUAGAAUAAAAUUUUAUUCGUGACAAUCAAGUAUACAGAAUGUUUUAUUUAUACAUGAUUUAGAAAAGGACCGCAUCCAAAAAGUAAUAGGGUUAUUAUUAUAAGUUCAUAUAUAUAACUAUACGUGUAUUGAAUUUAAAAGUUUACAAUUGGAAUAGUAAAUGAAAUUUGGACAUAAUAUAUAGUACAAAACAGUCGUGGUCUCGUUGAAUUCAUAUAGUAAUCAAGAUGUUAUGUCCACUAUUUUAGAUUAGUUGAUUAAAUUGCAUAAUUAAAAUUCCACGUGUCAUAUUUACAUGCAUCAAUUAACUCUUUUAUUUCUUUGCAAUUAUUGUACCUAGUGGAAGUCUAUCCGUUAGCCAUAACGAUUAGACUUAGGAGUUCUAAUUUAUUAAUUAAACGUUCUGAAUUUAUUUUUUCUUGAGCAGUAGUGGCACACUUCAACUCCUCUCAAAGCCAUUUUAUUUUCGUGAUAAGGUUUUUAAAAGUCUUAAUUUGUUUGUGUUGGCAAUUGGCAUCCACUUUCGUCACCUUCUACGCUACUAACAUCAUAAAGUUUAGUUUAUUUAGUGCUCUUAUUAUUUUUAAAAUAAUGAAAUGUCCACUAUAUAUCUGUAUAUAUAUGAUCACUAACGAACACAACAAUUAAAAUAACAAGCGUGUGUGUUUAUGUUCAUAUAAAGGUCAACUAAUAUGAUGGCACAGAGGGGUGGAGCCGCCUUUUAUUGAAGGCUCUGCAUAUUUAUCGAAAAAUUAUAUCGUAUAUAAAUGUCAAAAUUUUAAUUUUGUAUACAUGCAUAUAUGAUCACUAACAAAAAUUCGUGUGCGCUGACUUCUUCCUAUUGGCGCGCCAUGUAUUAUACAAAAACAAUUAGGGUUGACAUGAAAGAAAGUCAACCAAAAUAAUUUGGUCAGAAUAAUGAGUCAUGCUGGUAAUAAUAUUUCUUAAUGCCCCAUAAAAGCGUCAAUAAUGCAAAUUGUUGUUCUUUAAAAAGUCAAUCAGAGGUUAUGGAUGAAUAUAGUGGCAAGAAGAAAUAAAUUAAAUAUCAUAAGGUGAUUAUUAAGUGGAUCAAAGUGCAAUUCCUAUAAGAUGUGUGUUAUGGAAAAGAAGGUCAAAAGCACUGAGAAAUGCUUUGGAUUAUUAAUCUUAAUCACAGGUUUACCAAUUUUGGCAUCACUAAAGAUCUGAAAUUAAAAUGUAUGUAUUUAAUUUAGGGUAUUACCUAAAUUCUAGAAAAAUUUACUAAUAAAUAAGAUUAUAUAUCAUAUAUCUAUGUAAUUCUAAAUUUAUCUUUACAUAAAAGGUGGGAAAAUGGUAUAUAAUAGCAAACUAAUAAACUAAAAUAAAUGGAAUAGUUAGGGUUUGAUUAAUUGUGCUCCAUAGCAAACGUUUGCAAAAAUUGUCAGACGCCUCUCUCCCAAAUAUCUCGGGCGCUACUCUCUUUCAAUCUCUCACUCGCUUCCUCACUUUUUAUACAAACACAAGCGUAUAAAAAUUGUUUCUAAUUGUAUAAAACAGAGAAAAUUGUAUACAUACAUAUAUUUUUGUUUCCCUCUCUCCCCUCUUUCAGAUCUCGCUCGCCACCCUCGUCUUUCUCACUUAUACAAACAGAAGCGAAAUGUAUAAAUUGUGUUUCUGUUUGUAUUAAGCGUGACAAAAUUGUAUAUACACAUACAAGUACAUAUAUUUUCGUCCUAUACACUUAUAAUUAUACAAUAAAAAUACUCCUCUGUCCAGUUUCUUUUGCCUUUCUCUCUUUCUCGUUUUAUACAAUUUUCAAAUUGUAUCUAAUUUCUCUCUUUCUCGUUUUAUACAAUUCGAUUCAAUAGUAUAUUCCUUGUCAAAUCUCUUUUGUCUUUCUCUCUUUCUCCUUUUAUACAAAUUCAAAUUGUAUAUAAUCGUUCUAUACACUUAUAAUAAUACAAUUUGUUUUAUACACUUCGUUUUUAUACAGUUCUCUGCCCAAGUGUCUUUCUCUUUCUUGUUUUAUACAUUUCGUUUUAUACAAUUUGCUUCAACUGUAUAUGUAUAGUGAAUUAUACAGUUUCUAUGUUUGUUAUGAAACACAAUUAUGCAAAUUUUGCUAUAACAUACAAAUAUAAAUUUUUUAUUUGUUACAUGUGAAAAUUGCCAAUAAAUUUAUGAGAAGAAAGGUAACAUAGUCGAAAUCGGCACAGUUAAAAAGUCGCAACCCCAUUCAAUAAACAUGUAUUAUGUUCAUGGUUUGAAAGAUAAUUGGUUGAGCAUCCCUUAGCUUGAUCUACCUAAGACUAGGUUCAUUAAAGACAUUGAAUACAAAGAGCUUAACUUUAACCAUAUUAAAAAUUGGAGUUUUUGGUUAGAAUUAUGCCAUAACUAUGACUCAAAUCUAAUGUACAUCUUUAUACUAUUUAAGUAAGCAAAAAGUAUUCUUAUACUAUCAAAAAAAUUAACAAAAAUUACCCUUUAGUGUAAUUUUUAUUAAGAAAUUAAUCAAACAAAUAAAAAAUAUAUAUAUUUUUUAAUUUGAUCUUGUGUUAGCUACAUCGAGAAGAUCAAUGUUAACUAAAAAGUAUAAGGAUAUGGAUAAAAAAAUGAAUAUUUUAUUCUCAUAAUUUAAAUUUUGUGUGUUGUUAGUUUAUAUGUUAUUUUUUUUCAUAAUCAAGUAAAUUGACUUGCAACAAUACACAAGUUUUAAAAUAUUUAUACAGUAAGAUCCAAUGGUUUCAAAGAUUGAAAAAAAAAUCAUUUUAAAAAUAUUAUGUUCAAUUAUUUAGAGAUUUUCUUUAAUAAAAAACAUAUAUAGUACAUAUAUACUAUAUAGACAAUGCAAUUCACAUUUUAUACAAUAUAUAAAAAUAUUGGUAAUUUAAUGAAAUUAUGUAGGCGUUUUGUUGUGAAAAUUAAAUAAUAAUUACUUUAUUUGAAAAUUUUUAAAAAUGGAGUUGUCUUUGGACAAUUUUUUUUAUAUUAGAAUUUGAAUAUAUUUUGUCUGAAUAUUUUCAUUCUCAAUUUCUAAAAAUAAAAAAAAGUGUCCAACUUGACUAGCUUAAUCGUAUGAACAUAUAUUCAUUCGAUCUGACACAUUUUUUGUUGAUGGCUUAAGUUUCUUUAAAAAAUAAUCAGAAGAAUGAAUGUUGCAACUUUUUGAAUAAUACAAUAAUAUUAUUUGUUCACUUUUAUAAUACAAAAAUAUAGAUCAUAAUUUAGAAAUACUUUUAGCCAAAAACUUGUAAAAAUUAUCCAAUUUAGUUUUUUCUUUCAAGAACAAGAAUGAACAGAUCUUUUUUUACUGUUGCAGAUUCAUGAGCAUACAAAAAGGGUUUAAUUAAUACUAUAACUUGUCAUUUGAUUUAUCGAACAGGAAAAUUAUGGAAUUGAGUACCCACCCAUAUUGUAGACCCCCACACAUGCCAAAUGAAGCCUUCACUAAGUAAGCCUCAAGUGGUCUAUAUAUCGAUCACAUGAGGUCCUUCUCAACGUUCAUUAGUGUCCAUCGAGGCCAUUGAAUUAAUCAAAGCUGCCAUAAAUUAAAUAGUCAAACCUUGGUACAACUUCCAACACAUGCAUUAAAAAAAAUGGAACUGUAGGACCACUUUAUCAAAUGAAAUUGUUCAUAAAAUAAUCAAGUGAAAAAAGAGUAUACCUUGUAACUCUCUUUUUUUUCUCUCGAUUGAAGCUCAAUUAUUUAUAUUAAAAUUUAUGUCUGAAAAUCUCACAUUAAAAAUAACAUUCUUAUUAAUAUUUAAAAUAAUUCAAAUUCAAAAUAUUUUAUAAAAAAUAAAAAAUACUUACCAUACUGUCAUAAUCUUCGAAUAGAAUCUACAGUUAGGGUAUGCCUAACCCUCCACACUGUGGUGGCUAAAGAAUUGUCCAUAUGUUUUUUUUUAUAUAUAUAUAUGGAAUUGUCUAUAUGAAUCAAGUGUAUAUGUUCUUUUUUCUUCUAUAGAAUUGUCUAUAUAACUCAUUGUUUGAAACUCUCUUUUGAAUGCAUCUUGAUUGGACGUUUUUCACAUGAUAGGAAAGCACAUCACCUUACGCCAUUGUGUUUUACAUCAUUAAUAUACUUAUUGAGCUUAUAUAUUAGCAAAAAAUAUUUUGGAAUUUUUCUUUUGUUAAACGAGGAAACUUUCUCUAAGUAUAAUAAAGGCAUAAUAUAUAAAUGCGUUCUUUUAACUUAGCCUUAGUUCAUAUUUAUGUCCUUCAAUUUUGAGUAUGCACAAGUAGAUACUUAAAUUUGUAUAAACUUGAACAGGUAGAUACAUGAGUUCUACAUGGCUCGAUGCAUGUAGGACACCACAUAGGACGAAAAAUAACAUGUACGAUGUCAUGUAGAACAUGUAUGUCUAUUUGUUCAACUUUAUACAAGUUUAAGUGUCUACUUAUGCACACCCAAAAUUGAAGGGCAUAAAUGUGAUUUGAAUUCAAAUUAAAGGGACAUAAUUUGUGUAUUAUAUCUAUAAUAAAUUUAGUUAUGCUUCAUAGCUAUAAUUUACAUAUUUAUCAGUUGUAAUUAUGAUUUAAGUUGUCUUAUUUAUAUAUAAUUCGGAGAUUUGUAUAAUCCGCGGGUGUAUUUGUAUAAUUCAAAUAUUUUUAUAUAAACUCAAAAUAACAAAUUAUACAAACACAAACAUCUGAACUUCAAAUAAUUAUACAAAUUAUAUCAGAUAAAAAUAAUACAAAUUAUAUUAUACAAACUUUGAAGUAUACAAAAUAAAUAAACUGAGUUAUAUAAUUAUAGCUAUAAGUAGGUUGCAAAUAAAAAACUUUAUGCUUCCAGAAUCUGCCUAUCUUUUUAGAAUUAAAGUAUUUUUGUAUCCAGAAUAGGAGAAAGUUAAUAAGAAUAAAACAACAAAACGAUAAUAUAGGAUCAUUUGAUAGAAAGUAUCGAAAUGAUGCUUUAUAAAGCGUAUUAGCAAUGCUUAUAUUAGUGAAUUACAUUAUAAGAAAAUUAUGCGAGGAUUUUCCUUAGGAUUAAUCUGAAAAUUUACAAGAGAAUAAAUUUUCAUACUAAUCCCCAAAAAAAACCUCGUAUAAAUAUUUAUUUACAAAAAUACUCUCCAUAAUUAUAAUUAAAUUUUAUUUAUUAAAAAAAUAAUUCAUAUAUAUUCUUAUCAUUAUAAAAAUAACUUAAUGAACCUUUUAUUUACAUAAAGCUUUCAUUGUUUAGUUUUUUUCAGGAAUUGUGUUACGUAGGUAGUUUCUCUUUGGAGAAAACAUACACAAAUAAAUAAAUAAAUGUGUUACGUUUAAAUGAAGAGAAGCAUAAGGGGAUAAAAAGAAGAAAAUAUUGGCAUUAUCUACGUGUGAAUGCAUUCUUCUUCUUUUUUUGAAUAAAAAGGGUACCUAUUUUGAACGUGGCGAGGAAGUGUUAUACACGUAAGAAACGACGCCGGAUAGGAUAAUCAAAGGGACCCACCAACUUUCCCAUCACAAAUGACGGAACAGUGGGGCCCACAUUUAAUAUUCGGAGGAAGCUUCAUUCUCACGCAACUUGGGAGGAUCAUGUGAACCCACGCCAGUAUCUCCAAAAGGCCCAUAACCUCUUCCAUUUCUUAUUUUUGUAUUAGAUUCUACUAAAAUUAAUUUUCUAUAUUCUUACUACUGUCGAUAGAAUUCUAUUAUUAAGUUAAUUGUGUUCUUAAUUUCACCUUUGGGAGAGAAUUCAAAUAAACUAGAAUGAAUAAGAAAAAUAAUCAUGGUUAAAUUUAAUCAUUACUAUUUCUAUUUACUGAAAAAGGUUCUUGAAAUUGUUAUUGUGAUACGAAACGAUGGAAAAUUUGAUCAAUUCAAAAGUUUAGUGAAAGUUGAAGUUCAUAAUUAAUUGAUGAUUGAGAUAAAAUACAGAUUAAUCAAUUACAAUUAAGUGAUGUAGGGUACCAAAAAAGAAAAAAAUUAUCUACUUUCUUGUGGUUGUGCAUGAUUUAAAGAUGUGACAUUGCAUUUAAUUUAACCUUUAAAAUUAAUACAUGGAGAAAAAUAUUACCAAAGAUAUAAAAUUUGUUAUUUUUAAUUGGGUUUCAAUUAUGUGAUUGAGUUUUAAUGCGUGUUAGAUGGUGUUGGGUGCGAAAAUUAUUUGAUUCUUACUAAUUUAUAUUGGAGUCAACUAGUUAAUAUUCAAAUAAUGUUAAUCUAUUUCUUAAUUAAUCUAAAGCUCAAUUCACUUUAACAUCUUCCAUUUUUUAUGUUCUUAUUCACUUUAAGCAUGCAUCUAUAGUUCAAAUUAAGACAACUAUGAAAUCUAAUUCAAUUUUAAAAAUUAACUCAAAAAAAAAAUUUAAUUCUCACUUCAUCAACUAAUUUUUGAGAUUAAAUUAAAUUCAAAUAGCCUAUUUUUAGGCGAUAUAAUAAUUAAUUUAAAUAUAAUCCUUAGAAAGUCAGUGGCCUCUCUAUAAAUGUGCACGCACCAAUUUAAGCGGUGAAACCAUGAGAAAAAAAAAUCAGAAACCUAGCAUCAAGGGGAUGAUAAUAAAACACUCCACAUCAGUGAAUGAGUAAAAUUUUUGACCUUAUGUCUUUUUUUGUAUUCAUUGAGAUGAAGACAUUUAAAUUUAAAUAUAAUUAAAUUGAACCAUGGUUAAGAUGGACCACACUCUAAUAAAAGUUAAUAGGUGAAAGAAAGACGAAAUUGCCCCUACACGCAACUCUAGAACGUACAAGCAAUGGGCGCCGCAAUUGACGAUAGAUUGUCUUUGUCUUCUCCACUAUCCACAGUCACUUCUUUUUUUUAUUUUUUUAUUUUUAAAAAAAUAUUUACUUCCCUUCUACGUCGGUACUUUGACUUAUUCCAUAUCCACCACCUAACCUUUUAAUUUUGUUAUUAUUUAUAAAAAUUCUCAUAUUAAUAUAAUAAAAAUAUAUAUAUUUUAGAGUGUUAGAUUAUAAUUUAUAGCUUGUAAUUUGAUUUUCAAAAAGCUAAAUGAACUAAUAAUACGAACAGAGAAAGUAUUUCUAAUUAGUUAUAUAUAUAUUUUGUUUCAUUAUAUUUGAUUCAUAUUGACUAGACAUUAUUUAAGAAAUUUAAUUUUAAAUAAUUCUUUAUUUAAUCAUUCAGUGAUAAAAAUAAUAUUUAAAAAUAAUUUUAUUUUUGAUAUAUGGUAAUCAAAGUAAAAUGAAAUGGGGAAUAUUCACUAAUUACCUCAUUGUCAUGGUACACACGAUUUAUUUUUUUCAAGCCGAUUUAAGAUAUUGGUUCUUUAUUAUUGCAUUUGUCUCAUCACUUACAAUACAACAAAGUUGAUGUUUUGGAAUAUGAAAUAGGUUAAUAAUUUUACAAGUUUCAGGACAAUGAACCCAACGCAUAGUGCCUAUUAUAACUAAUUUUUAUUUUAAUUCGUCACUAAACCAUUUCAUUAUUAAAUCCAUUUCCCAAAAUUUAUUAUAAACCUGGCCUUGGAAUUUAAAUUUAAAAAAUUUCGUCUUUAUCUUCUUUUACUAGGUCGAAAGAGGUGAUUUAUUUAAGAAUAUUUAUGUGUCAUAUUUGUCCAUUUUAAUGACGGAAUUAGAUAGAAGUGUGCAUUUGGUUAGAUGGGAGUUGGUAUGAAUUUGAGAAUGAUAUCCAAAGGAGCACUUGUCUUUAGUUGUGUCAAGUUACAAAGAGGAAUAAACGACUCUCUAGAUAUCCAAGGGCUACCUUUAUACCUUUCUUUACUCUUUUUUAAAUCUAGUAUGUAUUAGUUGAUAAACAAUGAGUAAAUAUAUACUCGCCUAUUGACUUAACGGGUUUUAACCAAACUAAAUCAUUAUAUAAAGUCAUUUAUCAAAAUAAUAUGUUUUUCUAAAAUUUUAUAAAAUUACUAUAAAUGUAUUCCACAGUAACGUUUUAGGAUAUAUUUUAUUUUUUAAAAGCUGAUGGCGUCAGAUUGAUAUACGUUACUCACAGUAACGUUUUACUCCUAAAACAUUACUUACAUUAACGUUUUACUCCUAAAACGUUACUGGAAAUAACGUUUUAAAAGUAAAACGUUACUUACAAUAACGUAUAUCAACCUAAUGUUGUUAGUUUUUAAAAAAUAAAAUAUACCCUAAAACGUUACCAUGAAAUACGUUUAUACUAGUUUUAUAAAAUUUUAAAAAAAUUUAUUACUUUAAUAAAUUGUUUUAUAUAAUGAUUUAGUUUGGUUAAAAAUUCAUUGACUAAAGACUCAGUAUUAACAUUUGUAUAACUUUAAAAAUAUAGUUUAUAGAUUCUUGAUUUAUUCAAUAAAAACUUUUAUAACAAAUACUUCCUCCAUUUUAGUCGGGAGAAAUGAUCUUUUAGUUUUUACGAGAAAAGAUUAGUCCGUGACUCUAUAUUCUUUUUUAUCAGAUUUUCAUUUGUAAAUAUAAGAUAUUUUAUUUUAUAUUUUAUUUGUACACAUAAACAUAUCUUUAUUUCAAAUUACGUGGUACCGUUUAUAUUUCGAAAAUUAAACUUUUUAACUUUCGAACAUAAUUAAAUUUGUUAACUUAUUCAAAUAAAUUUCACAUAUUUGAAAGCUACAUAAAAAAAAAUCCCAAUGUUAAUAAUUUAGAAUAUUUCAAAUAUUUUCAAAAAAAAAAUCAUGAUAGAAAAAUAAUUUAUUUGAUAAAAAAUUAGAAUAAAUGAAGUAAUAAAGAUCGUUUGAUUGGUUAUCGAAGAGAAGUUAUCCAUAUAUUAAUUAAAAUUAAUUAAGCUUUAGAUAUUGUUUGAUUGCAAAAAUAAGAGAUAAUUUAUUUAACAAAUUUUUCUUGCAUUAAUUAUGCACUAGAACAUUUUUUUGGUUUUCAUAUACAAUAUGAAUGUCCCAAUGUAAUUUGAGAAAUUGACUAUGAAUAAUUUCAUGAGAAGUACAUCUAGAUUGAAUAAGUAUUAAAUUAGGCAUGACACAAUUUUUCACUCAGUCAAACACAUUACUUUAAAUAACCAAGCGCAGCUAACAUGAAUUGAAGUGACAAUGCAUUUGUCUUGCUUUUUAUUCAUUUUCGUAGUCUUAAUAUUACAUAUUAUUUUUUGUAACUUUUUUAAAAACCUAAUUUAGAUUAUUGUUUCAAGUUGAAAGUCUAUUUGUAAUAACUUUUUGCGUCUAGGUAAAUAGUUUACGUAACUCUAUCCUUUUAAACCUUAUUUUAUUAGACUGUCUUAAAAAUAUUAAUGUUAAUAAUUUUUUUUUACAUUCUACCAUUUAUAUGAUAAAAUAAAAACAUUUUUAGAGGAAUAAGAAAGUGUGUUGCAUCAAUUAUAAUGUUUCACGUCUGAUUGUCAAAGUUUUAAAGAUACGUUGAAAUGCGUGAAAAUAUAGCCAAUGUGUCGCUGAAACGUCAGGAUACGGAAAACGCGUUUAACACUGACAGGUGGAGGUUGGUUCGGCGUAUUAACUCAUUAGUGGGUGUAGCCGAAUUAGUUGACUGGUUAUUACCGGUCACUUUCUACUUUAUUUUAAGACCCACUGCCAACUAGAUAAUGCUUCAUUUAACUCUUUUAACUUUACCUCAAACUUACUCCACCAACUUCAUCUAAUUUUAUAUGUACUCGUAUUUUCUUCGGUCGAUUAUUUUUAGAUAAAUUAAUUUAUUUCUUAAAAUACUUGUAAAACUAAUUAAUUGUAAGUAUAAUAGGAAAAGAUAAUUUUUAAUUCUUUUAAGAAGAAUAAUUAUUUUUAUGGUAUAUAAUGGUUCACUAAUAUAGAAAGGGGUAAUAGAUUUUUAAAUAUCAAUUUAAUAACAAAAAAAUUUUACCUCUUAGUCGACAAUAAUACAAUUUUUAGUUAAUGCUUUAAAAAGAUUUCCUCCCUCUCUGAAAUUCAAACCUUAAUAUUCUUUUCUGGCAUGACAAAAAGUCCAUCUCUUUAACUUUUAAGUAUAAAGUAGUUUUAGUAGCUAAAAUUUCAAUUAAAAGGGAAGUUUUUCAUGCAUCAAAAAUGUCCAUUUUGGUAGUGUAUGAUAUUAUAGUGCAACUUGAACUUGAUUUUGGUAAGAUUUUCUUCAAAUUUCAAAUUAAACAGGAUAUAGUUUGUAUGAAAUGGAUUUGAAAACGUAUCAUUAUAAAUUGAGAAAAUGCACAAGUAUUUUCUAGACUAUAAUUACAAUUUUAAAAACACACUUUAACUAAAUUAAAGUUCUAUUAUCCUCUGAGCUUAUUUUUUUUUUGUAAUUUUGUGCACAUUUUUAACCUACGUGACAUCAAAAUAUCGUCUCAAUUGCGUGAAGUCACGAGUGUGCCACGUAAGAUAAAAAGUACACAAAAUUAUUAAAAAUAUAAAUUCAGGGAUAAUAGAACCUUAGUUUAAUUAAGGUGUGUCUCUGAAAUUUUGAUUAUAAUUAGGGAGGUACUUGUACAAUUUUCAAAUUAAAUUUUGACAAAAAAAUUCAAAGUUUGCCUUUUGUAAAAGAAGCUUUAUCAUUUUAAAUUUCUCAAAAGAAAAACAGUCAUGUUUAAUGUAAAAAUAAUACUAAAAAAUAAUGAGUAUUAUUAUUGAUUAAUGAUUUAAUAAAAUUAUCUAUAUUUAAUGAUGUCUUAAAGAUAUUUUGAUCCUUAUAUACUAUAAACUAUGAUUUGUUUAUUUGAUAUUUUGCAAGAAUUACAUAUUUUAAAAUAGUUUUCACAAUUUGUAAAGUUUUUAUUUUUAUACUAAGAAAAUACGACAAAAUAAAUUUAUAUUACAUAUUUAAAUAAAAAAUUUUAAUUUUAUAUCGUUUUAUUCUCAUAUCGCGCUCGGAAGUUGACCUAAAAAGAGUUUUGAUGCAACAAGUAAAAAUUGUAAUAUGAACACACUACUUGGUGACGAACUGUAAUUAGAAAAUAACUGUCAAAAUUUUUAUGCAUAAAAAAAUUAUAAAAUUAAAAAGUUUUAACUAAAUAUACCACCCGAGAUAGAAGGAACAUUGUCCCACUCACUUUAAUGGUAGGGGGCUGGUAAAAAUAGAUCUCAGGUAGUCCAAAUGGACCCUAUAUUUUUUUAGGCAUAUAUUGAAAAUCACAAUAAAAAAAUGAUUGUAUUAACUUAUAAAUAAAUAUGAAUAUUUUUUAAAAAGAGUUAAUCGUAAAUGUAAUAUAAGAAAAAUUUUAGUUUAGUAAGAUAAAUAAUUAAUAUGAAAUAAUCACUUAAUAUAAAAUGAACGGAUCGAAUAUAAUAUUAAAAAAAAUUGAAUGGAGGGAGAGAGAAGAAAGGCACAUAGCAGGUCUUUAAAUUGAGAGGCGAUGUUCAACAUUUCUCAGAGUGAAAAAAAAUCAGUGAGGCUACCUAAAAUAUUGUGUGUGUAUUUACAUUUUCUUUCCCCCCCCCCUUCUCUAACAUCCCGCUUCUUUAGAUCCCUUUCUGUUGUCGUCUGUCUUUCAAUUUCAGAAAUUUUAUACAAAAAUCAAACUCCCUUUUAGGUGUUUUGUUUUUGAAAGCCAGGUGAUCCAGAACAGAGAUCAACGUUCUCUUUUUAUUUUUUAAAUUGUUCAAACAACCACAAGGGUCUGUUUUUCGUAUCCCUAAAGGUUGUUUUUUUUGAUUUGUAGAAAGCUUUGUAAAAAUCUCUACCUGUUGUGUAGUUUUGAUAUUAGAAAGAGGUAAUACUUUUUGUGUGUUUUGAUAUUAACCAUGGCAGCAGCUAUAGAUGUAUACAGCAGCAGCAGUAACUUGUCAGAUCCUUUAACAGAAGAACUUAUGAAAGCACUUGAACCUUUUAUGAAAGGUGUUUCUUAUUCUUCACCUUCAACUUCGUCUUCUUCUUUCUAUACUUUUGGUGAGCCUAAUUUGUAUACUGAUUUCUGCACAAUCCCAUCAACGGCUACCCAAAUGUUUUCUCAAGGGUAUUCGUGUUUUGACAAUAUGGGUGUAGCUGAAACAGGUUCAAUUGGGCUUAACCAUCUAACCCCUUCUCAGAUCUUGCAAAUCCAAGCUCAGAUCCAAUUUCAAAAUCAACAGCAACAACUACAACUAUUACAUCAACAACAACAGAGCUUAGGUUUGUUAACACCCACUUCAACAUAUUCUAAGAAUCUGAAUUCUACUAACUUUCUUGGUAUGAAACCAGUCCCAAUGAAGCAAACGGGUGCUACUUCUUCACAGAAGGCUACUAAGCUUUAUCGUGGAGUUAGACAACGCCAUUGGGGCAAAUGGGUUGCUGAAAUUAGACUUCCUAAGAACAGAACUAGGCUUUGGUUAGGCACUUUUGAUACAGCUGAAGAGGCUGCUUUGGCUUAUGACAAAGCUGCUUAUAAGCUAAGAGGCGAGUUUGCUAGGCUUAAUUUUCCACAUCUAAGGCAUCAAUUAAACAAUGAAUUCUCUGAUUUCAAGCCUUUGCAUUCCUCUGUGGAUGCUAAACUUCAAGCCAUUUGCCAAAGCUUGGCUAAUCCCAAAUCAGAUGACUCGUGUUCUAAAUCUAAUUCCAAGCCAAGAAAGUCCAAAACUGCAGCAGUUUUAGUGGAUUCAAAUUCAGCUCAAGAAUCUUCAUCAAAGUCAGAAAUCACCACAGAUGAUUCAUUGAAAGAAGAAUUCAGCUAUCCAGAAAGUGGUACUAUCAAGAUUGAGGCUUCAUCAUCAUCAUCGCCCCCUACACCCUCUGAGGAAUCAUCAUCUUCGCCUGAGUCUGAUAUUACUUUCUUGGAUUUCGCUGAACCAUCUUUCGAUGAAUCAGAAAACUUCUUCUUACCCAAGUACCCUUCCGUGGAGAUUGAUUGGGCAGCUCUUUGAUACUUUAUUGUAGUAUUACUUUUUUUUUUUUAGAUAUAUCAUGUAUGGUGUCAAGUAUGGCCUCCUGCAAUGGUGUUUUUGACAUUUGCGGAGGUUGGUGUAGUAGUGAAUAGAGUCAUGUAAUAGUGAAGGUCGCUCACUCUCCGUCUUGUUCAUGCUUUGGUUUUUGUAUAUGCAUUGAACCAAAAGGGAGAGACUUUGCAUCAUGUAUGUGUCUUGUUCAUUUCUUAGCUUAAUAUAAUCAUAUCUAAUGUUUUAGUAUGUAUCUACACUUGUGCUAUUAUAUCAUACAACCUAUCUUUCAGUUCCCAGAAAAAAGAAUCCACUUAGCUAGUCAAGUAAAAUAACUUCCAAACAUGAAGAUUGAAAAUUUGAAAUAACUUAUUAGUUUUAUUUUUAAAUAGUUACAAAAGUACUCUUUUACUUAAUUUUCAUAUAAUCUGUUCCGUGAAAUAUUAAGUGGUACGUGAUUUUUCUCUUGUAGGAUCAUGAGAUUUAUAGUAAAAAAUUGAGCAAAAUAUUUUUGAACAUUCUUUAGGAAAGACAUAACAAAGUGUUUCUAUUACUAGACUUGUAAUUAAAGAGUAAUAUUAAUCUGAUAAACUUAAUAAUAAUUUAAGAGUAUAUUUAAAAGAUGUGAGUCAAUCAAAUAAAAAGAUAUUGCAGUAAUUGGUAAAUAAAAUGAAUUAAGGUGUUUUGCAUAUGGAAUUUUUUGUUGGAGAAUUAGUGAAGGUUAUGUUUGUUUAACCGAAAAAAAAGAAAAGAAAAAGGAGGAGAGUUGUAAAUAGUGACAAAUGGAGGGUGGACCCUACCACGUAAUAUGUAUUAUUUCUUCCACAUGGCUUGAAUAGAGGAGUAUUUUAUUAAUUGUAGCCUUUUGUCUUUUGUAGAAUUCAGUUACAAAUAAAAGAUUAUUCAACCGGAAACUUUCUGCCUUGGAUGCUAUAUAUUCCAUGUCACCUUCAAAACUCUCAAUUCCAAGAGCAUAUUUAGAUUUUUUUUUUCUAGAGUGCAAUUUAAAAUACAGUAAAUAAAGUAGUGAUUAAUAGUAGAAAAAAAAGUAUUUCAUGACUAAUUAUAACUAAGAUUAUUUGAUUGAAAAUAAGUUAUUUUAAAAUAAUUAAUUUUUAAAUAAGUUAUUUCAUUAUGUAUAUAGAAUAAUUUAUUUUAUUAAUGUGACAUAUCUUUUUAUUGGGAAUCAUGUUUACGUGUUAUGUCCUAUCUAAUCACCUUCUUCGAUUCUUCUUCAGUCUAGCUCUAACUUUCCUAGAAUCUGCUAUAGCAAAAUCUGUCAUACUCUUUUUGACUACUUUCACAAACCUUCUUUUCACAUAUCAAAACCAUCCUAAUUAGUAUUUACUUCAAUUAUCUUUGUGUGCCACAAAUAGUACUAUCUGUUGUAGUAUGUCUAUACAUUCUUAUAAGCAUACUUAUUUUUGAUAUCUUCAUUUUUCAAUGAAUGCAUUCUUAACUGAUCAAUCAUCAACAGCUGAAUGAACUUGAAAGUUUAUCUUAGUUCCAUGAAUUGCCUUGGUGCUAGCUAAAGGUAUACGGUGGGGGUAUGUUACAUUUUGUGCACGUUAUUGGUCCAUUAUCUAAAUCAAGUUUGUAUAUGUGUUUUGAGUUUGGGACUGUUAAAGUAUGUCGCCAUUAUUAGUGAAUCUUAUUGAUGACAAUGCCACGUUGUAAUAUUCAUGGACAUUGACUAAUAAAUUGUACUUAAUUCACGUUUGCCCACCAAAUGCAACGUAAAUUGCUGGACGUAUUUUACAAUUGACAUUUCUUCAUUAAACGGGCCCUCGUUUAGAUUAUUAUUGUUGAUGAUUCAUCAUUUGCACGGAAAGUUAAAUGAAUAAUAACUAAUGAGUUUAGAACAUUCUAGAGACUUUGAAAUUUAAUGUCAGGUAGCAAUGGACAUAAAUAUCGAAAAAUCGAAUCGAAUAAAAAAAAUUUAAUUUUUUGCUGUCGAUUCUUCGGUGUUUUGGUUUGGUGUUAAUUUUUUUGAAACUUUAAUUCUUCAGUUUGGAGUAUGGUGUAAGGGUACCGAAACUACGGUACACUAAAGAACCGAAGUUUUAUUUAAAUAAAUUUAAAAAUAUUUAAAUUAUAUUGCUUAAUUAAUAAUACAUAUACAUUUUUUAAAUUUUGACACAAAAUAUUUACAUAGACCAUUUAAAUUUUCGAUUUUUAAAUAAUUUUUGAUUUUUAAAUGACAACGGUAAAAUAUUUUCCUCUUAAUGAAUCACGCUUAUGGGACAGGGGGUUUGGGGGUGAGGACCACAGUAAUCAUAAAAUGCCACCGGAGAAAAAACACAGAAAAUUACUAGCCAAAGUUGUUGUAACUCAAAGGAACAUGAAGCAUGCAAAUUUGAAUUAAACUUCCAUAACAACAAAACGAGUCUAAGUUCAUAUGAUCUUGAAUUCAAUAUCCUUGUUGAAUAAAAUAUAUAUAUAUAUAUAUAUAUAUAUGUAUAUAUAUACGACAAGACUCUUUGUGAAUAAGUAAAUACAAUUAACAUGCAUGUCCUAUAGAUAAUAAAUACCAAGACUUGCCAUCUAUGCUAAGAAACAUAAACAAAUCCUUUGGCAACUUUACUCAAAAUUCAUCUAGCCCUCUUUAUUUUUAUUAAAUACAUGAUGAAACUUUUAAUAUUUUAUCAUAUUCCCUCUUUAUUUUUAUUCACAUCGAAAAACUGAUUUAAAAAUACUAAAUCAAAAUAAAAAAAAAUCAAACUGAAUCGAUCUAAUUUGGUAUAAACUAUGAUUCAUACUUUUCUAAAAUCGAAUACGGAAGAACCGAACGCCCACCCCUACCGUCAGAGGAGUCUUAAGGUUUUCAGAAGGAUAGAUAUAUAUUAUGAAAAAGCACAUCUAAGAUAUGAAUUUUAACAGUUUGACCUUUAGAUUCUUAAUAUGAAUCGUUAAAUUUUAAAAAUUACAAGUCUAAAAUACAUCAUAAAUCUUUAUAUACACAUAUGAUUUAAUUAUAUAUUUUUGGGGGAUUUUCAAUGUAACACUCUUAAACUUUAAAAAAUUAAAGCAAAAAAAUAAAAGAAAAAUUAGUUAAAACGUCAAAAGUGUUACCAAUAACCACUUGUAGAGGUGUUUCUUAAAAAACAAUAUCGAUACAUAAGAUUAAAUUUCUAUCCUCACUUAAAGUCUAGAGAGGUGCACCCAAUUAUCAUCAUGCUUUUACAAGAUAUAUACUUUGAAUGUGGGUUCACACAUCUAUACUUAAGUAUUUUUUUUUAAAUAUAACACUACUAUAUGUGAUCUAGAAAAGAAAGCAAGGAUCAAGUGAACCCACGAAUUCUAGAUACGCCUCCGUUUAUCAAGUGCGUGUACAUUUUUCCAAAGUAAUGCCUUUUUUACCAAGUACCUGUGAAUUCUCCCAGAUUAGUAUUUUCUUUUUUUGAAUUCAUAAAACAGGCGAUAAUAUUUUAGAUAGUCUAAGUAACAUAGAUACUAUAUGAUUAAUUAGUUAACGGGUGGGACAAUACAUAUACUACCAAUUAGUCUAAAAGAUAUUUUUGUUCAUCAUGUCAAUUGAGAAAUGUAGAUUCAUAAAUGAGUUACUUUUAUACAUUUACCCUAUAGUUUAUACCAAAUUAGACAUAGUGAAUCCAUAUUGUUAAAGUUGAAUGCUUGAUGAUUAAUUAGUUAUACCAAUUAAGGUUACAUAAAACUGUUGUUAUCUGUUUAGCUCACAAAAGAGGUGGGAUCACCGAAGUUAAAAGUCUGAGUACGAAUUUGAUUGAAUUUAAUAGUUACUUUUAUUCAAAUACUAUAUUUGUAUUAAAUACAUAAAAUUAAAUUUAGAAUCCAGUUAUUCAUAAUACUUGAAAUCAUCUAUAUAAAAUUCAAAACUCACAAAACUAAAAAUGGCACAACCUUAGAAAGUAAAAAUGCAUUAUCUCACAAAGCUAAUCAAAGCCAAGAGAUAAGGAAUUGCAAGGCCACUUUAACUUUCAACCCCACAAAAUAUACAUUAUAAUUAUUCUUUAUCUCUACGCAUGCCAAGACAAGUCUUACAAUGCCAAAAACUAAGGAAGAUGAUAGAAAGUGACUCUGAAAAAAGCCUCUUAUUCUGGGCCAUUAUCAAGAAAGAAUCCUUCCAAGCUUUGCACAAGAAGGAUUCUCUCCACAUAUUCAGAAGGGAGUCAGAAUUUAAAGUUUAUAGAUUUUAAAAUUUAAUUUUUUUACGUCGUUACAAGGUUCAUUUUUACAUAUUCAAUGAAUUUUUUAGUAUAAAUUUAGAAUUUAAAUCAAAAUUACUAAGUUUUAGGCGUUUGGCCAAACCCCUAAUCAACGUACUCUUUUCUUUUUAUUCUUUUAACUUUUCCCUCUCAAUAUUUAUAUAAAUUAAGUGUUGUUUUCAUGUCGAAAGGACUAACGUUGAGCCACAGAAUAGGGGGCUAAAAAAGGAAGUGUGAACGAAUGGGUAUAAAUACUCUUUCAUUAUCUAUAAAGUAUAUGAUAUUAUUCGUUAGAUAUUAAUAAGGGUCAAGUUGUUCUUUAGCCUUUACAGGCUUUGAUGAGGUGGCCUAUGCAUGCUUUCUAUAGAUGGUUGCACUACUCAAUUUUAUUUUAAAAAUUAAAUUAAGAUGAUUUUUCUAUUAUAAACAUAAUUUUUACCAAGUAAUUUUGAAUAAUUGAGUGAACAUAUUAGUAACACUCAAAACAUUUACCAUCUAUUCUAUGUAAAAAUAAGCUUAUUUAGUGCUUGGGAGGCAUGCAUGGAUAAAGCAGAGUUCAAAUAAGUCAGUUGGUGCAGUAUCAUGUAUAAAAACACAGGUUUUUAAUUAAGGCUAUUUUCUCAUUUUUUGCAUUGAUAAAUCAAUUCUAAUGCACUAUACUAAAUUUUUACACGAAAAAGAAAGUUCUUAUUUUUUAAAAACAUUUUUCUCAUUCUUUAAUAUUAUAUUAUUAUUACCAUUUAUUUUCAUAAAACAAAUCUCUUUCUUACAUAUUCAUUCUAUUCAAGUCAUAUGCUUUCUUACAUGAUCAUUUAAUAUAAAAUUAUUUUAUAGCAUAAUUUUUUAGAUAUGUAGUGAAAAUAAUUUUAAACUUGGCGUAACUUAUUAGUUUCGUCUCUGAACAAUUGAUAGUUGUAAAUUAAAAAUAUCUUUUACUUAACUAAUUAAACUUAAAUACACUUUCGAUAUGCAACAUGACAUAGCAAGUGGUUUCAAGUUAUUGUAGGAGCAUGAGACCCUUAAUAAAAAAUCGAGAGAAGUGUUGAAAGCACUCCUAAACUUGGCGAGAAUUCGUGAGUGUAUUUCAAUCAUGUUGCACGAUCGAUGGUGUAUUUAACUUUACUUAGUCAAGUAAAAAUGUGUUUUUAAGACGGUCAAUAGUUCAGAAACAAAACAAAUAAAUCGCGUCAAAUUUAGUGAUAUUUUCGAGUUAAAAAUAUCGAAGCUGGAAGACAAGUUUGAAACAACCUCUUCUUUUAUAUCAUUGGAGUCUGAGAUUCCUACUCUUAAUUCACCUAUGCUAUCAUUUGAGAAAAUUGAGAGACAACAAUGUAUAAAAUUUUUGAAUGGAUUCAUCACUAUUCAAGGUUCUAUAUUUAUACAAAAUGAAAAACAUCUAUUUGAUAUCAGCUUCCAUAUUAUUCUUAAACGUUGGGCCUUAUCUACUUGAUAUCAGCUUAAUCAGGCCCAAAGUGAGAAUGAAUUUGUUAGGCCCAAAGUGAGAAUGAAUUUGUUAGGCCCAAAGUGAGAGUGAAUGUUGACACCCUACCUCAAGAUUAUGAUGAACAGGUCCUUUGUAAAAAUGUCGGCUAGUUGUGAAGUAGACCCGAACAUACGACAAUGAGACGACGGACGAAGUGACAGUCCAGUUCGACGUGCUUCGUCCGUUCAUGAAAUACCGGAUUCUUCGCAAUGUGAAUGGCUGCAAGGUAUCCGAAUGAAGAGGCACCGGUAUUGAGAGGUCUUUGAACAGACGGACUAACCAGGUUAGCUCAACAACGACCCUUCUCAUUGAGCUAUAUUCGGCUUCAGCUGAACUAAGAGAGAUUGAAGAUCGUUUCUUCGAAUUUCAAUAAAUAGGAGAAGUUCCAAGAGUAUUGACUGACUGAUCUGCGUGAAUCUGGACAGGGACCCUAGUCGAAAUCACAGAAAGCUGUCAGCUUGAAAGAGGAAGAGGAUGGGAAAAAUAGACCAAGACCUGGAUCAUUAGCAAGUAACGCAACACCCGCAAAGCAGCAGUUAAGUGCGACUGACAAGGAUCCUGCAUAAAUUGACUUAGGUGCUGCACAGGCCUCGUAUUAGUCAGGUAGUUCAAUUUCCCCAAUAAGUGUCGAUAAAAAGUAGAAUAAGUGAUAGGCUCUCCAUGAUUAGCCAAAUAAUUUUAUAGUAAGAUCUAAUGGACAAGAAACAGAACUGAGAUGUAGAGAGUCAAAGUCUCUCAAAAGAUCUAAUCUGAACUUUCUUUGUGAAAUAAUCAGACCCUGCGAUCAUUCUUUGUCUAAGAAACCUUUUAAAUUGUGUAAUUCUGCAUUAUAAUUUUCUGUCAAAAGGAUAUCAUCCACAUAAAUAGCAACAAUGGAAAUUGAACUGCCUGAUUUUUUUGAAGAAGAGUGAAUAAUCAUUCAAGGAAUGACGAAAUCCUUUAAAAUUAAGAGCAGCAGUCAACAUAGCAUACCACUGUCUGGAUGCUUGUUUAAGUCCAUAUAUGAACUUUUUAAGCAAACAGACAUGGUUAGAAGUAGAAGGUGAAACACCUGGAGGAAAUUUCAUAUACACCUCUUUAUUUAAAUCAUGCAGAAAUACAUUGUUAACAUCUAAUUGGAAAAUUCCUCUACCAUGUUUAACUGUUGUAGCUAAAUGACACCUGAUAGUAGUCAUCUUGACCACGGGUGAAAAAGUUUCAUUAUAAUCCACCCUUCUUUUUGAACAUCCCCUAUGAUAACCAAUCUAGCCUUUAGUCUUUCUAUAUACUGCCAUCAACAUGUUGUUUGACUUUAAAAACCCAUUUGGAAGGUAAAGAUCUUUUACCAGUAGGUAAGACAAUAAUAUCCCAAGUUUUGUUAAGCUCCAAAGCUGAAAGUUCAUUGUCCAUUGCUUUCUGCCAACCUGGAUGAUGUGCAGCCUGCAUAUGAAUUGAUAGGUUCUUGUAUACUAGAAAUGGAAUUGAGCAUAAUUUGAUCACUAAAAGAUAAUUUGUUAUGAGUAACAGGACUCAAGAAGCAACUGGAAGAAACAUCUACAAAGUGGAAAGCAUCCAGACAUAUGAUUCUAAAUAAGUAGGCUUCUUGUGGUUUCUAGUGGAUUACCUUAGAAGAGUCUUAAUAAUAGGUGAAGGAGUAGGAAUAUUAGAAGAUCAGUAGGUGAGGAAUCCUGAGAAUCAGAAAUAGGAGGAAUAGGAGGAUCAUGAGACACAUCCUCAGUAAUGUCACAAAUAUCAUCAGAAAUUAGAGCAUUAUCAGUAAGAUCAAAUUUAUAGUGAAAUGAAAAGGAAUAGACAAAUUAGGUAAAGAAUUAGAAGGAAAAUAAUUGGUAGAAGGCACAUAUUUAGAAAAAGAAAAAUAUUCUUCAUGAAAAACAACAUUCUUGAAACUGAUAUAUAUUCUUAGUUUGAAGAUUCAUGACCUUGUAACCCUUUUUUCCAUAAGGAUAUCCAAUAAAGACACAAGGACAAGCAUUUAGAUCAAACUUACUUCUAUGAAUAGGUAAAGUAGACACAAAACAAAGACAUCCAAAACAUUUUAAGUGAGAGUAAAUAGUCUUAGUUUUAAAGAAGAUUUCAAAAAGUGUUUUGAAUCGCAAGACACUAGAAGGAAAUUUGUUGAUGAGAUAAGUUGAUGUGAGUAAGCAUUCUCUCCAAUAGCUAAUAGGAAGAUGAGACUGAUAUAAAAGGGCUCUAGAGGUUUCCAACAAAUGUUUGUGUUUUCUUUCUACAAUACCAUUUUGUUGAGGAGUGUGAACACAAGUGGUUGAUGGACAAUUCCCUUGAAAAUGAGAAAAUCACUUUAUACUUUACCACUAUCCAAUUCAAAGGCAUUAUCAGUUCUGAUUUUUUUUUUGAAUUGAAUUGAAUUGCCUUUCGACCAUAUGAUUGAAAGAUUCAAUGAUAGUAAAAAUAUUAGAUUUAGUGCUAAGAAGAUAUGUCCAUGUUGCUCUACUAAAAUCAUCUAUAAUGAUAGUGAAAUAUCUAAAACCAUUGUGAGUACUAGUUUUAUAAGACCCCCAAGAACAUAAAUAAACUCAAAAACAGAGGUAGUAGAAAUAUUGCUAGAAGGGAAAGGUAACUUUGACUGUCUAGCCAUAGGAUAGAUAAUACAAGGGGAAGAAAAUUUAGAACAAGAUGUAGAAAUAGGAAAAACUUUUUUCAUAUUACUCAUUGACAUGUGGCCUAAUCUAUAGUGCCACAUCUUUUCUUUUACAUUGGAAUCAAAAUAACUGGAAGAAGAAGUAAAAACAUCUGCUAGAAAAGUAGAAAAAGUAAAACUAUUAAAUUUUGAAAUGGUAGUAUUGCUUGUGGCAACAGUUGGAUCACUGCUCUUAAGAAUAUAUAAACCUUCUUGUUCUUUACCAAGUACCUGAGGGCUUUUCACCGAAGGGCCCUGCAAAAUCAAGCAAGAAUUAGGAGUGAAAAGAAUAGAUUUCUGAAGUUAUCAGCACAACUUAAAAGAAGAAAUAUAGAGCACAUUUUCUUGAAUAAGAUCAGAAAAGAUUUUAACAGAACCUGUACGAGUGACACUGACUUUAUGAGAAUUAGGAAGAGUGACACUCAUAGGUGCAGUAAGAGGAUUAAUGUUAGUGAAGUAACCUUUAUCAGAAGUAAUAUGCUUAGAAGCUCCACUAUUUAGUAUCCAACAACAUUUAUCAAUUUUAAGUAGACAAACAUGAGAUUCAAGAGAUUUAGUUAUACCAGAUGAUAUUAUAUUUGUAGAUGAUUCAGCUGGAUUCUUUUGAUUCAUCUUUUGCAGUAGUGUUAAUAGUUGACUAACAUUUUCUGGUGACAGACUGUUCAAAAAUGCAUGAUCUGAAUUUUCCUAUUGUGAUGCUUCACUUGUGCUAAACACAUUUCCAGCAACAAGUACCUUUUGAUAUCUUUUAGGUUUAGUAAACUUAAAAUCAGAACCCAUGGAUCUUGUAACAUUGCUCUAUGGUGUGUCCUGUUUUCUUACAGUAACUACACACCAAUGAAGAUUUCUUGGUUCCUUUAUUAGGCUUAUACUCAUUGUUUCUCCUUUCACCUCUAUUCCCUACUAGAAAGGAUGCUGAAUCUCUUGAUAAGCAGGAUUAGCAUGGAUCUUUCUUUGUUUUUCAUCCUGAAUUACUAGAGAGUAAGCUUGUCCAAUUGUAGGUAAAUGUGCAAAUAACAAGAUAUUGCUUCUGACACCUAAGAAAGUAUCAGUCGAACCCAUUAAAAACUGUAGUAGUCUUUCAUCUUGAUGAGCCUUAAAGCCCUUUUCCAUGGCACCACAGAUACAAAUACAAGAAAAAGCAGAAAAAGUGCUUAAAACAUCUAGUUCAUCCCAUAAACUUUUCAUCUUAGUAAAGUAAGCAGAUGGAAUUUCCUUGAACAACAGUAUUAAGUUCCUUUUGAAGUUGAAACAACUUAGCACCAUUUGCUUGACCAAAUCUACCUUCUAGAUUUGACCACAAAACUUUGGCACUUUGAGAGUACAAAACUGACUCAACAAUUUCUUUUGAAAGAGAAUUUAGCAACCAAGAUAGUACCAUAUCAUUGCAUCUUAACCAAGCUCUUUUCAUUUUCAGGUCUUUAUCAGCUGGAACAUCUAGAGAUCCAUCAAUGAAUCCUUGUUUGUUCUGAGCAAUAAUCACAGCCCUUCUCCAGCCAACCAUAGUUUCUACCAUCAAAGACAGUAGAAACAAGGUUCAUGCCUGGGAUAUCUGAAGGAUGAAUGCAGAAAGCAUGUGAAACAUGUACUGAUUUAUUUACAACAGCUACUUCAAAAAUUUCAGUAGUUUGUGAAAGGAGAAUCUGAACAUGAGUCAUUUUUCAAAAAAUGGAAGGAAGAGUGAAGACUAUGGAGAAGAAGAUAGGAUCAUUUUUCAAAGUGAGAGUGAAUAUUGACAUUAUUUCCUAACUUUUAUCAUUAUUUUCAUUAAAUUUUGAUGAGGAUGUUUCAGGUGAUUCUACAAACAUGAAGAAAGAAAAAUCAAUGAAGGCUCUGAAAUUGUCUAAUAAAAAAAUAAUCUAUGUAACUAAUACUCAGAAAUCAGAAUUAUUGUUGGUUUCAAAUGAAUUCUUAACUUUACAUAUUAUUAUGUUUGUCACGAGUUAAACUAUCGAGUCGUGCAAACACCUACUCGAACUCAUAGAUGGGAGAAACUUUACCACCAGAUUUGAAAUUGAUAAUGCGAAAGUAAUAACAUAUCAACUUACGAACUAAUUUAGAAAAUACAAAAUUGCUCUCAACCUUGAUAUAAAUAAAAGUACUUUAGUAAAAUGCAUGAACCUCUUUCUAGGAACUAGUGUAAACAUGUUGAAGAGCUUCUAAGAGAAUACCAAACAUUAAAACAAGACAUAUCUCCCACUAAAAAAAAGGAGUAAAAUAUGUUGUAUUCACCCAAAGAAACAUCAUUGACAACCAAACUAUAAGCGAUCUCAUAAUAAAGUCAAACACAAUAGUUAUCUUUUAGUCUUUUGAGUUGAAAUAAUCAUUAUUAUUCAUGAAUAAUCAUCAUGUAAUUUGAUAUAUAUCAUGAGGAAACUACACUUCAUAAAUAUAUUGAUAUUUUAUCAUACUCAUACAAUUGAUCGUAUGAAUCACCAAGAAAACAUGAGUUUUAAGUCAUAUGGAAAAGGGUUGAUAUAAUUUGCAAAAUAAAAGCCAUCUUCCCUAACCAACCAAUAACAUAUAUUACCACGACCUUUACACUUGUCUGAAUCACUUUCAAAAACAUAAAAGGUUUUGGUCUUAGUAACCCAAACAAAUUCACACUUGAACCGAGUUGUCUGCCAAAAAUUCUCACGAAAAUGCCAAUGAUAACCCUCAGGCCCAGGAUUAAGAAAAUGAGUUCCUAAAUCAUUGUCUUUGGACCAACAAUGGACAAACAAAGGAUUUGUUCCAUUAGGGAGGUCACUUACAAUCCAAAUUUGAUAACGAGUUAAAGGACCCUCUGUAGAAGGAGUAGCAACAAUUCCACUCAAGGACAAGAUAAACAAAAAUGAAAUGAUUAGAAUUGUGAUGUAAGAAUUCAUGUUGAGAAAAAAAAAAUAUUAUUUUUCUCUUUUGUAGUUUAAUGAUAAAAGGCUAUUUAUAGUUUCUCGGAAUUAGAUUACAUAACAUAUGGUCAAGAUAUAGUGUGGAGUUAAUUUGUCAAAGGUCAUUCAAUUUGUAGAAAUAUCUCACAUUUGAAUUUUUCUUGUCAAUUUGGUAUUAAAUUAUGCCCAUAUUUUCAUCAAAGUUAAAACUAAGAAAAAGAAUUCAAAAGUCAACUAAAAUUUACGUCUCAUUUAUUAAGAAUUCAAUUUUAAAUACAAUACCCUACAUCCAUUAUAGAAAAUUGGUUGACCCAUUUUUAAUUGUUUAGCAGAUGGAGUAAAAAUUCUCUCGUGUUUGCAAUUUAAACAUUUUGCUAUCUAUGUACCUCUUAAUUGAAAAUAAAUAUAAGCAAUAGAAAAUAAGAAGAGAAAAAAGGAAAAAUAAAAUGCAUAAUUAUUAAUCAUCUCUAUAUUCCAACCCCUUUCAAUAGACUAAAGUGAGUUUGCUCUAAUGGUAAGCACUCUCACAUUCAAUUCGAAGGUUGCGAGUACGAGUCAUCAAGAGAGCAAAAGGAGUGAGAGCUCCAAAGGGAAGGUAAAAAAAAACCUUUCAAUAGAUAAUUUUAGAUAAGUUUCUUUUGAAGUAGAUACACGAAUAUCAAAACAAUACAUUAUAUUGUUAGAUUGAAUUUUAAACAAAAGCAAACAGAACUUAACUGACUAGUACUGAGUGUUAUUGUUGAAUUAGGUCUUAGGCCUAACUCACACCCCAAAAGCUAACUCAAAGGGAGGAGAAUUGCCCAAACUUUAUAAGGAGUUCACCCAUCUCAUAACCACCGAUGUGGGACUUUUAUCAUACUUUAAUACCCCAUCUCACGCCCAAUGCUUAACAUCUAGUGGUGGGUAAUUUUGAUUUUGGGGGUCUCAACAUCGAGUGAGAUGGACCCUGCUCUGAUACCAUGUUAAUUAGUUCUUAGGCCUAACUCACACCCCCAAAAGCUAGCUCAAAAGGAGGAUUGUCCAAGCCUCAUAAGGAGUCACCUAUCUCAUUAACCACCGAUGUGCGACUUUUGUCAUUCUUUAACAGUAUUCUUAUGAAUUAAUAAUACGAAUUUGUAUUGUAUAAAUAACUCAUGCAUCAAUAGAUGAGAGUUUCUUUCAGCAUUUGAAACAAUACAUAAUAACAUUUACUUCAUCCCCUAAAAAGUUUAAACUAUAUCAAAUUAAUUUUAUUUAAUGGAUUAAGAGAUAUUCUGUUUAAAAUUAGAUUCAUAAAAAUAGUUUGUAGACUUCCAUUGAUUUUUCUUUUGAAAAGUGUCCAAUGAAUUCAGAGGAUAACUAGCAAUAUUAGUUUUUUUUGUUGUUGUUUGAAUUCAAUCUAACAGUAUAAUUUAUUGCAUUUCAAAUGUGUGUAGAGAUAAAUAAUAGUUAUGCAUUUCAUUAGUUUUUCUUUUAAGCUAAUCAUUAUUUCCAGUUAAGAGGAACUUCUUAAAUAUAAUUAUUUUUUUUCAAUUGCAAUUUAAGGAAAAUUUUCUCAUUUAUGUAAUUGAAAAUAAUGACAAGUUCUCAUAUUGUAAUACUUAGUCCUUCCUCCAUAUAUAUUUACUUGUGAAACAUUUUUUAAUUUGAUUUCUCUUCUUUCUUUUUUUUUUUUGACAAAUCGAGGAAGAAAUUUUUUUUUCUAUUACACUUUCAAUUAUUAACAAUGAAUUAAUGUCUUUGAAAAAUGUAUUGAGUAAAUAUGUUUGAGACCUUAUUAGUUAGUAAGGGUAAAAUGAUAAAUUUACUAUGUCAAUUAUUAUUUUAUUAAUUAUUGUGUCAAGUCAAAAGUUGACUAGUAAAUAAGGAUUGAGGGAAUAUUAGACUUAACCAAAUGAAAACACAAUUAGCUCAUGAAAAGUCAAAAUUUGACUAGUAAAUAAGGACAAAAGUAGUAUUACAUUUGACCAAUAGUCAAAUGAGAAUACAAAAUUAGCUCAUGAAAUUAUAACUUGUUAAAACUUGGGUUGAUUAGACAACUAAGACAAAGUAUGAAUUGAGUAAAUUGAGUUGUGACCUACUGUAACACCCAAAAAAUUUACAAGGAAAGACAUAAAUUAUUCAAUAACAUAUCAUAACUCACUUUUAAAAUUUGAACCAUUCGUGUAACACCUCAAACUUUGAGAAUUGCUAAAGAGGGUUGACGGGCAAGUCCACACACCAAAAAUGGAUCAUGUAUCCUUCACGACUCCCUAUCUGGACCGUAUAGGGGUCCAUGACACGUUUAGGGCAAGGUGAUCAACCAUCCAGGGCUUCCAAGGUGGGGUCACCUGGAGGGGAUCCUAGACAGCCCGUGGUGGCUUGUAUGGUAUGUUAGGAGUUCGUAGAAGUCACCUAUCAACCUUUAAGUUUUGGGUAUACUUCAUACAAUCAUAUGCCUCAACACAUAAUGAAUUAGGUGAACACGACCUAUCAAAUCAAAGUUAUCUGAGUCACCUUUCCACAAGCCACCAAAUUUGUCUCAUCUGAGUUCAAAGUCAAAUGUUAUGCAAUUUUUAGUGAAGCUCUGUCGGACAGACUAAUUGUUCACAGAUGACUAUAUGGCCCAUGAAGAGUUUUAUGGACCAAAGAGCCUUAAAUGGUCCGUGAAACCUCGCUUCAAGGGCAAUCUAUCUGUUUUUAAAGUUGCAGUCAUUGUGAUCUUUCACCUAUGCGUUUGGUAUUUAAACUACGCUGUUUUAAUCCAUAUUCUAAGUCUAAAAAAUGACGUUUUACCUAGUUAAGGGCUUAUAAAGUGUUAAUCAAUUUAUUUUAUGUUCAGUAACACUUCAAGUCACUAGAAAAAAGGUUCUAAGGGGAAAAAAACUAGGGGUUUGAGCAUUCUUAGAGCUUCGUCGAUUUCUCCAAUAACUUUAUUCUUUCACGUAUGUAAGGCUAUCAUAGUGUUGGAAUAGUUUGUCCUCACACUCGACAUCUACUUUCAAAUCAGUAAACGAAUAAUAUGAGGUUAUAUCCUUAGAUUUGAGUUUUCUUGAGAUGAGUUGAUAUUGAGUUAUGAGUUCUUCAGUUACUUAUUAUUAAAUUAUUUCCUAAUUAUUGAAUUGCUAUAUCUUGCAUUAAGAUUCUUGAAUUGAUUUUUCAUGUUUAUUUUUCCAGCAUCAGCCCUAUUUCUUUGAGUAUUCAUUGAGUUCUUAUAAAAAUCUUUUAAAGAAAACACAAUUGAUUAAACUGAGUUUUGAAAAAGUAAAGUGAAGUUUGAGAAAGAGCUUAACCAAGAUUUAAAUAAGAGUAAAAAGGAACUAAGUAUUUUCCAAAUAUAUCAUUUUUAGAUAAAGAAAGAGAAUAUCUUUUUUUAGAAAAAUUAAAGAAGUUCUCAUAAAGAUUGAGUACUGAGCAAUUACCUCUUACUGAAGCCCUUUUUGAGUAAUUACCUCAACCAAAAAUGUACUUUUAUAUUGAACAAAGAGAAACCUUGUUUUCUAAAUGAAAAAAUAAGUUUCAGAAAUAUUUCAGAGCAGUUACCUCUUUAAAGAGGAUAGUUUGAAUAAUUAUCUCAAACCAGAAAAAGCGUAUUAUUUUAUACAUUUGACAAAGAGUAUAUAUUAUUGGGAUUAGUAUUAAGCACCGAUAUAAGAGAGAGUUCAGACAACUCACAACACCUAUAAACCAUGUCUUGCCCACAUGGCUACAAUAUUUUUUAGAUGAAUCUUUAGUGCCUUCGGCAGAGCUUAGUUGAUCCACUUAAUUGAGAGUUCUAUAUCCCGGUACGAUAUAGGACCAUUCUAAAAGUGUGGAAAAGAUGUAUCAUUACAUAGCUCAUAGUGAUGGUUGUUAGUUUGAAAAUCAUCCAAUAUAGUUAAAGUGUAUUUUCAUAUAACAAUUGUUAUACUGAGUUCAAAGAUAAGUAAGUGUUUUGUAAAGUUUUAAAUGAUUUAAUUCCUUUAUUUCUUUACAUUCAGCUUGAGUAUAUUUUAUCUCUUGCAGUCGUUUCAUUUAGUUAUUUCUUUGGCUAUAUUACAUACUCAUACAUACAAUGUAUUGAUGUCAUUCGAACUGCAUCUUUUUAUGAUGCAUAUAUAUGUGUUUAGGAUCAUCCAUAUGCGCUUCGUGAAGAUCACAUUACACUUCAGAUACCUUGGGUACGCCUCCUUGCAUUUCGGGAGACUUCACAUUUAUUUUCUUGUCAGUUGUAUUGAGAUGUCGUGGGUAUGGUCCAACAUCCAUCUUGAAUAAUAGAGGCUUUAUAGAUAGAUAGGGUUGAAGAAUCUCUCAAUAUUUACUUUUCCUUGAGAUGUUUUGCGAAGUAUUAUACUUAUGUCGUUGAGUAUUUUAAAGACAGUUUGAUUGAGUAUUUACUUUGAGUUCAAAUGUUUUAAAUUUAAUUUUUAAGCCUAUUAUCGCUUAGGUACUCCCGCUAAGUAAUCAGCUAGGAAAAGGGAUGCAUGAGGAUCAAGAUCAAUAACAAUUCUUGAGUGUUGGCUACGUCGAGAGUGUAGGCUCAGAUUGUGACACCGCAUUAUAACACAAAUAAUCCCAAUACAUUUCAUUCCAAUUAACUUUUGAGUGGAUGAAUAACUCAUUUAUUAGCACAGGUCAUCUUGAUUGACCCGAAUUUAGUCCAACCCAUCCAUUUUCCAUCUCUACUAAUAACUGUUGAAAGUAAAUGUUAGGUUGGACCUGUAUAUUUUAUUUUAUGUAAUAAAUAAAUUUUAUAUGUAAGAUCAAUUUAAUUUUCUCCUAUUCAAUUCUCAUUAAUUCAUUGCAUUUCAUCUCUCAAGAGAAAUAAUUUUCUUUCGCCAUUCUCUUUACCUUUGUCAACCAUAUUCAAUCUUUUUGAUAUAUUGUUUUAUAACAUAUUAUCAAUAUGAAACUCUACUUUAAAAAGAAAAUUAUCGCACUUAUUAUACCAUACCAAAUUUUUUGAUACCAUAGUUUUUGAUAUUAUGGUAUAUGGUAUACAUUUUAAUUUUUUUCGUACUUAGAAUAUAUUGAAUACCAUAUAUAUAAUUAAAAUACUAACAAAUAUACAACCUAGUAUUGGUAUAAAGUAAAUGUUUAGAGGUUAAAACUUUGACUAGUCUAUUUUAAUUGAAAUUUAAUUGAUUAACAAGAGUAGUUGUUUGUACUUUAUUUUGAAUGUAUAGUUGUACAUGUGUAAUGUGUUGAUAUGACACAACUGAGACAUUUUUUUAAUUUUCGAGGUCUAAAUAAUCUACUAUACAAUUAUAUAUAUUACUAGACAUUUUAUGAAUUGUGGUUACUGUUUUAUCAUAUCGUAGAAUAUCGAAAUUGAACUUCGAAAUAUCAAACCAUACUAAAUUAAAUUGAUAUGAUAAGAAUAUAAUGUUUUAAAAAUUAAAUACCAAAAUUACGAUAUUAAAAUUUUGAAAUACCAUAUCGUAUCAUACCAUGUGCAUCCAUAUCAUUAUUCCCAAUAAGCCAAAAUAACUCAAAUAAUACUAGUGCCACAACAUCAAUCUAUGAAGCUUUUAUGACAAUUUAUUUUUGUAAUUCAUGUUAGUUAAUUUCAUUUUUCAGUACAAUGACCAACUCUUGAAAAGAAGAGUUAAUCAAAUCAAUCAUCCUAUUAGUUACUCUUCAAUUGCGAUGGUAAGAUAAAACUCAUUUCAUAUUAUUUUUUUUUAUAUUUUUUAUUUUUGUAAAAUGAAAGAAUCAUUUCAAAAGAAAUUUAUGCUCGCCCUUUUGUAGGUGACAUUCUGAAGAAUGAGAAAUUGAUGAUAGCAUCUCAGAUAUUCAACUUUCUUCGCUCCCCGAUUUAUUAUUACUAAUAAAAUGAUAUAAUAAAAAAAAUUAGUAUGAGCUCAUGGAUCUAACAGAAACAAAAUUAUCAUAAAUAAAAUUAUAUGAGUCACGUCUAUUUGGAUCUAUUUUGUUUUUGUAUUCAAUUCAACAGUUCGAGGAAGAUUUAUUGUGUAGUAAUAAGGUAAAAUGUAUAAUUAUUAAAUAAAACAUUCUAAACAAAUGACAUUUUUUGUGUCGUGAGUAGAGUUGUAAAAGAGGGUUAGCCUAGCUCAACCCGGUUCAAGUCUCGCGAGCCAAAUAUUUGAUGGGCUAGAGCGGAUUGAUCCUUCAUUUACAAGGGCCUCAAAAUGCUCAACACAACCUAACCUUUGAAGGACCGCAUCUGGAGUGGGCUAGCCUGUUUUGUCUUUCUUUUUUUCCUUUCAAACUGAAAAUUCUAUGACAUCAAGAAAAUGAGAUUAUUUUAAACAAAUAUGACAAUCAGUGGUAUUGUUUCAAUGACACUAGCAAAAAAUCUAGUGUGAUCAACCUGUAUCUAGGAUACUAGAUACGUGACAUACAUGUAUCCGGUGCGAUGCAUUCCUGAUAUGUGAGCAAGAUAAGGAAGUGGCGAGAUGGGAGGGAGGCGAGAACGCGUGAUUUGUCAAUGUAUCCUAGAUACAUGCGAAUGAACUUAGAUAGAGUGUAUCUAGAACAAAUUACACCUAAUUUUGAAUUCCUAUAUGUAUCCUGAGAUACAUAUAAUUUGACACACCAAAAUCUUGUAAGAAUCGUACUAUCUAAAAUCUAGUAAUAUUCGUACUAGUACAACAUAGCGUGUAUUUAAGGAAUUAGACCAUACGCUGGUGAAAUUUUUGUAAGUUACUCUUAAAUAAAUAGUAACGGCCUAUGAGCUAUCCCAAGUCCGAUCCCGAUCAAGCCUCAAGGGGCAAGGGAUUAUUUGACCUGGAUAGUUUUAAUAAUUACUGAUAGUAGUUAUAGGAAUGAUCUUUUGUAUAAUUCGCUUCUUUUUAAAGUUGUAUACAAAAUCGAAUUCAAUUUUUUUAAGGUAAUGACAAUAAUCUCGAUCGAGAAAAGAUAUAUAAUAUCGUUAUUCGCAGAAUAUUAAAUCGUUAUACUUCAUAUCAAAUACAACACAACUCCUUCAUAGCACCAACCCAGUAAUCACACUUUGUUCUACAAACUACUUUGAAAUAAUGUAGCUUUAUUAAUGUAUACUUGGUCUACCACCAUUGAAACUUGUUUGAUACUAAAUUGUACUUUCUAAUAAAUUAUAUAAGAUACAAUCUGAAAUACAAUGACAAUAACUGUAAAAAUCAUACAAUUUGAAUUACAGAAUACAAUUAUGAAUUUAUACAAGUUUGAUACACUAA